UCAAGUGGUAGAUGCCCUUGCCAAUAUGGUUAGAUUUGUCGAUGUCUGUAUUAUUUGGGACGAACCUCCCCACUUCAUUCUGGGCAUGUACAAAUGAGAUAAGUUCAGUCUCUAUAACUUUCGUUUUCAUUGAUUUGCUUUUCUAGUGUAGUUUGAUGUUUUUUGUUAGGUGUUUUCGGGUUCUGACUUUAGUACCAUCCAACUUGAUUGUAGUCUUUCUUUUUUAUUAAUAAAUUUGGGGUGAGAGAGCACUUGGCUCUACUUAGCUCUUGUUAAUAAAAAAAGAAAUAAAGUAGAAGCAUGUUAAUUUGAACAUAAAUAGACGCACAACCACAACAUUUAUAGUGGUUCACCACGUCAACGGAAGGCAAGAAUGAUAUAUCCACUUAAGAUUCUACUAUCAUAAGUCAAAAUGCCUUCGUGAUAUUACAAGUCGAAUAGAUAUAUGGAUCAAAUGGAGAUGAGAUCCUUUCUAAAUAAGGGAAGCUUCCUAAUUAACAAUCCAUGAAUGCGGAAGAAACUGCACAUAUUUCUACUUAUGAGGCCUAUUUGUAGCAUCAAAGAGUGUCUUCUCGAUGUGGUGACAGUCGUUCUUCACUUUGACGAGGUAGCCCGAGUGUCGGUCUACUGGAUGUAUGUUGGAGGCGGGACUCACCAUGCCCGGUGGACGGUUUAAAAGGUUGUUGCAUAUGCUUGGCGGUAUGAAAUAUACAAUGUAUUCACAAAUUCCUUUGCACUGAUCCAAGACCAUUACUUAUAAUUUACUAUUAUCUCCUACAACUACUCGCAAGCUUAAUAAACUUAUUCUAAUUAAUAAUCAGAACAAAAUCAAAGCAUAAUUAUCCAGUACCGUUUGGUCUAGUGGCUAGCAUAAAUUUCUCUUUGUAAGUGAGAUGUUGUGAGUUCGACUCACAGUAGACUCAUUGUAGCAUAUUAAUUAUUUAUUUGGUUAAAAAAAAAAAUCAAAGCUUAAUUAGCAGUGAUCUCAAAUUUGUAAACCGACCUUGACAAAGAGUUAUCGGCAUUGUAAAUUUGUAAUAACCAAAAGAGUGUCAUUCUUCUUCAAAAAGUUGUUGGAUGCAGGCGCAGAGCCAGGUAAGAGCUUGGUAGGGCUCAAACCCAACCAAGAAUGUUUGAAUAAAAUUUUUAACGUAUAGAGAAGAAGCAUAGUAGAAGCAUUUGCAGGCUUGGUUUAGCAUAAUUACAACAAACCUAGUCACCUGGGUUUGACUCUCAGGUUGAGCAUUCUUUUUUUUUCUUCCCUUUUUCUUACUUCUUACUCCUAGCUAUACAAUGGGCCUUAUAGGCUUCUUCUUGCUUUUUUUUUUUUUUUUUUGUUGUUGUUGCUUUUUCUUACUUCUUACUCCUAUACAAUGGGCCUUAUAGACUAUGAGUCAUAGUCUUGUUUGGUAAGAUGUUUGAUAUUUUGGUAUUAGUUUUGAUUUAAUUAUUUCAUAACCCCCUUUUAUUUUAUUUAGAAUAAUUUUAAAUACACACUCCUAAUCUCUUAAUACACACCCCUUACUUAAUACACUAUCCAUCUAGUUUUUCAUUUUAAUAUUAUACUAAAUACACAUCCCAAAUUGCCUAAAAUACCCUCAAUAUCUAAAACUAAUAAUAAUUUGUUAUUUAAUAUAAUUAUUAUAUAUUUACUAUUUCACAACUUUGUUUACGUAUUCUCUUUUAUUUUCUGUUAGAUUUUUUGAUCGGGUUAUAAAUUUUUUCUUGAUAUUUUUCAAUUUAAUUACAAUCAAAAGAGUAAUAUUAUAUUCGAACUCUAAAUCUCCAAUAUGAUAUCAAUCGGCUAGAAUUUGAAGAAGAAAAAAAGUAUUGAACAUACAUAUAUAAUUGUUCAAAGUUAAGAAACUAGUAAAAGUACAAUAGCAUAAAAACUAGUAUAUACAUAAUUUUUUCAAAGUUAAGAAACUAGUAAAAAUUUAGGGUAUAUAACACUAAACUACCAUUUAAAGGUACAAAUAAUAAAAAAGUCUUUAAAUGUUCCACAUAAUAAAAAAGUCAACAUUAAAACAUGUUACAUGAUAAAAUAGUCACCUUAUAACAUCUUAAAUGAUUAAAAGGUCUAUUUUUACACUUUUUACAUGACCAUUCUACCAUCCUCUCUCAUUUCACCUCUCUCUCUCUCNNNNNNNNNNNNNNNNNNNNNNNNNNNNNNNNNNNNNNNNNNNNNNNNNNNNNNNNNNNNNNNNNNNNNNNNNNNNNNNNNNNNNNNNNNNNNNNNNNNNNNNNNNNNNNNNNNNNNNNNNNNNNNNNNNNNNNNNNNNNNNNNNNNNNNNNNNNNNNNNNNNNNNNNNNNNNNNNNNNNNNNNNNNNNNNNNNNNNNNNNNNNNNNNNNNNNNNNNNNNNNNNNNNNNNNNNNNNNNNNNNNNNNNNNNNNNNNNNNNNNNNNNNNNNNNNNNNNNNNNNNNNCUACUCGAUGAAUAAGAAUGCAUUCCUUAUGAAUUCUUCUUUGCUUAGAUUGUAAAUGAAUAUUUGCUUGUUCUAUUUGAUACGUGUUAUGUUAUUUGGUCAUGCACACCAAGUGUUUGAUGAAAUGUCUAUGAAUGAAUUAAGGUGCACACCAAGUGUUUGAUGAAAUAUCUAUGAAAGAAUUAAGGUGCAUGAUUCUACUCGAUAGAUCAAAGUAGACCUUGAUGUGCUUGCGAGGAUGUGAUAGUGUUAUAUUCAUACAUAUAUCCUCAUCUUUAGGUGAUUCUAGUGAUAUUGAGUCAUGUAAGACCUCAUUACUAGGCAAUAAGGCUAAGCUCCUUUCCAGUAUUUAUUUGUUUAUACUAACAUAGCCUUCCAUGUAUCAUCUUACUGGUCAUCAUAUUUGUCAUGCUCUUACCAGUUUAACAUAUAAUGGUUUCAAAUCUUGUUCUAAAAUAUGCAGCAGACUCCAACUACUGCUCUUUCAUAUCUUGCCAUGCAUGGUUGAUCACUCAUUUACCAACCAUUCUCCUCAAAUCUUCUACACACCCAAAAGUGUAUGCAUUGAUCCAUCCAAUUUUAUUACUCCACACUACGAAUUCAAUUCAUUCAAAUUCAUCCAAUUUUAUUACUCCACCCAAAAGUGUAUGUAACUAUGCAUGUAACUAUCGAUGUAAUUAUCCAUGUAACUAUGCAUGAAACUAUCCAUGUAACUACAGAUUGAUAGUUACCUGGGUAGUUACAUACAUGACGGGUACAAGAAGGUAACUAUCAAUGUAACUAUCCAUCUAUGUAACUAUCCAUGUAACUAUUCAUCUAUGUAACUAUCUAUGUAACUAUUCAUUCAUGUAACUAUCUAUGUGACUAUGUAACUAGCAAUGUAACUAUGUAUGUAAUUAUCCAUCUAUGUAACUAUCUAUGUACCUAUGCAUGUAAGUAUGCAUGUAACUAUCUAUGUAACUAUGUAACUAGCAAUGUAACUAUGUAUGUAAUUAUCCAUCUAUGUAACUAUCUAUGUAACUAUGCAUGUAAUAAUAAAUGUAACUGUCUAUGUAACUAUCCAUAUAACUACAGAUUGAUAGUUACCUGGGUAGUUACAUACAUACACUUGUGUACAUGCCUAUGUAACUAUUCAUGUAACUAUGCAUGUAACUAUUAAUGUAACUAUCCAUGUAACUAUGCAUGUAACUAUCCAUCCAUGUAACUAUACAUGUAAUUAUGCAUGUAACUAUCUAUGUAACUAUAACUAUGUAUGUAACUAUCCAUCUAUGUAACUAUCCAUGUAACUAUGCAUGUAAUUAUCAAUGUAACUGUCUAUGUAAUUAUUCAUCUAUGUAACUAUCCAUCUAUGUAACUAUCCAUGUAACUAUGCAUAUAAUUAUCAAUGUAACUGUCUAUGUAACUAUUCAUCUAUAUAACUAUCAAUGUAACUAUCCAUUUAAUUAUCCAUGUACCUAUGCAUGUAACUAUCCAUGUAACUACAGAUUGAUAGUUACCUGGGUAGUUACAUACAUGCUACACUUGUGUACCUGCCUAUGUAACUAUCCAUGUAACUAGCAAUGUAAUUAUCCAUAUAACUAUGCAUGUAACUAUUGAUGUAACUACAGAUUGAUAGUUGUCUGGGUAGUUACAUGCAUGCUACACUUGUCAUGCAUGUAACGAUCCAUCUAUGUAACUAUUCAUGUAACUACAGAUUGCUAGUUACAUGGGUAGUUACAUUGCUAGUUACAUAGAUUUUAAUAGAUUUAUGUUCUAAUACACAGCGGGACGUUGCCGUUGCGGUGCAGCGGCACGCUGCAAUUAUUAUUAUGUAAAUGACUUGUGUACCUACAUUAAGCUACUUAUCUAACUAUCAAUGUAACUAUUCAUGUAUCUAUCCAUAUAACUAUGCAUGUAACUAUCUAUCUAUGUAACUAUGUAUGUAACUAUCCUUCUAUGUAACUAUGCAUGUAACUAUCCAUGUAACUACCGACUGAUAGUUACAUGUGUAGCUUCAUACAUUCUACAUAACAAGCUACACUUCUUCUUUUUUCUCACACAGAACGCAGAAUAUGGCAAAGUAAAACAGUCUAUAUUAAUUGUAAAUCAUCAAAUUAAGAAUACCUAGGAAAACAAUUUAGUGCUAACACAACUCUUAAAACUCUGGCUUUCCUCAUUCAUCGUUUAAUCCAAAAUUCAUUACAAAAUAGAGUAGGAAGGGAAAGGAAACCAUUAUUGUCACCAUGCUUUAGUGCACUUAACAUUGAUUUCAGUAUGACUUUAUCACUACCUUCCCUCAAUAUAUGCAAUCUGCAUAAGUAUAAAACAUUAUGAAGUUGUUUGGGUGUUGAAAAUGAAGAACCCAAAAACAGAAACAUCAAGCUUAAUAAAUAGAGAUAUGUUCCGCACAAAUAAUUUUUCAUUUAGCAGUUCAACAAAACCGCCAACUCAUUGCAUCUCCUUAAAAACUUGCUUGGUAGACUUUUCUCCUUCAUUUUCCAGUUUUCUGCAUAAUGACCUUCUCUCCUUCCGACGGCUAUAACUUUCUCUACAAAAUAGCUAUCAACAAUCCGCGAAAUGUUCUGAAAACUAGACUCUUCUAGCUUUCCGUUGAUGUAAGGCAAGUUUCUUGGAUCGCUUUGAGCUGCUCGCAAUUUGCCGUCGAAUUUGACUGAAAAUCUGGGCAGAAUUUGGUAUUUCUUAAGCUUUCAUCUUUUAUGUGCAUCUCUUUGCAGCGUGUAGCAUCUCUUUCCUCACAUUCCUUGCUCAAGAACUUGAGAAGGUCAGCCCUCGCUAGCACAUCAAGGUCCACUGCGCUCUGAUCGAGCAAAAACACCAAAAUUCAUUCACAGAUAUUUCCUCAAACACCUUGUGUGCAUAACCAAAUAACAUAACACAAAUUAAACAUCUCAAACAAACAUGCAUUUACAAUCUAAUCAAUAAAAGAUUCAUGACACAACAUUCUAUUUCAUAAAUGACAUACCCAGAAUACAAUAAAACCCAUGAAUUCAAACUUCUUUUUCUAUUUCUAGUUUUAAUCACAUAAAAAAGAAAAAACAAUCAAUUGAUAAAGAAGAGAGAAACAUAUUAGCUUACCUUGUAAGCUGAAGACGAUGAUCGAAAUUAAUCCGAAAAGCCAUGACAUAAGAGAUUUGUUGAAGGAUGAAAGAAAAAUCAAAGAGGAUGAAAUCGUCGAUGACGACGGCGGAGAGCUCCGUCGUGUGCUUCUAGAUAUGUUCUCUCUGAGCUCACUUUGGUAACGGCAUCAAUCUCUCGGUAAAGGACGACGGGUUCGCCGGAGAGAGUGAUUCGCCGGAGAGAGAGAAAGAGAAGAGAGAGAGUGAGGGAGAUGAGUUGAGAGUGAGUGAGAGAGAUAGAUAAUGGUUAAUAUGUUAUUAUUUUUGUCAAUGGCAUGAUAUGUAAUUUUUUUAAAAUUUAUGAGCAACGGUUUAAAGAAUUUAAAUGGAUGUAUUGUUUUAUCAUCAAAGAACAUUUGUUAACAGUUUUAUCAUUUAUUACUUCUAAAUGUACCAUUUUAUCAUUGGCCCAAAAGUUUAAUAGCAUAAAAACUAGUUUUUAAUCUGCAAGACAAAAUUUAAAGUUGAUAAAAAAAAAAACCCAAAUGAAUCGGUAAAUAGUACAUGUGAUUACGAAAGUAAUCGAAAUUCAGGUGAUGAAUUUUGAAGAAGAGGUUUUUAUUUCUUUUCUUUUGAUGCGUAGUAAUAGUAGAGAAGAGUUAGGUUUUACGGAAGAGGUAAGUUUUUUUUUUCCCUAAUAAUUGAUAGAUGUUUUUGUAAUUAAACAUACCUAUAAAAUCUAAUAUGAAAUAUAAAAUAAUAGGGGUGUGUAUUAAGAGAUUAGAGGUGUGUAUUUAAAAUUUCUCUUUUAUUUAAUAUUCAUAUAGUGGUAGUAUAUUUUGGCUGGGUUCUUAUUUUCUUAUUGCAUCUCAAUAAAUCAAGUGUAUAUAUAUCUACUAUAUUUUAGUUAAAUAUUUUAGACUAUCGUUAAAUUUUCUUAUUGUUUCAAUCAACUGGGGAAAAAAAAAAUUCAAGCCCACCAUAGUGUUAAAUCCUGGAUCCGCCACUGGUUGGAUGUUGUAAGGCCCUGUCACAUUUGGUGUACCACUCCAUAUCAGCUCCGCUAACUAUGACUCCCAUCAAACCACACACUAUCUCCAGGAUUACUACAUAACUCAUAUGCCACCGUUCCAUUUAGUCCGCCACAAUCAGAUCCUCUGUACGCCCCUCUACCGCAACACGCAUCUGUUCCAUCCUUAAAACCUUCACAAUGCACCAUAUACAGCUAAUCAGAAUCCUAUAAGUAGUUAUCGAAAAUCGAUAGCGUUCAUUUACAUAUUGCUGAUCUAACAUACCGUAUUUAUUGGGGUUAAGCACCCGAUCACCAAGUGCAUCAUAGUACUCGAAUAUCGAAUAUUUGAAUCCCGGUAGUUGGCUCUCUAGCUCUUUGAGAACACUAGCUAGAGCUUUAUUGUGCUGCCUCGCUAGAGUCUGGAGCCCUUCGACGCACCCAAGAACAAGUUGAGUGUCGGAUGAUUGUUUUGCAUAAGGUAAGCACCCAAUAGGUCCUGCAUUCUGAAAUGCUCUUUUCCUUCCUCCCAAGUCAUAUAUCCCCUGUACAUGAUACAAAAAGAAAUAACUGGCAUAACUAGUAGGACCCCUGAUGUUAGACUCCUUCCAAAGCUCAUCUAAUAAUAGAGGAAAAUAUCUAUUUUUCUUUAGAUAAUUUCUCUUACUUGGAGCACAUUGGUCAGGUUGCCGAUCACAAUUCCUAUGUAUUCUUGCUGGAGGGACUCGGUAGCAUUUUCUUGGUAUUCGGCGUAGAAGGUAAAAUAGUCAUUGCCUCCCAUGCUAAUCAAGUACACAGCGCUCCCCAGCAACUUCUUGGCCUCUUCAUGACCGAGUUGUUCUUGCAACAACUCCGUCACGUUCUUAAAAUAGCUCAACUGAAAUGGAAGAUUUAUCUGGAAAACCCACAGGUAUAACAGAUCAUGAUUAUCGAGCUAAAAUCUACGUUCCUUGCCUUAAAAGGUUACUUCACAUAUAAGUAAAACAUGGAAGAUGAUCCCACUGUUCCUGGAUUAGUUUCAACAAGAACCCCAGCUCCUGCUGAAGCAAAGCUAGCUCCAUCAGUAAAUUUUUUUGAACCUGGUUGCAGAAAUGGUGGAAGCAUAGGCAAGUUUGCAAACUUGGCUGCAAAUACAAGUCGUAAAGAUCAUUGAACUGCGCGCAUGCAUUAUAUAAGUGCCCCAUGAUUUGUGAACUAGUUCUAUGAAGGUCCUAGAGGGGGGGUGAAUAGGCCUUUAUUACUUUUUCGUCCAAUUCCGUUCACAAGGAUAGCAAACAUUUAGCUAUCCUGAUAACAGGGAGACGUAGUAAUAAAUAAAAAAACAAGUACUGGAAAGUAAAAGAAAUAACACCAGUACGUUUUUUUAUUCGUAGAAAUCCUGCAUCAGGGAGAAAAACUGCGUGCCCCUAACUCUUGAGGGACAAACCUUUCCACUAUGUAAAACUCACUUCUUACAAGAUUAUAGUCUAGGGAUACAACGACGAUUUGCAAUCCUGCCUAGUCUACCCACUAGUCUAGAUCUAUCUCUCCUGUCUCUGAGUGACUCACCUCACUCCUCACAAGAUUAUAGUCUAGGGAUACAACAACGACUUGCUAUCCUGCCUAGUCUACCUACUAGUCUAGACCUACCUCUCUUGUCUCUCAAGUGUUUACAUAUGAAGGUAUAAGAAGAAGUUUCAACUCAGAACUCAGCUAACGCCUUUAACUGAUUCUUCUUGAACACUUCUCAGAAUACUCAACUCAGAACUGCUAUCCUAAUGAGAGGAAUUCUUCAGACCUCAGCUAACACCUUUAACUGACUCUCUAGAACUCAGCUCUCCUCGAUCAACUGAUCCUUCUUGAGUACUUUUGGGGUUGCUGCACUACCAUCACUCAUGAUAUGCAGAAUGCUAAUGGGUUUAUGAAAAGAGUUUUUGCUCUUGCUCUUGCUCGAAGAUUUACAAUCACCAAGGGAAGACUUAGAGGCAAAUGAGCAAUGCAAGGAAAAACCUAGACCCAGCUAAAACUAUGUAGAGAACUACAUCUUGAACAACCAAGGAGCAAGAAGAGACUUGCUCCAUAUAUAUAGGCAAAGUGCAAGCUAAAGGAGAGGAUGCCCGUUUACCAAAAUGGGAGGCAACUUUUGGACUUUAGUCCUUGUCCAAACUCAUAAAGUGAGAGGGCCAAGGGACAAACAAAAGGCUUCAAGAGAGUAAAGACAAACACAACUCUCUUAUAUCAUAAUGGUCCAAUAAGGAAGAAACAAAAGGUUUUGUGAAUGAAGGAGACACAACAAAACCUAUUCCUAUAUGAGGACACAUAGGCCAGCUGAUAGCUUGGGCAGUGCAUCACAUGGCUCAGCAGUUAACUUGGUUUGUGUAUCACAAAACCCAGCUGGACUAAAAAAGGAGCUGCCCUAAAAGUGCUUUAGUCAUGUGCUUAUGGGUUGGAAGAACAACACAACCCUAGACUAACUUGGAGCUCAAGCACGAUGAAAAAUGUUUUGCUAAAAGAGAUUUGAAAUUCAAAUACUUGAAAAGCUGAAGCAAAACUAUUUAAAUCUGCACGAAGUCAGACUCAGAGAUUAGGAUAGAUACAACAAAGGUAUCCACCAAAUCUGGAUGGCAAGCAGAGCUGCCAUCCUGAAUGAAUGUGAUGCACAUGCAUGAACUACCUGAUGUACAUGAGAUAAAAACAAAGAGCCAGCUAAUAUAAUAGUUUGUGUAUCACAAACCUAGCUGGAGCCUCUAAGCUCUAGUCAUGUGGUCAUGGGUUGGAAACACUACACAACCCUAGACUGACUUGAAGCACCAAGGCAUUGCUAAAGGGGAUUUGAAUUCAAACAGGGGAAUUCAAACUAAUGAUACACAAAUAGCAAAAGCAUUUAGACAUGCAUACAUAUAGACCCAAUAGAUUAGGACAGAUACACCAGGAGGUAUCAUCCGAUCUAGGAUGAUAAGCAAAGCUGUCAUUCUCAGUGAAAAACAUGAGAUGCAUAUGCAUGAACUACCUGAUGCACAUGAGAUCUAGGCAGGUCUUCAUUCUUCACUUGUGAUAUCCUUACCAUCAGGAUAUGUAGAAUUCUCAAUGAAAAGCAUCAGAUGCAUAUGCACCAGUUACCUAGGACACAUGUGAUCUUGUCAAGUCUUCAUUCUUCACUUGUGAUAUCUUUACCAUCAGGAUAUAUAAAAUAGCUUGUGUCUUGUGUUUUGAUCAUAAAAGGGAUAGCCAACAAUCCUUAUACCAACAUUCUAUAAAAUACUAUUAAUACAUGCGUAUGAGGGAUGCUAAUGUCGAUCUACGAUCAGUUUAAUUAAUCUGUAAAUCUUACCGAUGAAGUCGGGGACUACGCGGCCAUCGCAAUUUCGUCCGUUAGGACGGUGAAAGAAAGUUUCUCCAUAUGGCCAGGUUAGUGCUGCAUCAUUUUCUACAGUAUCAUUUGGGAGGUACUGAUUGUUGCCGGGAUCAAGCAGUGAGUCUCCAAACACAAACAAGCUAGGCCUUAAAUUCUACUUGAGUAUCAUCUGCAGGCUUAUAGCUGAACUGAUCAUGAGAUUCAUGACCAUAAAGAAGGUAGCUAACUGGGUUCAAAAGGCUUACGAACACAUAAACAAGGUAGCUAAUGUCUGCCAUAACAAUCCAAAUUCUAAAGUUAACUAUAACAUGUCUCCUGCUAUAUAGGUCUGGUUUCCUCCAAAGCAAGCUACACUACGCCAGAAACAGGCUUUUACGGCCGGCAAUGCGCGCCGUAAAAGACUUUUUACGGCGCACAAAAAUAAGCAAUAAAUGCCUGCGCCGUAAAAGACACAUUACAUUCACGGUGCGCCAAUACGAGCCAUAAAAAUAGAUAAAUACACGCCGUAAAACUGAUCCCUCCAACAUUAUAACAUCCAAAUGAGGAUUUUUGUGCGCCAUAUAUGAUCCAAAAGAACGCCGUAAAAGACUUGGAUUAGAAUGUUUUCACGGCGCUCUAGCAUGCCGUAAAAGAGUAUUAGUUUAAAGACAUUUACGGCGCACAGGCAUGCCGUAAUAACCUAUUUGCUUUGCAUGUUGCUUUUAGCAUUUCUUGUUUCCACAAUUUGCUGAUCAUAUUCCAUAUUCAUGGUAUUACAUUCCAUUGGCUGCUCAAAUCAGAGUUAACAAUAAUUAACUUCAAAACCUUAUGCAAGAACAACAAUCUAAUUUAAGAGCUAGCAAAGGUGAACUAACAUCAUAUAUAUAUAUAUAUAUAUAUAUACAUACAUAUCUGAACAAUCUGGAAAUUCAGUAUGUAUCUCAACAACAACUGCAUAUGUCGCUACAAAUUCCAUCAAAAAAUAAAAUUACAAUUCAGAGUACUUGGAAGCUUUCAAACUCCAUUAUCCAACUACAAAAUGUCCCAACAGUAGCAACAUAAGCAUUAAUCUUCAUUCACCUCAAAACUUCACAUUACCUGCUAGAAACAAGUUUGAAAAUAUACAUAUUAUACAUUGGUUCAUCUAAGGAUCAUAAGAAUCCAAAUAAUUGCAUACAUAAGGCAAUACUCAAGAAAAAAAAAUAUAUGAGUUCAUAUCUCUAAAUUCGAUAAGUUAUGGUCUCCUAGCACAUGUAAAAUUGAGUUAAGGUAUCCAGACAAGAAUGUGGCAGUCCUCAUAUAACCUUAAUCAAAUCUACAACUACGCCAAAGUAAUUAAUUUAUAAGCAAAUUGAGUGGUUGCACUAUCUACAAGAACAAACCAGAAUUAACAUAGAAUCUAGAUGAAUAUAUACUAAAUUUAAUUUAAUGAAUGAAUAUAGAGUACAAUACUGAAAACAAAUAUUGAGGUUAUAUGUUAAGAGUAGGUUACCUGCUAUAUCUUGUUAAUAGAUUAAAUUUGUCUGAUGUACUUGAUAGGCCAUGCAAUUGUACUUCCUGUAGCCUCGCUCAGUGUUCCAAACUCCCUGGUUGGUCGAUAUAAAGCUAUAUCAUCAAAAACAUCAAGCACCCAAACUUUCCAACAUUCAGGACCAAGGGGCACAUGAUGAACCAUAGCAUUUGGAUCUUUGGAAUCAAGUUUUGCAAUUGCAACACCUUCGCUCAUCUCAAACCAACUUAACAAUUCAAUUCUAUUUUGAUCAUCCUUUAUACCUUUGGCCCUUGUACCUUCCUUGUCUUUACUUUGCAUCCCAUGAUCAGUAGAGUGUUGAAGACGUGAAGUUUUUCUUUGGUUACUCUGCUUGCUCUUUGGACUUCGAAUUUCAGAUCUCUGAACACUUGGAUUGUUUUGCUUCCUUUGGGUUACACUUUGAUUCACAUUCUCCUUCUGUUGUGCAACCUUAUUAGCAGAAUGCUGAACACUGGUACUACCCUGUCAUUAUAAAGUUCAAGAAAUCAGUAACCUAGUUGAGUUAUCUACCAAAAGUUAAUAAUUCUAACUAAUUUACAUGGUUAUUUCCUUCUUUCUCUGAUCGAGGUAAAAGAGUGGUAAGCACUUCUUCUAAUCGUUCAAUCUCUUGCGAUUGAGAAAGCAUCUCUUGUGCUUGAGCGGACAAAGCAUUCUCUAAUUUAGCAACUUUGUUUCCAACAUUAGUUUGAUAUUCUACCCUUGAAGGAACUGCUCCAAAUCCUAACCCUCUUACCCUUCCUCGUGGAUCCGGACCUAGAACUUUUGCUACAGCAUCAUCUUUUAAAGAACAAGGUUGUGAAGGUUGUUCAUUUGCCUGGUACUGUUUCACUUGUUUCUAAAAAAGACUAAUGUUAAUCUCAUGCAACUUUGAUAAAUUGACAUAAUAUCUGCAAACACAACAAGAAGAGUAUACUAACCACUAUUUCAUGAUCCUCAACUACUUCAUCUGAGCCCUUCUUCUUCUUUGUUUCAUAAGCAUGUACCCAUACAACAGACCUUGUUAUUACUUCUGGAUUUUCACUUUGUUCCUUCUACAUUUCAACAAGUAGAAAUAUUCUUGUUCAACAAGUAGAAAUAUUCUUGUUCUUAUCAAGUUAUGAAACUCAAUUGAAGCUAAUAAUAAGAUUACACUUACCAAUUCUUCUUCAAGCCGUGCAAAGCUUUUUUGACUAGUUCUGUGUAGUAAUGUUCUUGCUGCUCGCAUUUCCUUGUACUUUUCACACUUUGCCUAUGAAAAAAAAAACAUGUGGCAGUAUCAUGAUCUGAAAUCUGAUACCGUGCAAGACAAAUAUAUAUAUAUAUAGAUAUAUAUUACAAUAUAUUUCUAAUACAUACCUUAAAUCCCACACUAGUUCUGUACUUGACAAGAGCUAGCCAUUCAUGCAUGGAUUCAACAUUAGUAGCCAAGAUAAGCAUAACUUGUAUUUAAAGAGCAAACAUUUUACAAUUGCAGUACUGUAACUAGCCAAGAUAAGUAUAAAAGAACUAUAAGUAAUUAAAAAUGAAACAUAUAUAACCAACAAAACACUGAAAUACACAAUUGCAAUUCAAUUCUGUUAAGUAAAGCAAAGAGAGAGAGGACGAUUUGAUACCUAUAGUCAAGCGGGCUGCGUCUGAUUGCAAAGAGAGUGACGAUUUUGUUAAGUAAAACACCUUAUGUGAGGAGACCUGCACCAAAUAUAGAAACAUACGUCACUCAAAAUCACCAACAUCAACAAAUACCCAGAUCAACAGAACUUAAACAAAUAAUUGCAAUAACUUUCUCAAUCAUGACACAACGCUGAUAGCAAACAUGUUGAUCUAACUACCAACACCAGUGCCUAUACUACUAGUCUCUAACUUUAACAACAAAGUAAAUUGAAAAGUUUAGAUGAAUGUUUCUAAAGUAACUUUCACAAUCGUUAGAAGCAAUAAACUGAAUUAUAUACAUAUAUAUAUACUACUAGUCCCUGUUUCUAAUACAACCAGAACCUACUGUAAUGCUUUCAAAUUUCAAAUACAAAAAGACACGUACUUAGCCAAGGCACUUAUGGUUGCAGAUAUGCUUGUAAUGAUCUCUUAAAAGCUAAAAAAGAACAGGGGUCCUUGAUCAAAUUCGAACUGGUCCUUGAUCAAAAGUAAAAUCCUUAAAAACUUCAAUUUUCACAUAUGGUAAAUACUGUUCUAGACCCACAACCUAACUUGUGGUCGUAAGCUUGAUAAGUUCAUGAAACAAUAGUUAAAAUCGCAGCCUCUGAAGUAAACUGCCAUAAUCAUGUAGAAUAAUCCACAAGCUGCAUACAAAUGUACAUUCAAGUCCCUCUUAAAGAAACAAGAAUCAUAAGUUAGUAAUCCUAUUCAGGGAACAAUUAGCUUAUCAUACUCCCUGCUUUACCUAUUUAUGCUUUACUCCAUGCUCUAUAUUCUUCAGUAACCAUGUCAUGUACUCCCUCAUCCAGCCUUUUUAGUUUCGACUAGGAAAGAGCAUAUAUAGGCUCACAAAUUUAAUGAACUAAUUAACCUCUACAACUACCAUCCAUCACUUGCUAUGUCGAACCCCAACUGAUUUACACUAGAAGUUAUUUCCCCUGUUGUAAAUUAUGUCCUCAAGUCCCAAUCACAAACAAGAACCAGAAGUUUUACUACAGUACUCAUAAGUUUAAAAAAAUUCAAUUCAAAGUUGGCAGGAAAGAACAAAGCUAUACUGAACCAUACUUUCUGUCUUACUACAAGGCUCCUAACUUUAAAGACUUAAUUCAAACCCUAUCACUAAAGAGCAAAGCUAAAGUGAACUAUAAUUUCAUUCUUACUGCAAGGCUCACAAACACGAUUACAAGUAUAACAAAAAUGUGCUACGAUCAAGUACCGAAAACUGCAUCAAAACUACCAAGUCCAUAAGAGCAAUACUCCCCAGCCUGAGCCUCACCAGCAUAAAGAAAUACCCAGACAUAAAGAAAUUAUUUACCCUUACAAAUACCCAGACACUCCUCUCUUACAAAUCCAACAGACACUCAUCUUAGAUUAGCAAAUACCCAGCUAUUAAUCCAAAAGUUUAAACCUUAGAUUAGCAAAUACAUACCUAGCUAUAAAUCCGAAUGAGUUUAGAGUUUCAGCGAUUCUAAUCGCUUCAAACAGAAAGAAGAAGAAGAAGAAACAAACCUACCUUGCACCAGCUGAGCACAGCACCACAGCCAGAAAUCCCCAGAAACCGAUCUACAUGCUUUCCGGUAUGCAGCUCACUGUAGAAUUCGGUGGAAUGAACAUCUUUCUAACUCUGUCAAGAUUUGGAGGAUUAUGUUUUCUGGUUUGAGGCUUCAGGUUUGAGGUUUGGAGUGGGACUUCUUAGAAUCGAAGAGAAAGAGAAGAUAACCCUCUCAUGCAUAUGACUUUUCAGGUUUGAGGUUUGUUGUGUAAGGAUUCUCAUAUGACCCUUUCUCAACUUCUUAGGAAGAAAGCAACGACCAGAAAACGAGAAGGUAAUAAUUUUGGGGAAAAUUUUAGGGAAAAUUUAGAAGAGGGAAGAGUUUAAUUGAGAGGGAAAUUAGAUUUUUUAGGGAAAAUUUCGCGCCUUAAGAUUCCUUUUUUACGGCCGGUUUCAUAUGCGAGCUGUAAAUAACUUUCUGCUAUAUUCUGUUUUCACGGCGCUCUACUUGUGCGUGCAGUAAAAACAUAUCACGAUUACAGCACACAAUAGAUGCGCGCAGUGAAAGACUUAAUGUGAUUGGUCAUUUACGGCGUGUAUAUUAGCACGCAGUAAAAGAAUUCAUGUCAAAGAGUUUUUACGGCACGCAUUAAAAGCACGCCGUAAAAGAGCAUAUAAUACGGCGUGCAAUUAUGCACGCCGUAAAUUUUGCGCGGUAAAUGCCCUAAAUUCUUGUAGUGCUAUACUCAUUAAUUAUGUCUAUUAGGAUAAAGCAGAAGGGCCAGUAUGCUAAUUAAAAUAUCUACAAAUGUCACAAAUUAAAAACAGAUGUCAUAUACUGCCGGCCACAUUGUGGAAGGAAGGAGAUCGAAAAGGGGUAGUUUACCUCGUGGGAAUGGUUCUUAGAACGAAAAUAGAUAUCAAGAAUAAGAUUACAAUCAGACUGUCUCAAUUUUCUGGUAAAUAACUAAUCGAGUUAUAGAUAUGAGUCACUGUGGAUAUAUCAUCAGAGUAGUUUAUUAGAUGCAUGGAAGUCAUGGAACUGCAUGAUGUAUGUUCCACUUUAUUUCUUAACUAAUAAGUAAGUUAACUACUAAAUAAAUCUUAUUAUAACGGGCAACUACAUUGUGUUAUGCAACUCAACUUGUGAUUUGAUAUUUUUAGGCUUUCGAAAAAUGUCUGGGAAAAAAAAAAUGAAAAAGAAGUCUGAAGAUUGAACAUGAGGACUAAAGACUGGUUGAUUGGUCAACCCAGCGUACGUUUAUGCAUGGACUAGCAAGUUAAAAGAAGGCCAAGAAACCAAUCAAAUCAAAAUAUCAAAUAUACGUGCUAGUUCGAUCACGAGUUGUUCAUUUGAUUUUUAACAAGAUGUUAAGACAUCUCGAUCGCUACCUUACGUCGUAAUCGAUCGUUAUCGUUAUUAUGGAUGGUGGGCGACUCUUAAAUCAUAAUCAAUCACUAUCAUGUAUAGUGUUAUGGUGUUUGUUUACUCGGUUUCAGCUCAAUCUCGUGGUUUAAUUAUUACUAAGGAGUGAAACUACAUGGAUCUUUCUUCUACAUUUUCCAUGAGUUUGUUAAAUAAAGGUGCUAGAAAUCGUAAUAAAAAAGUGGGUGUAUUUUGGUUUCUGCGCUUAGUUUAGACUAGGUUUGUGAGUCACAAGAGGUAGCUCUAUAUUUCGGUCCUAAGGCUAAUGAGUGUGUUAUCUUGAUACUGCUUGUUGGUUAAUGAGUGUGUUAUCUUAAUACUGCUUGUUGAAUAUAUGAAUUGGUUGAUUUUUGACUCAAAAAAAAAUAUUAUGGAUAUUUAAAAAAUAUAUAUUUGGUUUUCUCUUCCAUUUUAAACGUAAGUAUUUCCAUGCAUGAAAAAUGUUUUAUUUGGUAUGUUCUUCAGAGGAUGCUAUUGCCUCUAAUUGUAUUCACCUUUGACUACAAGUAAAGUUAAAUGUUUUCUAAAGAAACAAAUAAUUUUAAGCAUUUCUGAAGAAAAAAAAAUAAUUAGCACUGAUACUGGGAUCAUUCAUUACUGGUUUCAUCUCCAUCAACUAUACCUCACUAGUUUUAAAUUUAUUCCAAUAAUGAGAAAAUUAUCAAAAUUAUUCUUGUUCAAAAAGUUGUUGGACAUUGUAAGGCCAUGUCACAUUGGGUGUUCCACUCCAAAUCAGUUCCGCCAACUGCAGGUUUGCCCUUUCAGUUGUAUGACUCCCAUCAAACCACACACUAUCUCCAGGAUUACUACAUAACUCAUAUGCCACCGUUCCAUUUAGUCCGCCACAAUCAGAUCCUCUGUACGCCCCUCUACCGCAACACGCAUCUGUUCCAUCCUUAAAGCCUUCACAAUGCACCAUAUAUAGCUAAUCAGAAUACCUAUAAGUUAUCGAAAUCGAUAGUGAUCAUUUACAUAUUGCUUAUCUAACAUACCGUAUUUGCUGGGGUUAAGAACUCGGUCGCCAAGUGCAUCAUAGUACUCGAAUAUCGAAUAUUUGAACCCCGGUAGUUGGCUCUCUAGCUCUUUGAGGACACUAGCUAGACGCUUUAUUGUGUUGCCUUGCCAGACUCUGGAGCCCUUCAACGCACCCAAUUACAAGUUGAGUGUCGUAUUCUUGUUUUGCGUAAGGUAAGCACCCAAGAGGUCCUGCAUUUUGAAAUGCUAUUUUCCUCCCACCUAAGUCGUAUAUUCCCUACAAACAAAUACAGAAAAUAAGUACUUGCGAAAUUAGUACGACCCUUAAUAGAGGGAAAAUAAUAACGGAUUAAUCCUCCAUUAAUUUACUUGGAGAACAGUGGUCAAGUUGCCGAUAACAAUUCCUAUGAAUUCCUGCUGGAGGGCCUCGGUGGCAUUUUCUUGGUAUUCAGCGUAGAAGGUAAAAUAGUCAUUGCCUCCCAUGCUAAUCAAGUACACAGCACUCCCCAGCAACUUCUUGGCCUCUUCAUCACCGAGUUGCUCUUGCAACAACUCCGUCACGUUCUUAAAGUAGCUCAAUUGUAAUGGAAGAUUUAUCUGGAAAAGAUAGAGAAACCAAACAAGAAGAAAUUAAGAUCAUGCCGGUGCCAAAAGUUCAUCAACAAUAAAUUAGAAGGCUUAAUUUGCAAAUGAGAGUAAACAUCGAUCACAGCUCUUACGUACAGUUCCUGGAUCAGUUUCAACUAGAACUCCGGCACCGGCUGAAGCAAAGCUGACUCCGUUGGUAUAAUUUUUUGGAUCUGGUUGCAGGUAGGGUGGAGGCAUUGGCAAGUUUGCUAACUUGGCUGCAAAUUAAAGUUGCAAAGAUCAAUUAAGUAUGGAGUACUGCAUUAUUUAGUAGCCACACAAUUUCUAUCUAAACCUGUUUGAUGAACUCCAAAUUAGUAACAUGAAUGCGCAAUGUAAAUGUUUACAGUCGACACGUUUGGUUAACCUUACCGAUGAAGUCCGGGACUAUACGGCCAUCGGAAAGUCUUCCGUUGGGGCGAUGAAAGAAGGUUUCUCCAUAUGGCCAGGUUGUUGCUGGGUAUUCUUCUACGGUGACAUUAGGGAGGUAUUGAUCGUUGCCAGGAUCAUACAGCGAGUCUCCAAACACAAACAAGGUCUUAUAUUGUACCUCAUUAUCGUCUGCUGCUGGUUUAUAGUUGAACCGGUCAUGACCAUAAAGAAGGUAGCUAACUGGGUUCAAAAGGCUUACCAAAACAUAAAGAAGGUAGCUAAGGCUCGCCAUAAUACUCCAAAUUACAUGACCUGGUAUCUCUCCAAUUUUAUAGGUGCGGUUUCAUCCAAACCAAGCAAUAUAAUCGAUACUCAAUUAAAGAAUGUGGUUUGUGAUAAUUGAAUAACAUGUGCUUUAGCAUACAGCUGAAACAUGCAUGUUAUUAAGAAAUAGGUCAUGGCCGAUCAUUGUAGGAGUAGAUGAGCUCGUGGGAGUGGUAGAGGGUGAACUCAUGGACAGUAGUCAACUAAAAUUGGAUUACAACAAUCAUAUAUUAUAUUAUUGGGAAAUAAUACCGUGCUAGGCAAUAAUACAAAUUGACCAAAAAUAAAGAAAUAUUAAUUAUUUGGUGCACUAAUUUGGUAUAUAUAUAUAUAUAGAACAGAUUUCAAUUUCAUUAGUUUCUGUCUUAACCUUUCAAUCUCUCAAUGAUUAUUUAGGAUAAGGUUAUGAUGUUAACAUUUCUUAUAUUAUCUCAAACUCUCUAUAUUGGUUGCAAUUUCAAAGAACGAGUUUAGUUUUUUUUAUCAAUUUUACCAGCUCCAACAGACUAGUUAGUUACUAGCUAUUUUAACUUUUAGUUACCUCGCUCUCCAUAUAAUUUAUGUUAAUUCAAAGUAUUUCUUUUAAGUCGUUUUAUGUAAUAAUAAAACACAUUUAAAUUAAUUUUUCUUUAUUUAAUCAAUAAUGUAAAUCAAACUUUAGUUAAAAUAGAAAAUAUUAAGAGCAACUUUAACAGACUUUCUAUUUUAGUUUUUAGCUAUUUUAGAGAGCGUAUUUAGUUUUUUUGAAUGUUUAGGAGCUCUAGCAGACUAGCCAAACUUAAGCUAUUAUAACUUUUAACUAUCUCGUUAGCUAUAUUUAGCUAGCGAGAUAGCUCAAAUGAGGCUAGCUAUAAUUUAUUACAUUCCUUGUAAGAUAUUUUAUGUGAUAUAUAAAUAUAUUUAAACCAUUUAAUUUCUAUUUUAAGAAUAAUGUUGAUGUAAUGCUAGCUAAAAUAAAGAGCAUUGAUGCAGCCACAUUUCUAAAAUGGCUAGCCAAAAUGACAUUUUAGCUAAUUUGACUAAAAUUUAACUUUAAAAUUACUAGUAUUACUAAAGAUGCGCUAAUGUAGAGGUAUUUUGGCUAGCCAAAAUAACUUUUUAGCUAUUUUAGCUAAUAUUUGACUACAAAAUAGCUAGCGUUGCUAUUUUCUCAAGAUGCUUUAAGAGAAUUCACUGUUUUUUGACCAUUUUGAAGAUGAGUAUAUGAUUAAUAUUACUAUUUUAAUUGAUGAUUCAUUUUACUUUAAAGUAAUGUAUACAUGUCAUACAUUAAAACGAUGUAGACCUAUAACUGUGACAGCGGCGAGGCUGCGAGAAUGUGAAAGAAACUGUCAUAUUGGCAUGUUAAUUGGUUAUAGGUGUAUAUAUAUGGUGCUACUGCAAAGGAGAUUACUAUUUUAACUUAAUUAUCAUUGAUUCAGUAAGUCAAACACUGUUAACCAAUAAUCGCGUACAGGAAACCAAAUUAAGCCAUGCAUUAUUGUUUCUCUAAAACAACCCAGAUCGAAGGAUCUAUGAGGAUAACAAACGCUAGCUAUCAAUCCUGGCCUGUCAUUGUUAAUUUUAGGAUUAAGACAUCCCGCACAUUUUGAAACGUUUUGUUUUUUUUUUCUAGGAUCUACAGCUAAUCGAAUCCUUAUGAUUUUAUCAAUUAGCCUCGAGUAUUCACAAAGAAAUCUGAAGUAUUCACAAAGAAAUCUGAAGUACGUACGUGGUGAUGGAACUGUAAGGACUGGUAGUUUGGUCAACAGAUCGAUAUAUAGAGCAUGCGUGGACUAGUAAGUUAAAAGGAAUUGAACCACUUACGUACUUCCCGGCAAAAACAACAUCGAUGCAUGAUUUAAUUAAUGAAAUUAAAUCAGACGUACGCACUCGUCCAUCAUGACUUGUUUACUACUCUUUGGAAAGAUUAAUUUCAAGAGAUCUCGCGUAAAACGAGUCAUUGUCAUGUAUAAAUAUACACUAGCUAGCUUUUUAUUUAUCUUCUUCUUAUAGCUAGCUUUACACACUUUUUUACAUGUAUAUUUGUAAUUUUGGGGGUAUAAUAAUGCUAAGUAGGUAAACAGUAAAACAGAUGCUUUAGAGAUCAAUGUGUAGCUAGGCUUCUCUCCGUCACCUAGCUAGUUUGUGCCUCAUCAGCUGAGCUAAGCACAUACAUACAUAGUAAAAAUGACCAAAAAGAACGGAGCGGAUUCAGGCGCACUUGAACCAUAACAGAUGAGCAAACAUCCGUUGGCAACAAAAAUAAAAGUUGAACAGCUGUAAGAUACAAUCUAGAAAGAAUUUAUUACCCCUUCCAUCAGUUCAUGAUACCAAGCCAGAGGAAACCCAGUUCAUCUUCCAGACCAGCCAUCUACUUUUGAUUUAUAGGGGCAAUUUUAAGCUCAAGAAUCAUUGAUUCAUACUUAAUAGAGGCGCAGAGCAAUUUAUUCUUUGAAGCUAGGGUUUGUUUAUUGUAUUGUAUUGUAUUUUCUUUAUUUAUUUAUUUAUUGAUAAAACAUCUGUAAGUGAAUACAAGCUUGCGGUAAUCAUAACUAUAUAAAUCAUCAGUGAAAAAGAAAUAUCCAUGGGAGACCUAAGAUCGAUAUCCCUAUAUUACAAAGAGAUGAUGGUAUCUAUUUAAUUACUUGUCUUGCUGGUUGUAUGAUUAUGAUAAAACUCUUCCAACAUCAUGGCAGGUGAACCAUUACAUGGAGGCAAGUAUGCAGGUGGUUUGCGUAUGCUCGUCUCCGGCGUGCCACCAUCUUUCACUAUUAUCACAGUGUUCAUACCCCAACCGAAAUGUCGAUCCAAAUGACAGUGCCAUAACCAGACCCCGGCCCUACCAUAUUCCGAACACAAUUCAUGCUACCAAUCAAUAUACAAGGCACACAUGAUAAGGGUACACCCUCAUGAUCGAUCUUUUACUAAGUCAAUUACUUAAUUAUUACGAAAGGAAACAUAUAUACCUGGAUUACUGGCUUUGAAUCUGAUAGCAACCCACCCUUUCUUUGGGAGUGAAACAGUAGUUAACUUUGGUGGAUCAAUCAAAUUGUAUCCUUUAGGGUCAGUCUCGUUGUCAAAAUUUCCAAAGCCUGAUCCGACUACAUAAAAGCUAUAACCAUGCAAGUGCAUUGGAUGAUCCUCAGAUCCAUCAAGCACAUUAGUACCCUGAGACACAACUUCCACCUCUUCAUUGUACUCUAACACCUUGACACUAGUUGCUUUGACAGUUGCAAUAGUUCUAUCAGGAGGCUGAUCGUCGGCUAUGAAGUCAAACAUUGAUGGUGGAUAAUCAGGAAAAUCUGCAGUAUAAAAUCCACUCAUGUUCCUGCAUAUAAAUGUAGUUUGCAAUAAUGUGGUUAAUUAAACUACAUAGCAGUUCCUCAAAUAGAAGUAUAUGUUACAAAUCGGAAAGUUUGGAGUUCAAGUAAAUACCUGUAGUAGUCAAGUAGCACAUCUGUUGAUGGAUUAACCCAACUUAGAUUGUUUAAAAUGGAUACAAGGCCACUCUUGAUCUCUUCACCACCAUUAAUGAAGGUGCCAUUAUUCAUCUCAACCGUGAUAUACAUUAUGGUUGUUAUAUUGUUUGGCACAUUUGUUGGGUGGUCUAUGCUUGCUAAGCUUUUGAGGCGACUUGUGAAGUUUACUGCAGGUAAAAUUUCCUCAAACGCAGGAAGGGUGGUUGGAAAGAUUGGGUAUACCAGGUCGGAGUAAUUUCCUUUAUACUCCAAAAUUGCUGUCACAUUUGUUUUGUCAUAGGCUUGAAAUGCGUCUAUAGCAGUGUCAAAUUGUCUUCCAGCCAUGUAGUAUCGGCCAAGAGGCUGGUUGGCUGUGACCAGAAUGUCCAUGGUUUGUCCGGUGGAAAUCAUGAUAAAAUCGGUCACAAUGGGUUUAACAUAGGAUCCAUCCAUACCAACAACAGUGAGUGUAUGUUCAGCAAUGGCAAAGUAAAGUUCUGCAUUCAUCACAGCAUUGAUAAUACGAAGAAGAUAAGUCUUGUUAUACUCCACUUGCCAACGAUGUGUACUGUCUGCAAAACAACAUUCACAUUAUAUCAGAUACAGAUGAGUUACAGAUUCUACAAGGUUUUUCUAGCUCAAGUAAACUGAACCGAACUAAACUUGGAGAAAACGGAACUUUGUUUUGAUGCUGCAAAGUUUUGUUUUUGCAAAGAAUCAAGUACAAUGUGGUCUCAUUUCAUAAACAAACAUUCUACGUAAAUUUGAGAUCUCUUCAACAGAAACUUAAUUACCAUUUGAGCACCAGCCAAAAUCCCCAGGUUGUCCAUUAAUGGUGUAACAAUCAGACCGAGGAGUGUCAUGACCUUCUUUGAUUUUUUCGGCAACCACCUCAUUCAGACGUUCAAUAAGAUACCAAGAUCCUGCAAAUAUAAUAGGAGCAACCGAGCGACAACAAUUAGGAUUUGGCUCAAAGCAAAUGCAUGGAUCCUGGCUUAUUUGGUUUCCUCAGCAAUGCCAGGUUAUGAUUUUCUCAGUUUACUGUCAAUUCUUUGUUACCACUUACCAGCAUACUGUAAUUUUAUCAAUCAAAAACAGAAAUUUGAGGCUUAAAUUUAUAAGAACGAAGUUGAUCAUACUUACCAAAUAUAAUUAUUUCUUCUCCAUCGGGCUCCAGAAAUGGAAAACCUGUCUCCUCUAAGGGCUUAACAACAAUGGCACCAUGGACACUAGCUCUGGUCCAUUCACUAUGCGCAUGCCACCAUAGUGUUCCUUCUUCAUCAGAAAAUAUAACCUCGUAAGUGAAAUUUGUGUUAGGCUCAAUAGGACACUGUGAUAUACUCCGGACCAUCUGACCAAGGAUUUCUUGGUUGAUGUACUCCAUGCCUACCCAGAAAAUAACAGUCUUAAACUUGGUACUCCAAAUGUACUUACACUAUAGUUACAAUAUGUGAUUCGAGAUUAGUCACUACUUGAUUACUAAUGAAUAGUAAGACCAUAGUCUCCUGGAUUGUGAACAUUGACAUAGACGGUAUCUCCUUUCUGCACGCGAAUGACAGGUCCAGGAAAACUAUCGUUCAUUACUAGCAUGCUCUUGGUAUUACAUAACCUUGUAAAGUUGGCUUCCUUGAGCUUCAUCCAAAUUUAAAGACAAUUGGCAAUUAGGUGAUCGAGUUUCACACACCCCAUAUAAAAAAGAAUCUCAUUUACAGAACCUUUUAGUUUAUAAGAAUCUCAAUCAUAAACAGUUUAUUCAUCUAUUAAUAAUACCUUUUGGGAUGAUAAAUAACCGUUUCUCGUGAAUGUAAUGAAGAAAUGUUCAAGUAUUUUCCUUGUUUAGUAUGCGAUAUAUCAUGCAAGCCAGAUAAACAGUGCUGAGUAUAUAUGCAUCUUCUCAGGUUUUUCAACAAAUUUUCAGUUUUUUCUAACAUCAACAUUCACCAUUUUCCCUGAUAUGAUUUAGUGUCAAGUUCUUACAGCAAAAUUUUGAUUAGUACGUACUGACUGAAAAAUAAUAAACCAUAUGAAGCAUAUGCAUGGAACACCAAUAUUCAUAUUUGCCUGGAGCACCCGGAUCGAUCUCAGGGCCGGCCGUGUCAACCAUGAAAAGUGAAAACUGGAGAAUAAAUGGGUACUAGCUAGUACUACUUACUACAAAGUCAUAGUAAUGGACAUGUCCUUCAACAAUGCAGAGGAGCAACCCACACAGAAGCAGUGGUGGAUCCAAGAUGAAAUUCUUACCUGGAUUAGUUGUAACACUAAAAAUAAAUUUCAACAAAUUCGACUUUCGAAGGUGGUAGAAUUUUUUUUUUUUAAUUUGAGGGUCGUGAAAGAGACGGUCGAGCUUGAAAAUGUCAGACAUUGAGACGUCGAGUAGCUUGCUAAGACUACUAAAAUUGGGAGGCAAUGAUGAGAAUUUGAGAGCAGCAAAUUAGCAAUUAAGGAUGGAGAGCGGAAAGACUACGUUUGUGAAUUUUGGAAUUGAGACUUCAGAGUCGAUGAUGUCUAGCCAAAACGACAUCAGCUUGAUUAAUAAUAACUAAAACGAAUAUUUUCUUAGAUGAGCGAUGGAUUCAAACUAGUAAACAUGGGUUUGCAAGGAAAUUAAGACAAAGAAAUUAAGUAAAAUACAUUCUUCUUCGUUACCUUCAAAAGAGUUGCGCAUACAACAGCUCAUACUGUAUAGGAGAAAGAGUCAAGCUACGACCUCCAUACUUUCAGCUAUUCAAAGAACUUGCAUGAUAGAUAAUAAGACUACGAAAUACAAUUAGUCCUAAUGCUAAUUAACAGAAUAAAAGAAUGAUUAAGGAGGUUUGAUCGCAUCAAUGAGAAGUAGGUUUUUUGUUUACUAGAAAAUUCUCACCUAGACUUAAGCCCAGGUGAGCCUGGGGCUGGAUCCGCUAGUGCACAGAAGCCAAGGACCAAGCACACCCAUCUUCAUGCUAAAACGUAUUUGUCGAGCCGAGCAUGCACAAACUUCCACAGCGUAUCCAAGCUCAGAACAAAUCGAAUGCAUGUAUGUUCAUAUAUGGAAUUAUGCAAACUAAAUUUCAAAAAGGUGAAGUGGGUACGUACCCAACUUUCUAUAAAUACUUCCUUCUGCUGGGGUUGAAUGGUUGUUCCAAGGAAGGAAAACGUUUAAGCAGAUCUAACUUCUAAAAUGAUCGCGUGGCUGCACUAGGGAGCUAGUUUCACUCUCCAUGAUUUGGACACUAGGGCACAUAACUGUGCUAGAUAAUUUGUUCGAGAUUUAAAUGUCUCUUAAAUGUCUGCUGCAUUUGUCAUUUGUGGUUGGCAUGGAUGGAAGAAAAGGAAGAGUGACGGUGACAAAUACAAAUGUCACUAUGGCCAUGACACUGACUGAGAAGAAUUACCAACUAGAGCUCAAUGUAAGUUUUGGGCCUUAACUUUGAGACCUGUUUCCCUCAGGCCUGGUUCUUCUUAGCUUAGAGCCCCUCUGGUCUGUAACCCUUUUGCCCGCUUUGGGCUCUAAUUGAAGAAGUAAGCGAAAUUACACACUAGAGCACUUACAGAAUUCAUGUUCAAUGCCCAGAUUUCUACUUUGAUAAAGUUUGUGGAAUGUACUUGAUGUUGGAGAACUCGAUGUUUAUAUAAUUGACUUUUUACCCAAAGUAAUGUGGUAGUCGAGCCAAACUGAUUCAUGAAUGAAUAAAUGAAAUGAGUUGUGCUUGAUCUAUCGUGUCAUAUUUCCGUAUGCAUGUUACAAGGAAGUCGGAUUUUGAUGUAAGUGUUGGAAAAACAUGACUUAUAUUAUAAAUUUUUGGUGUUCCACAAUAGAAAUCUGAAAAUUCCUUCUUUGGGUUAUAGGGAAGAAAAAAAAAUUAUGUCUGACCCGGUCUGGAUGCACUGGUCCGGACUCAUAUGUAAUCUAAUAUUAUUCUGUCACGUGUCAUUUUGUUUUUUUUUAUUAUUUUAUUUUUAUUUAUUUUUUUCUUUAAUAGAGUAUACUUCUGUAAGGAUUUUUCAAUAGCAAAAUGUUUAUAUGAAGGUGAAAAAAAGAAAAAGAGAACGCGCGUCUUUGAUACCUCCUCCUGCAUUUUUCUUCCUCCUCCCUCCUUGUUCUUCCUACUUUUUGUAACCAAUUGGUAAUUUGGUAUAUACCGCAUUAAGGUCAAUUGAUUUCAAGCUAUGGCGCAAGCGAAUUUUACAUAUUUAAAAUCCGUUGACAAUUGGCAUCAAGGCUAAUUGUUACUCUAUGUACAGUGACGUAGCACUUAAAAUUUCUUAGCAUAGUUUUUUAUUCUAUAACACCGAUAUGAUAUAGUUUAUCGGAGGUGAAAAAUUAAUUAUUCAUAUCCACACGUAUGUUAUAGGUGCCAAAGCUAGUUUAAUAUGGAAGGUGUUAACACAAUCCUUUUCUUGGAAGCAAGUUCACAUCCAUGUCAACUUUGAAAACCACUCUUUAGCAACAAUUAUAAACAUCUCCAAUUUUAUCAUUCAUGCUUAGUUCACACUAUGUUCUAGUGGGCAUAGAAAACCAAAGUAAAACCCCAAUUCACAAGAGAUUGAUGUCUUAAUAGUUCUUUGAUCAAGAACAAUAGUUGAUUCUAAUUAAGAUCUAUAUAUGAAAUGAUCAAAUCUAUGAGGUGUUUCUUUGUAGCUAGUGGGAUCCCAUUCAGAGGCCUAUUAUUUUGUUUGACAUAUGCAUUCAGUAUUUGAUUAUUCCCCACUAGCUUCAUACCACUUUUUUUGUUUUGGUUUUCCAUUUGAUAUUGACUUGGUGCAUCCCAGCUGGUGAUUAAUCUAAUUGCAGAAAAAAUAUUUGUCUCCAAACGUUUAAUCCAAGUUUGAUAUUAAACGACAACUGCGGGUCAUGAUACCUAAGUUGACUUUGCACGUAGAGAACUGUGAGUAGUGCACACUAAUCAUGGUGAUUAGUGAUAAUGUGAAGAGAUGAUAACUAUUCUUAAUAUUUCUUAAUGAUAAACUGAAUAAGGAUUAUGAAACUGUUAAGUCGUACUUGGUUAGAAUUUAUCGAAGAUUCAUUAUCAGAAAUUAUGGACCUACUACUUACCUGCAUUCACUUCACAUUCUGUCAGUAGCGGAACAAUGAAUCGAUACUGGGUAAAGUUGACCGUAAGUGCAUAAAAAAAUUUGUACUAGAAUUUUUGUAACUAAAGAAAAAGGAGAGAAAAAAAAAAUUAAAAAGAAAUUUUAUUCACAUACUCCUAAAUACUAAAUACACAUCAUUUUUUUCAUAUACUCAUAAUCACAUCUUAUGGGUAUUUUAAAUUACUAAAAUAGACAUAAUUUUAAAUAAACUAGUUUUCUUUUCAAUUACUGAAUUAAAAGAUGGCUGAAGAAUACUAUAAAUUAUAUAGAUUAUAACAUGGCUGAAAUGCUAGCUGUUUUCCUAACUUCAGUUAUCUAGACAAGUGCGUCUAUGUUCUAUGGAGAAAGGAGAGAUAGAAGUUUAUGGUUUAAUUGAUAUUAUAGCCUUGGCAAUAACUACUAGGAAUCUAAAAGCAUUUAUUCUUUAAAAAUAAAAGAAUGAUGAACUGGUACUUGAAUGGAAAAAAAUGAUGUUUAGCUACCAUAGUGGCUCGAUCUGCAAGACAACCACAGUAAUUUCCAAUGUCCUAGACUUGUUUCCUUACUCAUUCUUUGGUCUUAUUAAUAAUCAUAGCCACCCAUCCAAGAGUCUGAUUUCUGAUUUAUAUAUAUUAGUAAUCUUUCUAAGUCGAUGGCUUCCUUUUAAUCAUGAAACUACAAAAUGACUAAUAUGCAAUAGUUUAGAGAUUGAUGAUAUCUUUUUUCUUUUUCUAGGAAAUUGGUAACCUCAAAUAAUAAUCUUCAUCUAGCUGGCAUAAUAUUGUGGUCCAAGUUGGAUGACAAUAAGAAAGAUGCAUGUGGGAAUGAGUAACAUUGAUCGAGUUUUUGCAGAAGAAAUCCAAACUGGAUAAUUUUUUGUCAAGUUAAAAUGGUAUCUAAAUAAGAGGAUGUGUAUGUAGCGAAUAUAUAUGGUGUAUUGUGUAUGAGGAUAGUUUUGGAAGUUUAGGGUUGUGUAUCUAGUAAAAUGUUAAAAUUAAAAGGUUAAUAGAUGGUGUAUUAAGUAGGAGAUGUGUAUCUAGUAUUUUGAGAUGUGUGAAUAAAAUUUCUCAAAUUAAAAAGAGAAGGAGGAGCAAAAAUAAAGAAAAAACAGGAUUCAAACUUAUGAUCAGUCUUAUGGGAUGAAAUUAAAGUUAGCACAUAGCCGACUGAACAAAGUAAAGAUUCAAGUUAUAUGCCACCCAUAACGUAGCCGACAAGAGAAAUUCGUUUGAAUAAUAUACGAAUUUUUGCUCAGUAUAAACUUUGAUAUAUCAAGUUUUGAAAUUAUCAGAAUGAUAUUUUAUGUUUCUAUCCCGAACUAAAAUUAAUAUAUAUAUAUAACUAUUAAGAUUACUAAUUUACCCUCAGACAAAAAAAAAUGACAAAUUUACCCUUAAUUUUUAUUUUUUUCUUAGUUUUUAUUUUCUAAUUUUUUUUGGCCUUUUAUAUUUUUAGGAACGUAGAGAAAAAAUUUAUCGUCACUUUCUCAUUGCUAAUAAUUAGUUUUUUAUCUCAAUCAUCCUUGAAUAUCAACGGUAACAACAAAAUCCUUGAGUGUCAACAGAAACAACAAAAUCCUUGAGUGUCAACGGAAACAACAAGGAUUGAACUUCUGUAUGUUUCCCCGCUUCCUUGAAUGUCAACGGUAACAACAAAAUCCUUGAGUGUCAACAGUAACAACAAAGAUUGAACUUCUGUAUGUUUCCCCUCUUCAAUUUUCUUCAAGUUUAUAAAUGUCAACCCAAAUUAUCAAAUUCUAAAACUCUUCUAAUAUUUCUUGAAUAUGAAAGCAAAUAUAAAAAAAACUAAGAAAAAAAAGAACUUAAGGAUAAAUUGGUCAUCUUAAUGGUUAUAUAUAUCAAUCUUAGAUCGAGAUGAAAAUAUGAGAUACCGUUAUAAUAUUUUCAAAACUUAAUAUACCAAAAUUUAUAAAAUGUAAAAGUUUAUAUAUUAUUCAGACGAAUUUCUCUAGCCCACAAUGUUGAGUCGUUGAUUGGUAUUUUGAUAGUAAAAAGUGUUUUACGCCUCCAGUAACUAUGGCAUAAGAAGUUUACCCUGGGUAACUGUGGCUGUUUCUUUGUUUGGUGACUUGGGUCAAUAGGGUAACUGUGGCCUCUGUUCUCUGUUUUUGGUCAGACACCUGUUCUACCCCUACCCAGUUCACCUCGCUCCAAUUUUGCCCAUUUGUUUUCUCCCAAUCCUUCUCCAGUUUUCUACCUUUGACCAACGCAAGAUUGCCAACCCCAAGUCACCAAAACCACCACGGGAAGAUUCCUUAACUUAUCGUUUACCAAACACAGCAACCUCGUGGUCUUCGACUCACUACCCGAAUCCGACCCAUACCCUGGUUUGAACAAGCAGCAACCAUCCAUCCCCAAAUUCCCCCAUUUGUUGUUUGUUUGAGAAUUGAGAGAGCAAUGAUAAGGGAACGAGGAAGAAGAAAAGGCCAAGUGUUUCGAAGAAUAUUGCAGAAAGUGAAUAUCCUAAUCCUACUACAUACGCUAAGCCCAGAACAAUCGAUCAUCACCAUCAUCAUAAUCCCCAUCAUGAUUGCUAGAUUAGAAAAUGUCCAACAACACCGACAGCCACUAACAGCCGCCCACCACCACAAAGUAAACGCUUUCUUCUCCCUCCCCUUCUUUGAUUUGUUUAUCAUUAUCAUUAUCAUUAUCAUCAUCAUCUCUCUAUGCCCAUGUCAACGUCACUUGGCCUCUCUCUCUCUCUCUCUCUGUACCAGGUAGCUAGCUAGCUCACACAGACACACAUAUACAUUGGUACCCCCCUAUUAGACUGGGGGGAUGAUUAAAAUGAAGGCGACGUGUUUGUUACAAUGACUGCCGGCCAAGUCUUCUUCAUGUCUUCUUCUCUCGUUCCGAUGAAACACGACAAGCAGCAGCCAACAUGUCCAACAUUGGCUAAAUGGGCUUCCCUUCUGCUGCUUCUACUUCUGUUUCCUUGCUCUGCUUCUGCUGUUUGUAACAAACUGGACCAAGAUGCUCUCUUGUCUUUGGAGCUGUCUUUCAAGGUUUCCACCCCAUUGAAUUGGUCUGUUUCUUUUGAUUGUUGUCUCUGGGAAGGAAUACUCUGCGGCGCAGAUGAUCGAGUUGUUAAUCUGUCUCUACCCGGAAGAGGAUUAAGUGGUCUGAUCAGUCCAGCUAUCACUAACCUCACAUAUCUCACCCAUCUUGAUCUCUCCCACAAUUCCCUAUUGGGUGUUCUCCCUGAGGGUUUCUUUCAAUCCCUGUCUCGACUUGAAGUUCUUGACUUGAGCUUCAAUCGGCUCAACGGGUAUCUGCCACUCUCAGCUGACGAUGCCAGCAAGCUUCAGAUUGCUGACUUAUCGAGCAAUUACUUCAAUGGGACAAUCCCAUCUUCGAUCCUUAUGCCAUCCGUUGCUGCAGGUUCGCUUGCCGUUUUCAAUGUCAGUAAUAACAGCUUAACUGGCUCCAUUCCCAUUUCUGUUUUGUGCAAAAAUGGCAGCAAGAUCAUUAUCUUGGACUUCUCCUCCAACAAAUUCAAUGACUCUAUUUCCACCGGACUCGGCUCUUGUUCGAAGCUCCAAGUCUUUCGGGCAGGAUUCAAUGCUCUCUCUGGUCCUCUACCUGAUGACAUUUUCGACCUGGCUGAUCUCCAACAGCUGUCCCUGCCUGUCAAUCAGUUAUCAGGACCCAUUGGUGAUGGCAUUGUGCGUUUAACAAAUUUGAAGAUCUUGGAGCUCUAUUCGAACCAAUUCAUGGGGACAUUACCAAGCCAAAUUGGUAACCUUUUCAGGUUGGAAAAGCUGGUUCUCCACAUCAACAACCUCACAGGUUCCUUGCCUGCAUCUCUCCAAAACUGCACAAAUCUAUCCACCUUGAAUUUGAGGGUCAAUAAUAUGUCUGGACAACUCUCUGCCUUCGACUUCUCUGCACUCAAACACCUCACCACACUCGACCUUGGCAACAACAACUUCACUGGUGAGUUACCACAGAGCCUCUACUCUUGCAAGUCAUUAACAGCACUUAGAUUUGCUAGUAACCGGCUCACAGGUCAGAUAUCGCCUGAAAUAGUUGGACUAGAAUCCCUGGCUUUCCUAUCCAUCUCUAACAACUUCUUAACCAAUGCCACUGGGGCUUUUAGAAUUCUAAGGAGUUGUAAGAAUCUGACCACUCUUGUGCUCGGUAAGGGUUUUAUGAAUGAACCCUUACCAGAUGAUGAAGGCCUAGUAGGCUCUGAUGGAUUUCAGAAUAUACAGGUUUUUGCCUUGGGUGGCUGCAAUUUCACAGGUCAAGUUCCUACAUGGCUUGGGAAGCUUAAGAAACUUCAAGUCUUGGACCUGUCGUUUAACCUGUUAACCGGUUCAAUUCCUAGUUGGUUUGGUAGUCUGCCAGACCUUUUCUACAUGGAUUUGUCCAACAACCAACUUACCGGAGGAUUUCCUAAGGAGCUCUGUGGGAUGCCAGGUUUGACAUCAAAAGAGGCCACCAGUUUAGCAAACAGCAGUUACCUAGAGUUGCCAGUCUUUGUGAUUCCUCAAAAUGCAACUAAUCUGCAGUACAAUCAGCUGUCCAGCCUUCCACCAGCUAUAUAUCUCGGAAAUAACAGCCUUAGUGGCACUAUCCCCACCGAGAUAGGGCAAUUGCAGUUCAUUCUUGUGUUGGACCUUAGUCACAACAGUUUCUCUGGCAGCAUCCCGGUUCAGAUAUCUAAUCUCACCAACUUAGAGAAAUUGGAUCUCUCCUACAACCACUUCUCUGGUGAAAUACCUGCUGCUCUCAAAGGUUUGCAUUUCUUGUCUUCCUUCAAUGUGGCAUUCAAUGAUCUUCAGGGACCAGUGCCAUAUGGAGGUCAGUUUAAUACUUUUACCAACUCGAGCUUUGAAGGGAAUCCAGGAUUAUGUGGUCCUUCGACUACACAGCACUCUUGCUCUCAAUCAACAGCACCUCAAUCAUCAGCACCGGUUCAUGUUCGGAGGUCAAACAGAAUCCUUCUGAUUGGUCUUGCAUCUUCUAUUUGUUUUGGCAUUGUUUUUAUCAUUGCAAUGCUAGCUGUGUGGAUGUUAUCUAAGAGAAGAAUCAUCCCAGGAGGGGAUUCUGACAAGAUGGAAUUGGAUACAAUCUCUAGCUAUUCCACUUCUGCUGUUACUCCUGAGCUCGAGAAGGAUACCAGCCUAGUCAUCGUCUUCCCUACCAACACCAAUGAAAUCAAGGAUCUUACUAUAUAUGAAAUCCUAAAAGCAACCAACAACUUCAAUCAAGCAAACAUCAUUGGCUGUGGAGGUUUUGGUCUGGUAUACAAGGCAACAUUAGCAAAUGGAACCAAUCUGGCUGUUAAGAAGCUCUCAGGAGACUUGGGUUUGAUGGAAAGAGAGUUCAAGGCAGAGGUUGAGGCGCUUUCCACUGCUCAACAUGAUAACCUUGUUUCACUGCAAGGGUAUUGCGUGCAUGAUGGUGUUCGCCUAUUAAUGUAUUCUUACAUGGAGAACGGAAGCUUGGAUUUCUGGUUACAUGAGAAACCUGAUGGUGCUUCCCAAUUAGAUUGGCCAACACGGCUGAAGAUUGCACGGGGAGCAGGGGAUGGGUUGGCUUACAUGCACCUAAUAUGUCAGCCACACAUUGUGCAUCGUGAUAUCAAGUCCAGCAACAUCCUGCUAGAUGAUAAAUUCAAAGCACAUGUUGCUGAUUUCGGGUUGUCCCGAUUGAUUCUUCCCUACGAAACUCAUGUUACAACCGAGCUUGUUGGUACCCUCGGUUACAUUCCUCCUGAGUAUGGACAAGCAUGGGUGGCCACUUUAAGAGGAGAUAUGUACAGUUUUGGUGUUGUAAUGCUUGAGCUGCUCACCGGAAAAAGGCCGUUUGAGGUAUGCAAACCUAGGACGUCACGAGACUUGGUUAGUUGGGUACAGCAAAUGAGGAAGGAAGGCAAAGCUGAGGAAGUUUUUGAUCCUCUUUUGAGAGGGAAAGGCUUUGAAGAAGAGAUGCUGCAGGUUCUUGAUGUAGCUUGCAUGUGUGUCAACCAGAACCCUGUUAAGAGACCAAGCAUCAAAGAAGUUGUUGAUUGGCUGGAAAAUGUAGGGGCGUCUCAGCAAGACUUAAAUAAAGACUAGUGAAAAAAUUUCUUAACGUAUCCCAAGUUCUUCAUAUGUAUACUUGCACAUAGAUAUCAGGUUUUGUUGUUGCAGAUUUUCCCAACCUUACUUCUGUAAAUGGUAUUGUUUUGAAGCUCUAUGGAGUCACAUCUUGUGUUAUAACUUAUGAGUACAUGGCAUUAGUGAGAAGAUUGAAUGAUUUCCAGGCAUACCAGGGCAGUCUUAUAGUUCUAAUCAUUUUCAUCUCUGGUACUGAAAACCAUUGUCUUACUCAUGCUCUUACCUUAAAUUCUUUGUUAUUUUGUACUUGUGGAGAUGCUGCUGAUGCAUUACUGCUAUAAGCAUAAGACUUCUGAUACUCAGCAGCAUAAACAAUCCAAAAGCUGUAUUGAGGUGACCCAGCCAAGUUUAACUACAAAUGUACGUGUGGGUUUUGAUAUUCAGUUUUUACUUUUGGGAAAGUGUACAUGUUUGUAUUGCAUCCACUGCAGUAUGAGAAAUCUGCCCAGUUUUGAUUAUUUUUCUUCCAGAUACUCAAAACUACAAUGUUGCUGAGCAAUCUUGUGUAACUGAUAUUGCAGUCAAGUAUUGUUCUUUCUUUACUUGGACAGGAACAACCAAGUUGAGAGUGAUGUGUAGAGCAUUAUGAGGCAGAAAAGAUUAAGGAGUGGGGGAUUGACCUCAUGAGUUUGGAGGUUGAAGUUGAAUGCCUGUCUAUUUGCUCAGGCAUGUGGAUCAUACAUACUUUCAGUAGAUAAAGCUUGGUGUUGGACAACUUUCUGUGCAAAGUGCUUUUUUGAGUCAUUAAUUUUGGAAAGGAAAAUUGCAGACGUGACACCAUAAUUGUGACAAUAAACAGUACCAGAUCAAAUCUUGUGAUUCGUGUGUAGAAAGUUCUGCAACAAAUUAUCAUACUUCAGUUGNNNNNNNNNNNNNNNNNNNNAACUAACUACUACUCUCUCUCUCUCUCUCUCUCUCUCUCUCUCUCUCUCUCUCUCUCUCUCUCUAAAUUGACCUCUGUCUGCACAGAGCUUUCCUUUCCUCUGUGAUUCCUUUCGAUCCUAAUGUUACGAUUAUUUCGAUGCCAUCCUUGUUUGACUCUCAAAUUCAAAAUUCAAAUCCGUGCUUCUUGCUGAUGUGCAUUGUAUUUGUUUCACUAUAUUUGAUUUCAUCAUCCAGCAAUUCUCUAAAGAAUGUUAGCUUUAGAAAAUUAUUGUAAUGAGUUGUAGGCAUUGACUUUAUUUGGUUAACUGUUAGGUAGAAGGAAUGUUAGUCGUCUCAAAUAAUUUCUCCAUGGAGGACGCAAGCAAGAAAGACAUUCAAACAAGCCAGUUUAAGACAUUUCUGGAAACCAUGAGUUCAUGAUAUGGGCUGUGUCUCCACUCCAGUUAUCGACAAGUAUGAAUGUCUUGUGAAUCUGUACUUGUGUGCAUCACUGAACAUAUUUUAAUGAUUAAUGAGCAUAGGUUUCUUUCUUUAAAAUAGGACAUUAACCAAGAAGGUGUGAUACUGUGAUUCUGUUAAGUAUCUAUCUAAUUAAGAUAAACUUUAGGCUGAGUGAAUAUUUGCACAAAUGCAACCAAAUGUAGCUGGUUUCCAGGACUUUAUUUGUGUAUAUUUCUUUUGUAAAUUUGCUGCAGUAAAAGCUUGUCAAGAAUUUUAUUAGAAUGAGCAUGCUGCAGUAGUUUUCUGAUAUGUUUAAUUAUCAAUUAGUAUUUUUUUUUUUUAAUCCUAAACCAGGAGGAUCAUACGAUAUGAAAAGAGUUUUGGUAGCCAAAACUAUUGAUUAUACAAAAAGUGGAGUUUGUUGCCAUUGAUGCCCAAGCUAUUGAUGGUAUGUAUUGAAUCUGUAUUUUCUCUUUUGUUCUGUUUAAUGCGUUCAAUUUAGGUACAAUAUUAUCUUAGCUUUUUAGCAACAGUACCCUUUCCUCGCCUUUAUUGUCCUUUGUUAACACCAAAACCCUUUACACAAUUUUAGGCUAAUCAUAUAACUGUCCUAAUUAGUUCUUUUGCUAUAAGGCAAUUGUUUGAUUUCAAGUUAUCCAUAUCAGUUAUUGGAUAAGAGCUGUAAAAGCACCUGUUGUUUUUAGAUUGUACUGUUUGGCAAAAUGAAAGACAUGGUUGGUUACUUGGCUAAGUAUCUUUUCCAGCUGAGUGCUGGUUGCAUAAACAGCAAGUUUCAGUAAUAUUGCCAUACAUAACAAUGUCAACUAAUUAUGUUUGACACUAUUAAUAUGGGUCCUAAAAAUGUCCAACGCCUAUCCGGGAGUUGAUAUAUCAUUGAGGCAAUCUUAACUCAACUAUGCUUUCUUCCAACUACACAAUCUGAUAACGUCUUCAUGUUCUUGUAAUCUUGAGUAGCAGCUGAAAGUACUCCAUUGAAGCCAUGUAAAUUUGGAUGGAGUAUCAUUUUGUUAGAACCAAUCCAAUAUCCGUUACAAAACAAUAUAUAUAUAUAUAUAUAUAUAUAACAAUGAAAUCAAAACGAAAUUGAAAAAUUAACAAUGAAAACAAACAACACUAACUUGAUUGAUCAGAUAGAGGCCUGCCUUGCAGUGACCUAAGACAGAAAUUCGUUCCCACUUGUGCUGCAGUUUCGGACGUCUAUCCAGAGGAUACAACUAUCUGGUUCAAGUUCUUGCACACGAACUUGACCCUGGCGAAUUUACUUUAUGCUUCAGAAGAAAUAGUUUUGGGGAGGAAGAAGAAGAAGAAUGAUUCGGAUAAUCAAAACAACAACAGAAGUCGUCUUUAUAUAAAAGUCAAUUUGAACAGGUAUAACUGUUCAGAAAGACACAACUGCUCGGACAGUUAUGUCUUUUGAUAUUUAUCCAAAUUUAAUAAUUAAAUUAAAUAAUAUUAAUUUCCAAAAAAUUAAAUUUGGAUUUAAUCAACAUAGCCCAAUCUUUGACUUUUAUUAAAUAUAUAUAUUAUAUUUAUUUAUAUCUAUUAGAAACCCAAUAGAUAGCCCAUCAAGCCCAUACUAGGCCUAUCAUCCAUUUAAUGAGUCACAUGGGUGUUUCCAUAUAAAGACUCACACAUUUAAUUAUUCUUCAAUGUGGGAUAAAUACCACACAAGUUCCAACAAUUGACUAUUUUAUAGAAAAAACAUGUUUUGCAUAUCUUUUAACAGUUUCCCAAAUUUGAAUCUAGCUAGUCAAAUUUCUGAGGAAUCUCUAAUAUAAGAGCAUGCUAUAGAUCCCACUGCUAACAGAAAAUUUGUAUGAUCAAUGCUAUCGAGUGAGUAGAAUAAGCACAAGUUCAAUUUCACUUGAUUUGAGUUUGACAUAUGCUUGAAGAUUUAAGUCCAAUUAUCUUUUAACAUCACAGGUACUAAAGAUGAGAAACAGAAAAUCCUUCUUUAGAUUCCCUCUACAUAUUGUCAGCCAGUUUAAAGGGCACAGACAUAUUUAGUUGCAACUGGAAUGACAUAGUCUUAUAUUGAUAAUUAUGAAUCUAUAAGACAAUUCUCAGCUUGUCAGCAUAUCUUUUAGCAUCUUAUUUGAAAUUUGUUCUCCCAACUUUGUUAGAGCUCCUCCAUGGUGUCUAGGCAGCAGUCUCUUCAAGGCAUUUUCAACACACCAAAUCAUUGACUGCGCCAAACUCCUCACAGCAUUAGAUGUGGAACUUACUGUUUAGAGUGGAUUUCACAUUUUCAUGUGUUAAGAGUCCAGCGCAGUGCACCCAGCAGAUACAAGAAUCUCUUCUGAUGCAAACAAUGACACAUUUUAUUGAUGCCAAUUAUUGCACAAUCCAUGAUUACAGAUUCUUAUGUUUUUGGCCACUUGAAUUUACAUAACAGCUUACCUCAUUUUCACAUCAGAACAGAUUAUGAAACAAAUAGAUCCAUAUUACUUGGCUACACUUCAAAUAGCUCUUUCAGAUUACUGUAAGGCUCUUUGGCAUUAGGAACUUGGUUCCACCAUAGCUCAGCAAGUUGUUGAUAAACCCUUUCGGUUGGAUGGAAAGAGUCGAAAAAGACAUACUCACUUACAUUGGCACAUAACCGAUACUCGGUCACACCUCUCUUCCCCCCACAGCUAUAAAUUCCUCCAUAUGGACCAGAGCCACAGCAUGCACUCUUUCCUUCCUUGAAACCUUUACAACACAAUCAAUAAUAACAAAACAUUAAAAGACAUCACUUAGUUUAUGACAAUAAUGCAGAUAAGAGAAAUGAACACCAAUUAAUAUACUAAAAGGGACUGAGGUCAUGCAAUACAUACCAUAUUUAGAUGGGUAAUUGAUUCUUGCAGUUAGGUAAGUGUCUAAUUUAGCAAUGGAAUAUUUGAAUCCUUGCAGCUUGCCCUUCAGCUUUUCGAGGUGUUUAGGAAGUGCUGUAUUGUGCAUGUUCACUAGCGACGUAACUUCUUUAACACAGGUGCCAUUGUUUCCUGGUCUCUGGGAUGGUACAAGACCCAGAGGUGGCAAUCUUGUAAACCCGAAUUUCCGUCCUCCUUUGUUGUAUAUUUCCUGAAAAGGCAUAUGAAGUAAGACCAAUUCCUCCAACAAAAUGUGUAAGAUGGUUCAUAUAUGAAAAUAAACUAUAACAGAAUGUAUGAAAAGGAGAAGUCUAAUACAUUGAUCACAUUUGUGAGGUUUCCAAUCACCAUGCCAACAUAUUCCUCUUGUGAGUGAGUCUCAAAGUAACUGCAAUCUGUAGCUAACGGAGCGAAAUAAUCAUUGCCUCCAAUGCUGAUCAGGUAAACAGCAUUGGAGAGCAAUGUGUAGGUUUCUGCAUCACCUAGAUUGUGCUUUAAGUGCUUCACCACAUCCUCGAAAAGAUGCAGUUGAUAAUUAAGGGGUAUAACCUAACAACAAGAAUUCACAAAAUUAAAUCAUGCUAAUCACCCAAGAUCCAAGUUCUAAAAAAAAAAAAAAAAAAAUAACACCCAAGAUCCAAAUUCAGAAACAACAGUAUAAAUGUAACCAAAAGUGUAGAAGGCAGAGGACGUACUAAUCCUUUUUUACGUGUUUCAUCUAAAGCACCAGCUCCACCAGAAGCAAAGUUGACCCCAUAAGUGUAGUCCACAAUCCUCGGAUAAAUAGCAGGUACAAUUGGCAACUUUGCAUACUCAGCUGCACCAUUAAUGGGAAUUUAACAAGCAGUCUCACACACAAGUUGUUCAAUGAAAUGAACCGAAACAAAUAAGUAUGCGAAUGACUAAAGGAUCUUACCAAUGAAAUCUGGUAUUAGGCGUCCGUCGCAGAAUCUGCCAGUUGGGUACUUGAAGAAGGUUUCACCAUAGGGAAGCCAAUCUGCCUUGAAAUCGUUGGUGGUAUUUAUGUAGUUAUUGUUUCCUGGGUCAAACAAUGAAUCACCAAAUAUGUACAGGGCUGCAUGUUUUCUCAUAAGGCCUGAAUGACCAUGGCAGCUGCUAGGAAUAAGCACACCUGCCCAGAAUGCCAAGAUAAGAACAUGGAACUUCAAAGCUGCCAUUCCAGAUUUCCAGUCUGUAUCUUUUUGCAUCAUCUUCUCCCCUGUUUCAGUUCUAUAUAAAGUGUGAGUGUCGGGUCGAUCUUGUCUCUUGAUUGCCUCUGUUUCUCUCGAAAUGGAAUUCAACGCAAACGAAAAUUCAAAGUAACCGACGAGUAUGAGAGUAGUAUAUAUGACAGAGAGAUUUUGUCUUCCUUAUCUAAACUUUCUUUGUCCUCUAUACACUAUAAUAAGAGAAAUUCCUGACAAUAAUUCAAGAGAUUGAGCUUCAACGUGAAUCAUAAUUAUUCUUUGGUCAGCUGCAUGAAAUUGAUUUAACUUAUCCAAAAAGAUAGCGGAGGAUUUUGAAAAACAAUGUCUGGUGUUGAAGUCAAUUACUUGAAAUAAUGGAAGUCUUAAGAGUAUCAACUGCAACAUUAUCUGCAGCGUAAGUGUAAUUAGCAGCCUUCCACAGUUAGCUUUGUAUAAAUUCAAAGACAACUUCUAGAAAGGAAAGUCUAUAUCAUUCAGCCAACUCUUGUUGACUUGGCUGAUGGGUAAAGAUUGGCGCAGCUACGGGUCAGAAGCUGUAGAUUCAGUUAGCUAGAAGUUGUUAAGCCUAGCCUAUAUAGUAACCUGUAAUCUGGGUUAGGAAUCUGAUGCACACUAACAAGGCCAAAGAUAAUCUCCCAUUCAAAACAUGUACAGUUGCUGGUUUUUGUAAGAAAGUUGUUCUCCCAUUGAAAACAAUUGCUGAUUCUUGUAAGAAAGGAAUCGAAGACGUACUUCAUAUUGACAUGAGCAAAUAAAAUUGCAAAUGUUCUAACUCUGCAUAUUAACUGCGUGAAGGAUUUAGCAUAACGUCUUCUUCGUUUCUCCUCCAGUGUCGAGAACUCUAGAAUAAAAAAAACAUCAAUAACGUCUGUUUGAUCUUUCAAUACUACUUCAAAUGAAAUAUAACAUGCUCACUAAUAAGUAGCAGUCCUCCUUUUCCAGAUUUAUGUAGGGGUCUCCUCUGACAUUGGGAGUAAGGCUUCACCAUAACAUCGAGAUAAAUCCGGGGUCCACUGAGUAAUCUGUUUCAUUUACUAGAAAGUUGAAACAUAAACAACCCUACAGUAUCUAAGUAAAUGGGCUUGGCACAGGGACUAGUGGUGAUCCCAAAAUAGGUAACCUCAAAGUAAAAGGCAGACCUGUCAACCCAAUAUUUGAGCCCAGUAUUUUUUUUUUUGAAACAUAUUUGAGCCCAAAUUAGCAAAGCAGCUUAAAACAAUUUGGACACCCAAGUCACUGUGGGCACCCGACUCACUGCUUUGGGCACACAAAAGGCUCUCACCAUCAAAUUUUUCUUUUAAUUAUUAAAAUUUCUUAAUCUAUCACACCCUUACAUAUCUUAUUGGGGUCACCAACUGAGGUUUUUAGGCAAUUAGUAUUUCCGUUUCAUGGGAAUUAGAUAGUUGUAGUUUGAAGUUAUUUGUAUAGGUUUGAUUUGUGCUCACUUGUAAUAAAAACUACCUAUCUUUCGUGGAUACCUAUUUUUCAUAAAGCUUGUUACCUCCGAGUUAAUUAUUUGGGACAAUGUUGUCACUUGAUGUAUGAGCUUUUUAGCCGAGGAUAAUCAAUGAAACUAUAUCCAUAUUUAAUUAAAAAUAAAAGUUUGCCUCUCAUUGCAAUUUUAUAAUUUAAAAGAAGAUGUUCACGUCUGUCUAACACAUCACGUGUAUUGACACACCACGUAAUCAAUUUUUUUACAAAAAAAAAAAAAAAAGAACCAAAAUUUGGUCAAUUAUUGAUGUCAAAUGUUGCAAAAUCCAUGAUUGCAAAUUCUUUUAUAUUUGGCCACUUGAAAUUACAUAGCAGGUUUACCUCAUUUUCAGAUCAGAACAGAAUAUGAAACAAAUAGAUCCAUAUUUGGCUACACGCCUCCAAAUAGAUCCAUAAUAGCUCUUUCAGAUUACUGCAGGGCUCUCUGUCAUUACGAGUUUGGUUCCACCAUAGCUUGGAGAUUUGCUGGUAAACCCUUUCGGUUGGAUGAAAAGAGUCGAAAAAUACAUACUAACAUUAGCACAUAACCAGUAGUACUCAGUCACACUUCUCUUUCCUCCACAGCUAAAAAUACCUCCAUAUGGACCAGAGCCACAGCAUGCAGCUUUUCCUUCCUUGAAACCUUCGCAACACAAUCAAUAAUUACAAGUGGAACAUCAGAAGAGAUGCAUAAUUUUGCUUAUGACACAAAUUCAGAUAAGAGAAUGAAUACAAAUAUACUAGUUUAGGAAGGUGAGGGACUGAGGUCAUGCAAUAUAUACCAUAUUCAGAUGGGUUAUUGAUUCUUUCAGUAAGGUAAGUAUCUAGUUUUGCAAUUGAAUAUUUGAAUCCUUGCAGCUUGCUCUUCAGCUUUUCGAGGAGUUCAGGAAGUGCUGCGUUGUGCAUGUUCGCAAGCGAUGUAAGUUCUUCAACACAGGUGCCUCUGUUUCCUGGUCUCUGGGCUGGUACCUGACCCAGAGGUGGCAAUCUUGAAAACCCGAAUUUCCGUCUUCCUUUGUUAUAUAUUUCCUGAGAAAAAGAAUAUUAAGUAAGCGCAACUCCUCCAAAAUGUGUGUGAUGAUUCAUAUAUGCAAAUGAACUAUAACAGGACGUUUGAAAAGAAGAAGUCUAGUACUCUGAUCACAUUUGUGAGGUUCCCAAUCACCAUGCCAACAUAUUCCUCCAGUGAGUGUGUCUCGAAGAAACCGCAAUUUGUAGAUAAUGGAGCGAUAUAGUCAUUGGCUCCAAUGCUGAUCAAGUAAACAGCAUUGGAGAGCAAUGUGUGGUUUCUACAUCACCUAGACUGUGCCUCAAGUGCUUCUCCACAUUCUCGAAAAGAUGCAGUUGAUGAUUAAGGGGUAUAACCUAAAAAUGAGAAUUCACAUAAUUAAAUUAUGCUAAUCUGUUGGUAUAAGGAUUAUUGGCUAUCCCUUUUAUGAUCAAAACACAAGACACAAGCUAUUUUAUAUAUCCUGAUGGUAAGGAUAUCACAAGUGAAGAAUGAAGACUUGACAAGAUCACAUGUGUCUAGGUAACUGGUGCAUAUGCAUCUGAUGCUUUUCAUUAAGAAUUUUACAUAUCCUGAUGGUAAGGAUAUCACAAGUGAAGAAUGAAGACCUGCCAAGAUCUCAUGUGCAUCAGGUAGUUCAUGCAUAUGCAUCUCAUGUUUUUCACUGAGAAUGGCAGCUUUGCUUGUCAUCCUAGAUAAGAUGAUACCUCUUGGUGUAUCUGUCCUAAUCUAUUGGGUCUAUAUGUAUGCAUGUCUAAAUGCUUUUGCUAUUUGUGUAUCAUUAGUUUGAAUUCCCCUGUUUGAAUUCAAAUCCCCUUUAGCAAAACAUUUGUCGUUGCCUUGGUGCUUCAAGUCAGUCUAAGGUUGUGUAGUGUUUCCAACCCGUGACCACAUGACUAGAGUUUAGAGGCUCCAGCAAGGUUUGUGAUACGCAAACUAAUAUAUUAGCUGACUCUUUGUUUUUAUCUCAUGUACAUCAGGUAGUUCAUGCAUGUGCAUCACAUUCAUUCAGGAUGGCAGCUCUGCUUGCUAUCCAGAUUUGGUGGAUACCCCUGUUGUAUCUAUCCUAAUCUCUGAGUCUGACUUCGUGCAGAUUUAAAUGGUUUUGCGUAAGCUUUUCAAGUAUUUGAAUUUCAAAUCUCUUUUAGCAAAACAUUUUUCAUCGUGCUUGAGCUCGAAGUUAGUCUAGGGUUGUGUUGUUCUUCCAACCCAUGAGCACAUGACUAAAGCACUUUUAGGCAGCUCCUUUUUUAGUCCAGCUGGGUUUUGUGAUACACAAACCAAGUCAGCUGCUGAGCCAUGUGAUGCACCGCCCAAGCUAUCAGCUGACCUAUGUGAUCUCAUAUAGGAAUAGGUUUUGUUGUGUCUCUUUCAUUCACAAAACCUUUUGUCUCUUCCUUAUUGGACCAUUAUGAUAUAAGAGAGUUGUGUUUGUCUUUACUCUCUUGGAGCCUUUUGUUUGUCCCUUGGCCCUCUCACUUUAUGAGUUUGGAUAAGGACUAAAGUCCAAAAAGUUGCCUCCCAUUUUGGUAAACAUGCAUGCUCUCCUUUAGCUUGCACUUUGCCUAUAUAUAUGGAGCAAGUCUCUUCUUGCUCUUCGGUUGUUCAAGAUGUAGUUUUCUACAUAGUUUUAGCUGGGUAUAGGUUUUACCUUGCAUUGCUCAUUUGUCUCUAAGUCUUCCCUUGGUGAUUGUAAAUCUUAGAGCAAGAGCAAGAGCAAAAACUCUUUUUAUAAACCCAUUAGCAUUCUGCAUAUCAUGAGUGAUGGUAGUGCAGCAACCCCAGAAGUACUCAAGAAUGAUCAGUUGAUCGAGGAGAGCUGAGUUCUAGAGAGUCAGUUAAAGGCGUUAGCUGAGGUCUGAAGAAUCCCUCUCAUUAGGAUAGCUGAGUUCUGAGUUGAGUAUUCUGAGAAGUGUUCAAGAAGAAUCAGUUAAAGGCGUUAGCUGAGUUCUGAGUUGAAACUUCUUCUUAUACCUUCAUAUGUAAACACUUGAGAGACAAGAGAGGUAAGUCUAGACUAGUAGGUAGACUAGGCAGGAUAGCAAGUCGUUGUUGUAUCCCUAGACUAUAAUCUUGUGAGGAGUGAGGUGAGUCACUCAGAGACAGGAGAGAUAGAUCUAGACUAGUGGGUAGACUAGGCAGGAUUGCAAAUCGUCGUUGUAUCCCUAAACUAUAAUCUUGUAAGAAGUGAGUUUUACAUAGUGGAAAGGUUUGUCCCUCAAGAGUUAGGGGCACGCAGUUUUUCUCUCUGGUGCAGGGUUUCUGCGAAUAAAAAACGUAUUGGUGUUAUUUCUUUUACUUUCCAGUACUUGUUCUUUUAUUUAUUACUACGUCUCCUUGUUAUCAGGAUACAAAUUCAGAAAUUAUGAAUGUGACCCAAAGUUUAGAAGUCAGAACACGUACUAAUCCUUCAUGUGUUUCAUUUAGAGCACCAGCUCCACCAGAAGCAAAGUUGACCCCAUAAGUAUAGUCCACAAUUCUCGGAUAAUAUGCCGGUACAAUUGGCAACUUUGCAUACUCAGCUGCAACAUUAAUAGAAAUUUAACAAUCAGUCACACACAAGUUCAAUGAAAUGACCCGAAACAAAGUAUGCCAAUAACUAAGGGAUCUUACCUAUGAAAUAUGGUAUAAAUUCGGCCCUUAACAACUUUUUUUGUAUAAAUUCGUUAUCAAGGAUAACAAGGGUUAUAGCUAUCCUGGAUAACAAAUACACAAUGACAAUAAAUAAAAGUUGCAGUAAAAUAACAAUGAACACCAAUAUGUUUUUUACUCGCAGAAACCCUACAACCAGGGAGAAAAACUACGUGCCCCUAACUCUUGAGGGACAAACCUUUCCAUUAUGUAAAACUCACUUCUUACAAGAUUAUAGUCUAGGGAUACAUGAACGACUUGCUAUCCUGCCUAAACUACCCACUUGUCUAGAUCUAUACUUUCUCUCUUAUUUCUGAGUACCUCACUCCUUACAAGAUUACAGUAUAGGAUACAGCAACAACUUGCUAUCCUAUCUAGUACCAAACCAGUCUAGAUCUACCUCUUUUGUCUCUAAGUGGCUACACAUGAAGGUAUAAGAAGUUUCAACUAAGAACUCAGCUAUUACUUAACUGAUUCUUCUUGAAGGCUUUUAAGAAGUUUCACUCUCAAAAACUCAGCUAUCCUAAACUGAUUCUUUCAUGAACCCAGCUACCUCAGCAUGAUACAUCAUAACUUAGCUAUCCUCAGCUGCUUCUUUCAUAAACACUUCCUGGGUUGUUGCACUACCAACUGAUCUCAUGGUAUGCAGAAUGCAAUGAGUUUAUGAGAAGAUGUUUUGUUCAGUUCUAAGGUUUAUAAUCACAAAAGGAAGACUUAGAGACUAAGGAACAAUGCAAAGUAAAACCAAAACAAAGGGAUAAUCCCAACAAAGCAAACGUAGAAACUACAUUUUGACAACCACUGAGCAAAGGCAGCCUUGCUCAGUAUAUAUAGGCUGAUGGAGUGCUCUAACAAGAGAGAGACACAAACCAAAGAGGUGCCACAAGAGGGCAAGCACGAGGGCCAAAGCAAGGAGGGAGUUUUGGACUUUUGUGCUUGGCCAAACUCUGAAAAGGAGAGGACAUAUAUAGUUGUUCUAGGCCAAGAAAGAAAGAAACAAAACUAUCCUAAACAAUGUUUGAUUUAAAAGCAAGAGACAAAAGGUUUUGCAAACUUUUUCCAAAAGCAUAAUACCACAUUGGUUUAGCAAACCACUUUUCUCUGAUAUCAAACAAAGACAGCUGCAAUAUUGGUUUGUGUAUCACAAACACAGCAAACCACAGCUGGAGCCUAAAAGCUAAAACAUGGGUCACGGGUUGAGAUAAAGGCAUCAAAUCCUAGACUAAUUUAAGCACCAAAGCAUGUCUUUUAUUUUAGUUGUCAAUUUGAAAUUCAAAUGAGGAUCUCACCCAGACAUAGUUUUUAUGGAACAAGGGUAAAGAAACUUAAACAUAAGACAACAGAACAAAAGAUCAAAAAGUUGGAAACCCAGAUUUUUAAGAUGGCAAGUGAUACUGCUAUCCUCUAUGAAAAACCAUAAAAUGCAUAUGCAUGAUUUUACCACCUGAGUUCCAUGAGUUCAUGUUGGUUCUUCGAUUUCUUCAACUUGUUCUUCAGAUGUGCAAGACCAGUCUCAAUUGCUUUAGGCUUCAUAGGUUGUGUUUUGUUCUAUAUAAGGAUUGCCAACAACCUUAUACCUUCAGGUUAGUUUGAUAUUGCUGUGAUUUAAAAAAAAAAAAUUGUUGUUGUUGUACUGCGAAAAUAAUCAGCUGUGAAUUAAAAUAAUUUUAAAAGUGUUGUCAAGAUAAAAUUUAGGGUGCGUCUAUUGCCACCUCACAAACCAUUUUGUUCACCCCACAUUUUCUUCACACCCUACUUAUUUAUUUUUAAUUGUAAGUCUACUUAAUUUGUCCACCCAUUUAUAAUACCAAAAAUACCCUUUUUCCAAUUCUAUUUUGUUCACCUUACAUAUAUUUUUUUCAAUUUCACAUUUGCUUUGUUCACCUUACAUUCUCUUCUCACCCUACAUAUAUAUUUUUUAAUUUUAUAUAAUACACACAAUAUCAAACGACCAUUACUUGGAAAAAGCUCCGACUCUGAUGAAAAAAAACAAAUCGAAUAUAAAUGAGCGAUUAGACAUGGAAAUUUAUAUGCAAAAUCGACAUAGGAAAUGUUAAGGAAUAGACAGAGGAUCAACAAUGAAAAAAAAAUAAAAACAGUUCACCUCAUCUUCAGGUUGAAUGCUAGUGUCUUUAGACUCCAUAUAAUAACCAAAUAUGAUAAAUUAUAAGUUAGUGUUUACGAAGUACGUGUUCAUCCAAAACAAAAUGAUAAAAUCAUAAACUUUUUAUCUACCCUUAGUCGGCGGUAGAGGGAGGAUAUGUAAUGGUUUUCUCUAACUUGAGAAUUAUUAAUAUAUCAUUUUGAUAUUUUUCAAAAAAAAAAAUGAAAAAAAAUUGUAAUUUAUAAUAAAUUAUUGUCUCUUGCUGUAAUUUUACAUCAGAGCAUUUUAGUCUUUCAAUAAAUCAACAUGUGGGGUGACAAUAGACGCACCCUAAAAUUUAUUAAUUUCUAGUGUUUUUAGUGACAGCUGCUUUUAAAAUAAAAGUUGUUGCUAGUGACCUGUAAUUUGAAAAAAAAGUUGUUUUUCUUUCAUUUACCAAACAUUAUAAAAUCUAAAAGUUCAGAUAGAAGUUGAUUUUUUUUUUUUUAAAAAGCGAAACUGUACCAAACUAGGCCUAAAAAAGAAACAAGUACUACACAUUAAAAUAGGCAAACAUUUUUGCCUUCAGUUGCAAAUGUUCUAACUCUGUUUGCCUUCAAUUAUGUGUAUCCUACAUGAUGAAGUGAUGAUAGAUAGCAAUGAAAUGCAUGCAGGAUUUGUCGUUUUCAGUUCUCUUCCAGCUGGUUUGAGUUUUGAAUACUAGUCCUAUAAAACCCUAAACAUAUAUCCACAACAAUAGCAAGCGACACCCACACUUGGUCUUUAGAGCAAGUUCAUCCGUUGGGUUAGAAUGAACUCAAUAACCUGGGUCACUUAACUUAAGUGACCUGGGUCACUCUGGGUCACUGUGACUGGGCAACAGUUUCCAUCAUUCAGAAAUGUGAGAUUGCUGCCACGUGGCAGUGACUGUUUAUUGAAUUUAAAAAACAUGUUUGAAAUGUUUUAACUGUCACUAAAUAAGUAAAUAUGACUUAUUGAAAAAUUAAUUUUUUUCUAUGAUAUUUAAUUAACAGGCUAAGACUAGAAAAUAUUAUUUUUUAUUCCAGGUCAUUAUUGAGAAUUUUAUAAAAAUUUAAUAUUCUUUUUCUUACCGUUACUUGUAUAUUAAUCAUCGUAAUUAAAUGACCAUUGCAUUUACUUUUAAGCCUAACAAAUAAUACAAAUAGGGUUUAUCUAAUUAAAAGAAUGAAUAAUUAAAUGUAGAUGGCUGAAGCAAUUAAGUAGGGCUCCACAUAGUCGUAUAUAAUUGGUUGAACUUGAAAAUUAAAGCCAAGCAGCCUUGCACGUGAUAGUUGACGCGCUCCCUUAUUGGUCCGUAUGGGUUACAAGUCUCUUUGGAGCGUGAGUGGCUUUUGUAUGCGUGCUGAUAUCACCCACGUGUGUGGGCUAGACUGACGUGGAAAGAACUCACCUGGACUGGAUUACUCCUCUAGUCUGGGUAGUUUGCUUAUUUUCCAAUUAACCUAGGUUGAAUUGAGAAGAUAUCUCAUUUGUGAGUGAAAAAUGAAUUUUUUCUCUUGGGUUGGAUUGCACAUGUGUCAAGUAACCCAGGUUGAAUUUUUUUUAAUGGGUGAACUUGCUCUUAGGGGCGGAUCCUAAAAAUAUACACAAAAGGUACACUCUUGUGUGGUUAGGAUGGAAAAAGCUGCACUUAUGUGUGAGCUUUUUUUUUGGGAUCCGGCUCCUAAAUGCCACACAAGUGUAAGUGUGGUUGUUGCCCUAUACAUUGUAGUAGACACUCGCUCCAUCAUCUGGACUAAAAAUCAAGGAUCCAUAUAAUAAGAGCUUUGAAGGUAAAGCAAGAGGUGAAAAGUAUUAAUAUGUUCUUUAAGCUGAUGAAGUGACUAGUGCUAAGAUUGGGUUUGCUAGGAUAUAAACUGGGCCUGUUAGGAUUUAUGUUCUUUUAACAACUUUUACUCAUCCUCUCCGUUUCCAUCUGUCUGUUUCUCAUCUAUACUGAAUAAACUGAAUCAUGAUCAGCGGAAAAGACGUCUACAAUGUCCUUGCGAGCAUUGUGCCUCUUUACGUAGCCAUGAUCUUGGCCUACGGCUCGGUUCGGUGGUGGAACAUCUUAACCCCGGACCAGUGCUCCGGCAUCAACCGUUUCGUGGUGGUUUUUGCCGUUCCUUUAAUGCCAGGUUGAGGGCAUUAAUACUUCCAAGGCUUCUCAACAUGAUCCAAUUGAUGGUUCAAAGGGCGAGCAAAUUAUUUUUGAUAUUUAACAGUACCCAGUUGCUAGUUUGAGUAAAGCUUCGAUUUUUAAUUGUUAAUUUACUAGUUUGCAAUUCUGGUUGAUUGAUAUUGGCAAAGUGUGUGAUACUGGAAUUGGAUAGUUUUUGAAAAGUUCGUAUACUGGUAACUAUUUCAUUGAAUAGUACGUUUCUGAAAGUGUUCCCGUCUUGCAGAUUAAUUUGGUGAAAUUUGAGUCUGUUUUUCCCAAAUCAAAAUUUAACCACUAGAGUUUAGUAUUUGAAAUGUAUCAGUCGCCCUUGCAUAUAGAAUGUUGGCAAUUAGUUCAUACUUUUCUUUAACAUAUUGUAUUCCACGGUCGAACUCUAUCAAAUUUGUUCACUAAAGAUCACGUAACUAUACUUGCUGCAUAUGUUUUAAUGAUCAAUAGAUAUUUGAACUGAUUAUAAAUAGUCAAAUUUAUGUGUCCUGCAGGCUGCAAUGUGCAGGGAAUCAUCAGUUGAUAAAUAAUACGAGUUCUGGAAGGAAAAUGAGUGGAGAUGAGGUGCUUGAAAUAGAAGAAGGAAAAAUGUUACCGGCAAGUGCACCUCCAUAUAGUAGCGGCCAGAAGAAGAUGGACAUGGAAGAAGCAGGUAUGGGAAAGAAGCAACAAACUCCUCCUGUAAGUUUCAUGACUAGGCUCAUCUUCAUCAUGGUUUGGAGAAAGCUAAUUAGAAAUCCCAACACCUACUCCAGUAUCCUCGGUCUCGCAUGGUCUCUCGUAUCAUUCAAGUACAUCUCUCUUCCUACUCUAUCUCCUAUAGUUCCAAAUCUCACAAAGUCAGUCAAAAUAGUCUUCUUACGUGUGUGUCUUGUUCAAAUCAAGGCCGCACAGGCGCGGCUUCUAGAGACGCUCCAAGCUUACCCUUCCCCUGGGAGCGCCUAGCGAGUUUCAAACCUUGCUUGCGUGAAAGCCCUCAAAUAUGAUACCAGUAGUGGAAUAAAAGUAUUUUGUGCCCUCAGAGUUAUCCCAACCACAUCAACUAAAACUAAUUGUCAUUCCAGGUUACACAUCAAAAUGCCAACAAUUGUAAGUGGAUCCAUAACAAUAGUAUCUAAUACUGGCUUGGGAAUGGCUAUGUUCAGUAUUAGUACGCAUCUUCUAUUGACUGAUUAACCACCUAAAUGUGUUCAACUAUAAAGUGCAAACCUUGUAUCCAUCCAUACUUACCUUAUUUUUCUUUUUCUGGUUUCAGGUUUAUUCAUGGCUUUACAACCAAAGAUUAUAGCUGGUGGAAAAUCACUAGCAACAUUUGCAAUUGUUGUUAGGUUCUUGAUAGGCCCAGCAGUGGUUGCUGCAUGCUCCAUAGCUGUUGGUCUUCGUGGAGUUCUUUGCGUGUUUCAAUACUUCAGGUUAACCACUUCAAUCUUUAGACUAUACAACUUUACUAUGUUUCCCUCUUCUUUUUUCUCAAUUAAAAGCUUACCACAAGGAGAAUUAUCCAUUUAUCACAGGCUGCUCUUCCUCUAGCGAUUGUUCCUUUUGUAUUUGCCAAAGAAUACAAUGUGCACGCAGAAAUAAUUAGCACUUCGUAAGUAUUUAUAUGUGUCUGAAGAAAAUCCAUAUAAUGAUUGAUGAAUGAAGGUAAAUAGUAAUGAAAAAACUCUAACUUGUAUCAUGGUGUUGUAACUAUUGCAGAGUCAUUUUUGGAAUGCUGGUUGCCUUGCCUGUAACGAUAGUGUACUAUAUUCUUCUCGGACUAGUUUCUGGCAAAUUGAGGGCUUUUGGAAGAUAUAUAAACUGUACAGUUCGGACACCCAAGUCACUCUGGGCACCCUCACUGCUUUGGGCACCAAAAGGCUCUAUCCAUAGCUGCUUGCAUUGGCUGCCACUCUAGCUCUGGUUCACUACUCUUCUAUCUUGGGCUUCAUUUUACUGAAGGCUCUCUUUUUUCUUUAAACUUUUUACUGAAAGCUCUUUUUUUUUUUAAACUGUUUUUUUACUGAAAGCUCUUAUGACUUCAGGAACCCACCGUUUCACGGUUUCUUUGUAUUUCCUCAUCUUAUGGUGAAAAUUAUACGCUCUCAUCUUAUGGCUCUUAACAUAUAUUGUUCUUGAGUUCCAUAGUCGUUAUUGGAUUGAUUGAUUCUUGACAUGUUGUAUAAUAUGUCAUCUAGAAUAGAUCUUACUAGGGUCAUUUUUCCAACUGCCAGGUACCUGUUAACAAACCCAGCAGUCUCCUCUCCUAUCCUAUAUCAUUUGCAUUCUCAACUAGCCACUUGGUUCUUGAAAGUAGUAUUGGCCUAAAAAGGCAAGUUCUUGAAAUAAAAGGAGAAUAUAUCUUUUCAGUUGUUACUUCUUUCAACUACUUGACUACAUCAUAACAUCAGAUCAGUAAAAAGUAGCGGUGUAGCCUAAUCUACACCUAAACGAGAUUGACACAGUUUCUUGUUUCAGUAUUUUGAUGUAAAGAAUUUGUAUACAGAUAGUAUCAAAGAUAUGAACCAAGUACAGGAUAGGUAUUUACAAAUAUGCUAUCUCAAAUUGGAAAAUUGGAGUCGAUUACUAGAACUAUGUUGUAUUCUAAUUCGUAUUCUAUACUUCAAAUAGCUCUUUCAAAUUGAUGUAACGUGCUGUGACAUCAGGAGUACUAUGGCUCCACCAUAACUUGGAAACUUGCUGGUAAAUUCUUUCCGUUGCAUGGCCGGAAUCAAAAAAGACAUAGUCAGUAACAUUUUCACAUAACUGAUACUCAGUCACACCUCGCUUCCCUCCGCAGCUCAUAAUUCCUCUGUAUGGACCAGAGCCACAGCAUGCCAUCUUUCCUUCCUUGAAACCUGUACAACAUACAUGUAACGAAAUGCAGAUUAGAAAAUAGGGAUCGAUUAGCUUUUGACAGAGACACAGAACAAACUAAAAUUAGAGGACAAGUUAUGAUGACUACAUAUACCAUGUUUUGAUGGAUUAUGAACUGUGUCAUUUAGGUAUGAGUAGAAGUUUGGAUUUGAGUAUAUGAAUUCUGGGAGUUGUCCUUUGAGCUUCAGGAGGACUUUAGCAAGAACUCUGUUGUGGAGUCUUGAAAUAUCAUUGAUUUCUUCUCCACAGGUGGUUGUGUUCCCUGGUUUGAUUGUUCUCAUUCCUGGUAAACAACCCAAAGGCUCCAUGCCUGCAAUCCCAAAUUUCCUCCCUCCUUUCCUGUAUAUUUCCUGAAAAAUAAAAACGCAUCAAAGGUGAGUAACUCAUCCGAAUUCAUUUUAGGAUUCAUAAACAUAUUCAUCAGAAUUCAGAAGACAUUAUACAUACUUUGAUCACAUUUGUCAGGUUUCCUGUCACCAUGCGAACAUAUUCUUCAUGUGAGCGGGACUCGAAUAAACUUGAAUUCGCUAUGAAUGGGGCAAUAUAAUCAUUGCUUCCGAUGCUAAUCAAGUAAACAGCUUCGGACAACAAUGUGUGAGCUUCUGCUUCACCUACUCUGUGCCUCAACUGCUUCUCCACAUUCUUGAAAUAACCCAGCUGAGUUUUAAGGUCUAACACCUGCAAAAUGGAAAUCAAUCAAAAAUUCAUACCUACCUCUAAUAAUGUGUUACAUCAUAUAACUUGUAUAUAUGUAUUCUUUUCAACUAUGCCUGGAGGCAGUCAACCACAAUCAUUUUCAUGUACAAUGAAUGAAACAGUAUCUACAAGUCAGCAACCAGCGAUAACAAAAUUAUGAUGGUUUUGAUGACUACAUUGACUAGCUGUUGUGCAGGUUCAGAAUAACGGCAGCCUUUGAAAAAAUUAAAAAUUAAAAAUUAAAGAUCUAUAGUGAAAUGAAGGCAGAAGACAUACAAAUCCUUGAAACGUUUCAGCUAGAGCACCAGCCCCAGCAGAUGCAAAGUUCACUCCAUUAGUAUAGUUGUCGAAACCGGGUUGUAAGUAUGGUGGAAUCAUUGGCAAGUUUGCAUAUUCAGCUGCAGAAAUAACAAUUCCAUUUUAACAGUUAAUCACUUCUGUCAUAAUCCCCAUCUGUUAAAAGAAAACACUGACAUUAUGCACAACAAUCUUACCUAUGAUAUCUGGGAUUAGACGACCAUCGGAAACCCUACCAGUCGAGUACCCGAAGAAGGUUUCCCCAUAUGGGAAGAAAUUUGCUUGAAAGUUGGUGGAAGUGUUUAUGUAGUUAUUAUUUCCAACAUCAAAUAGUGAAUCCCCAAAGAUGAACAAGGCUGCAUGUUUUCUGUGAUGCACAGAAAGGCCAUUGCAGCCACUUUGAACAAGAAGGGUUGCACAAAAAGCCAGGACAUAUAUUUGUAAUCUUGAACGAGUUGCCAUUUUAGUUCUGGUAUGCAAUAUCUUCUCCUCUGUCUGAGAUCUAUAUAUAUAUAUAUAGGUCGAUUUCUGAUUCAGUUUGGGAAAGUCUAACCCAAUUUUAACUACUCAGAGAAUAGAUCUAUGGAGCUUCUUGAAGCUUUUCAGAGUCAACACCGUAUUGAACUACAUAUACAUCACAAAAGAAAGACCUUUAAAUCUGAUAGUCUAGUUGAACUGGUCAUUGCUUUGUAAAAUGAUUGAAAACAAUUACAAAGAGGAACACGUAAACUAACAAGUUUCUCCUCUGUUUCAUUUUAAAAAGCCUUAAAUUUAUACAACAAUUCGUAUUCCUCGUGUUUGGAUCCUUCUUCUCUAUAUAUUAAGGAGGUUAAUUUUGAUCAGUUAAGACGUAUUUUGGUCCUCUAGUGUAUACAUUUCUUGUCUUCUAGACAAAAUUAUCUAACACGGAAUUGGUAACACGUAUCUUGGCAGGACCUUCACUUGUCAUAUAUACUAUUUCAAAGAUGUCUAGUAGAUCGAAUAUAUAACAAUACUGUUGAACAUGUUCAUAUGAUUACUGUACUAAUAGAAUAAGAAGGCUUCCACAAGGAAGUCAGGUAUAUAUAUUUGAAAUCAAAGCGGCCGUUCUAGAUUUCUAGUUCUGCUUUGCUCGGUGUUACCUUCUUUUCUAUCUGGUCUUGGCUUCAUAUAGUUCAUAUAGGUCCUUAAUUGUGAUCAACUUCUGCUUUUAAACAGCUAUAUAUAAUCAGAUUAUGAACGUGUAUUUGAACUUGUUUCUGCAACUCAAGUCAUGAAAGUCGAUGAUGGCAAAAUCAUAUGCUAUGAAAAUAAAAUACAAAAUUGAACGAAGAACAAUAACGGCAAUACGGUGAUUUUAGCAUUUGUUAAAAUGAGGUACUGGUUAAUGUUUUCCUAUUUCUUCUCGAUUUCUUCUCUUUUAUUUAAUAAAGCUUAAUUUUUUUUGCCAAAAAAAUAAUAAUAAUAAUAACAACGGCAAUAUGGUGUCACAUCUAUCACAUAAGAUGUCCUGAAACACUGCUAUGAGUGCUAUCACAUAAGAUGUCCCAAUUGACACUCGAUGUUAUUCCCUCACAAAAUGUAUCUGAUUUGAAACUGGCACACUGAACCUUCUGUAUCGCAUUUAUUCUAACAAAAGAAAAGAAAAAAAUUUGUAACAGUGAAGACUCCCAGCUCUAUAACUGACAAUUUAGAAAGAUUUUGGGAGGAAGAGUACAAAGGUGGCUGAUUCGACUCAUGAAAUAAGCAAUUCCUCAUACUUCUCAUGUUACUAAAAUAAGAUCAUGUUAAAGUACAGCACAAGAACUACACAGAAACACAUAUCUGAACAUAUUAAAGAUUAGCAGUAAUCUUAACUGUAGCCUCUACUUAGUUCUUGACCAGUAAAGUCGUUCAGGAAAUUCAUAACACAUCCAUAAAAGGAAAUAUUCGUCAAAGAACAAUGGGUUUCUCGGCUUCAUCACCUCUUUCCUUCUCUAGGAGUUCAGCUGGGAUGUCACCUCGGAGGAUUUGGACUCUUAAUUCUAGUUUUGUAGUGCUGCACUCCAUGACUUCAAACACACAUCCAUCGCCAGCCUUUAACUUGUUGUCAUCAACAAAUGCUUUCCAUGACUCUUUAUCCAACUUGUGCUUUCGGUGUUUUCCACCACAUGUCAUCUCCCAACUUUUUCCCGCAAAGUUGAGAACCGUAGGGAUUGAACAAGGUGGUAGUAUUGAAUGAAGUUUGGCUGGAAUUCCCUAUAUCAGAUAAAGAAAUUAAUACAGCUAAUUAAACAAUCAAAUCCUAACUUAGUGUAAAAGUCCCUAGUAGCCAAUCUUAUUAACCGGUUGUGCUCAAACGUACAGCUUGAAUAUCAACAUAUAAUUUUAGAGGGCCUUGCUUCUUAAAUUGCCUGCCUCUGAAGACCUGAUUGCGCCUCAUCUUUAAAGAAAAAACUUAUAACUUAUAAAUAUAUGUUACAUAUCCCAAUAUAAGAUCUUCCCAAGCAGAGAGCAGAGCAUUAUUUACAUGCAGUACUUACCAAGAAAACAAAAUACUUUGUGUAACCAACAGCCAACAUUUUGAAGACUUCAAAGUGACUCACUCAAAAGUUCAAAUUGAAUUAGCAAUUAAAAUGUCUAGAUGAGUCUGUAUAAAGAUGAAUAAUGGUUUCCCUAAUGGUAAAUUUGUUUAGCUUGAUCAAGGGCAACCCUUCCUAUUAAGGUGAGAAGUAUAUACUGGAAACACAACUCUAAACAAACUGUCACUUCAUUUCCAAUAACUAUUAGGAAAGGUAUCAAUCGAUCAAAAAUCACAUUUCAUCAACAGUAGAGAAAAUGAUCUGCACAGAAACUAUUAUAAUGAGAACUUUUAGAAGGUAAAUUACCAGCAUGUAAGAAGGUUUGACAUGUGAUUUUGCGAGUAUUAUAUCAAAGAAAGGUUUUCCUGAAAGAGGCCAAAAUUCUUCACCAUGCAAUUGAAUUAUUGUAUCUGAUGAGGAUCGGGCCGAGUCUGCCAUUUCAGGAUCUUCUGCUUCGCCAACUGGGAAUUAACAAAGUAACUUAUCUGGAACAAAGAUGAGUACUGUCAUGUUCUCCAUGUGAUGCAGAUACCAUGCAUAUGAAGCACAAUAACCAUAAAUUGUGCUCUUAGUUAGGGUUAACAACCUUUUCUUUCCUUGAUCACCUGUACUAACCCAUUUUCACUAGCGAAUCACACCCAAUUAAUCCCUAGCCUAAUAAUUCUGUUCUUUGAUCUGUCGUCUUUAAACAUCAGACAUAUCUUGCGUAAAGCCUUACCUGGUACAUAAUUCUUUUAAGGAGCUAACACUCAAUAUCCACCAAAGAAUUUCAAGACUUUCCAAACCUAAAGUUGAAGAUCUUCAGAAAGGCAUUCAACAACACCAGACCUUUUCUUCAUAACGCUGACAUUGCAAUUCUUUAUUUGAAACCAAAAAAGCUAAGACACUUUGCGCAAGAGUUCAAUAGACAUGAUAAUUCAAAAUAUAAAGAGGAAAAAAAAUGAAGAACAAUAGACAUGAUAAUUCAAAAUAUAAAGAGGAAAAAAAAAAAAAAAAAAACUAUAGUGCUUUAGAAAGUACCUGCGAGGAUAAUCUCUGGUGAGAGUUGCCUGAGGAGGGGAGAAUACUUAAAGGACUUAAAGGAGUGGGGUAAUAAGGGUUAAAUUUGAAAAAGGAAUUAGGUGGUAUCAGUAUAAUGUAUACCAUAACAGAUGCUUUCAUUGAUGGAGUCAUAGCUGCAUCUACAGUGGCAUCUUGCUAUUUCCAGAAAAGUUACACCAGCAACAAGACAAACUUGUCACACCUUGGAGACCAACUUUCAACAUAGAAAAUCAAGAAACCAGGAUUCUUGUGAGCCAAACUUUAAAACCCACAUGGCUCUUGGUAAAGGAACUUCUCUGCAGUGAACUGCAUCACCUAAUUUCACUGACAAGAUAAUUGUGAUGUAACAAUAAUAAUGAUGACUUUUCUGUAGUGUACUAUGGUUAUUGACAAAGAUGAUGACUACUCAUGAAGCCACCCAGAUGUUCUACAUUAUCAUGAUAAGCGAAAUUGAAAGUGAAAUAAUGUAUACAUCUAAUUUAACACUGAUGGAAUUAUAAAAGUGCUAAGAGAAUAGGAUUGACGAAUGCAGGCCCCCUCUACCUUGAUCAAUUUCAGAACAAGAAUUCAAGACAACAAUGAAUUCCUAAUACUUCAAAGAAAAGAUCCAUACUUGUAAUCAAAAAAGUAAAAAAAGAAAGAAAAGAAAGAUCCAUACACUUGUAUUCAGGAUCAGUGAAGUAUUUAUACAUAAUGUACUGUUCUACUCAUAAGUAUAGAGACCUAGUUCCCAAAUGCAUAACCGUUAAUAAAACAUGUUUUGCUCCAAAAUAGAGUAGAUCUUCUUUCACAAUCUAUCACUGUCAUGAAACAUGUUCAGUAAAAGAUUUUCUACACUCCAUUGACAAGUUUAUCCAUACUUACACCUGUUUCUUUUGUUACAAUACAAAGUACUGAUGAUAAACAAGGAAAAUGAAGACAGACCAAUCUCCUCUGAUAUGAGAGAAAUUAAAAACCAAUAUUUCUGGCAAUAAUUACGAACAUGAGCAAAAGUGCAUUCUUUUUAAGGUUAACAUACAUUCAUGUUCAUUUAAUUAAAAUAGGAUAAUGUCAAAUGACAUCACAGAACCAAUACAUAAACACAUAGAUCUAAACACAUUAAAAUCUAGCACUCUCAACAGGCUCUACUGAGUUCCCCAUUAUAUUAGCUCCUGGCCAUUGAUGCAAUUAGGUGAAUGAUAAAUCAUCCAUGGAAAAGGCCUCAAUGUAUAACAACGGGUUGCUCUGCCUCAUGGUUGGCCUUCUCUAUAAGUUCCUGAGGGAUGUCACCUCUCAGGAUUUGGACUCUGAAUCCUAUUUGUGUGCUGUUGCACUCCAUGAGUUCAAACACCAAUGCAUCUCCGGCCUUCAAAUUAUUUUCAUCAACAAAUGCUCCCCAUGACUUUCGAUUGAAUUGUUUAUGACGUUUUUCUCCAUUAUAGGUCAUCUCCCAACUCUUAUCCCCGUAUACGAGAACUGUAUGGAUUGAACCAGACGGUAGUAUUGGAUCAAGUUCGGUUGGGAUCCCCUAUAUCAAUCAAAUGGUUAUUUCAAUGAACUAAACUGCAGCUAAUAUAUCAAAUGAUCCACAACUACAGUAAUAGUCCCUAUAAGCCGGUCAUGCUUGUCUGUUGCAAUUAUACAGCUUGGUAGUAGUACAAAAAACUAUAAGGGAAAAUAACUUAUCUGGUUAUACCAUAUAAGAAUAUGUCAUGUAAAGCACCAAGAUAUUUCAACUUAUAAAACGUAUAUCAGUAUAUCAAAAAUCCGUGCAGUUGCAAAUACUGUAUCCUGGAUGUCGUUGGCAAACUAGUAAACACUAAGUAUCCCAGUCUCUUGUUAUGAAAAGGCGCAUGCAUUUGAAGAAUUUGAAAUUUAACUUAUAAAAAAGCAAAAACACAACAAAUUCAACUUGAAAAUUAAGGAAUCAUAUCACCUUCUCCACAUAUCUAACAAAAAGGGAACAUUUUGAAUCAGCUUCUUAGGCGUGUAGGCUCAAGCGAAAAAGUAACUUGUUGCUGAACAAGGGUUCAAAUUGACCAACUAUUUUGAUCACCAAACAAAUUGUUACUUCUUUUUACAAUAUGAUGAUCUGAUAAGAUCAAAUGACCCCAUCAAAUAUGAUCAUAUGCACAGACACUAAUAGUAAACCAAUCUUGAACUAAACUGAUCCAAAGAGAAGGAAAAAUUCACCGUCUACAUAAAUAUAGGCAUAAUUACCAUUUGGUAAAUGGGUUUCACAUGUGAUUUUGUGAGUAUGAUAUCAAAGAAGGGUUUCCCAGAAAGUGGCCAGAAUUCCUCUCCAUUCAAUUCAACUACAGGAUUCGAUGAGGAUUGGGCCAUUUCAGGGUCUUCAACUGGUUCACAUACAAAAGAUCUGCAACAAAGAUGUGUACAUUCAGAUUAAAUUUCAAGGCAAACAUACCCAAGACUACAUAAACACAAAACACAACAACAACAAAAAACCUAUGAUGGGCAAUCAAGUUUCCGAUUUCUUAGUGACUAUCGUCAGCAAAGAUCACCACAGUAUCAUGUUUCAAACACACUCACAUUUGAAUUUAUUUACUUUUUUAAACAGAACAAAAGAGCUAAGACUACCUUCCACACACGAGUUCUCUAAGAUUGAAAAGGCAGAAACUUUCCCACAGAUUGGUUCGAGAGAAUUGACAAACAAAUGCAUAAUGGUUAUAUUGUGAAGAAAGUAAAGCAGUAUUAGAGUUUGAAGAGUGAAGACCAUACCUUUGGAGCUUGUUGGUGAGAGUUAGUGAAGAGUAAUGGCAGGUUGUCUCUUAUUAGUAGCUGUUUUCAAGAAACUUCUGAGCUUUUUUUUUUUUUUUUUGUUUCUGGGCAUAAUGCUCUCAUUUGACUGUAUGAUCCUGUGAGGAGAAGCCAUUGAAACUUGGUGAUCCUGUCCACUGGGUAAUUCAAAUUCGACAAAUGCUUCUCGCUCUUGAGUUGUCAGGCGUCACGAAUUGUGGAAGCAGAGUACAGUACUCACUUUUCAGUGUCUUGUCCUGUCAAUAUUUUCUCUUAAAUAAUGGGCCUGGAAAAAAAUACUAAUUUCAUUUUUUUAUCGGAACUAAUUUCAUAUUUUCAAAUUAAUACCAAUCGAAUCAUCUGUGUUUAAUACCAAUAUCAACUGUAACAAAUUGUAUUAGCUGUAUUACUCACCUAGAAUGUCAAGGAUAGUUUGUAUAUAUUAGAACUGAUUGUAAACAUUUUGAAUAAAUGAAAAACUCUUUUCUACAUGGUAUCAGCCAAAAACGAUUAUUACCUGUGAUUUCUUCAAUCAAGGAGCUUCGCCCCGCCGUGAGCAGUGUGACUCCCAACCGCGCAACUCCUCCGACCGGAAUUUUCAUAACGGCGGCCGAAACCAGUACAACAAUAGGAAUCGGCGCAAUUCAGGGUAUCAAGGUCGUAAUUCUGGACACUCCUAUGCGCAACCAGCGCCCUUUUCAUCCCCUCCUUGGGCUAAUGGGCUCCUAGGCCCAGCUUCACAACCCAACUGUCGCUCAAACCAUCAUGCUUUCUCCCAAUGUCCUCAUCGCUACUCUGGUCCUCCAAGUCUCCAACUGCCGCUCCGUGUGAACAUGUACGUUUGAAAGUCUUGAAUUCUUCUUUUUAUAUACAUAUUCCAGAUUCAGUGUGAACCCUUGGAUCGAGUUAAACCUUAACUAGAUUAUAAGCCAAUACUUUUAUUCAAGGCAGAGUAGUUUAUCCCAUAUGAAGUCGCAGAUUACUAAACCUAAGAUCAUGUACUAUACUAUACCCGAGUAUUUGUUAACGAUCCAGAGUCGGUGCAAGUAAACGAGAAUUAAAUUCCAUAACUUCUGGGAGCUAGGCACAAACUCAUGGUGCACAUGUUGUUCUGUUCCCUGACCCUGGAUUGCUGCAUGAUGCUAAUUAAGUUCACACUUUACGCGUUAAUUAAACAGAAAAGAUGAACAUAAAUUGACAUCUUGUACUAAUAAACAAUUUAGUGGAAGCUGGAAGUAUUGUAUAGAUCCUUAAUCCUACGUUGAAUCGAAUGGGCUUAUAAUUUUGAUUAGUGAAAAAUCAAUUCCAGUUAAAGAAAACCAUCAACCUUAAAAUGAACUAAAAGCAAGGUAAAACAGAUUAAAACCGGACAUCCAUACAACUGAUGGAAUAAUAUAGAUUUUUUUAGCCUCUACAAUCCAAUUACAGAACACAAAUAUAAGUUUAUGACAAUGAAAAUAACAGAAAGUUAUGCUGCACUCAUUACAGGAUCACUGCAGAUGUUUCUUAAUUGGCACAAUGUGCUGGGAACCGAAUCAGCGGUUGAGACCGUCCACAUUGGCAAGCUGUUGCAUGCACACAAAAGGGUGCUUCAAAAGCAUCUCAGCCGUGAACCUCUCCAAAGGGUUCAUUAUGAAGCACCUCCUCAUCGUUUAGCUCAUCCGGUAUAAUCGGAAUUUCAAUCGGAUACCCCCAGUCAUCUUUUGAGUCAGUGUUGACAUCCAAAUAUAAUUUCCCAGUCAGCAUCUGCAGAACACUGCAGCCUAAUGCCCAAAUGUCAGCCGGCGGCUCUUGAAUGUUUUGCAUUGACAUUUCUGGAGACGUAUACAAUCUUGUGCCAUGUAUUUGUUCAGAACGCUUCAUCACAUUGUCUUUGGCAGCCGUCUUUGCUAGCCCGAAAUCCCCGAUUUUUGCAACGCGAGAGCCAAUCCCAGUAUCCUUAGGAUCAUUACUUACAAGGAAUCAUUACUACUUACAAGGAAUAUAUUUGCAGGCUUAAUGUCAGUGCACAAAUCCCUUUUCAUGAAUGUACUCGAGCCCCUUCAAAACGGACAAUGUAUACUUCCUUACGUGCUGCUCAUACAACCCAGAAUUCUCCGGUUUCUCUAUAUAAUCCAUUAUGGUUCCUCUUUGAGCAUACUCCAAGAAAACGUUGAACAACCUUCUGAUCUUCAACUUCUACCGUCACAUCGCUGCCAUACGUGUUUAAGAUAAAAGGGCAGCUCCGAAAUUUCUUGAGAAGUCGACUUUCGUUAGCCAAAGCCGCGGAUUCCGACAAAUCUACCGACUUGACGGCCAUAAUUGGAGGCAGUUUCUUACUUGGUUUAGCCGGACGAGCCAAGAAAACGGUCGCGACCUCUUGUCGAACCCACCCUCUGGUCCGAGCACGCUUGCCGGAAUCCGGCUCCUCAUAGAUCCUUUUCCUCUUGCGAGUGUCGAUAGUAUACAUGACUAAUCCGACAGAGAUGAAGAGACAAUAAAGAAAGAAACUCAAUUUGUGUGAAAAUGUAACUUGCAGUGAGAGGAAUUCCACUGCUUUUGGGGUCUUAUAGGACAAGUUUCAUCUUCAUUAAUCCUAGUGAUGUGCUGAUUGGGGUUAGUAGAAUUGAGGAUUUUUCAGGUUUUCAUUAUUCCUUUUCCUAGUUGUAUGCGGAAUACAUAGGAAAAUAGAAACCCUUUCCUAGUUGGGUUAUACGUUUUUCGUUUUUCCUUGUUUAUAUAAUUGCUAGAUGAAAAAGACAAUAUCGUUUGACUAACAAAGAGAGGAACAAGGCUGGGACAGAAGAUAUAUUCAAAUAACUCAUUUUAUUCAUAAUACUUGUGAAUUAAUAAACAUGAUGUUGCAACUAGGAUUCAUCAUCAUUUUGAAUUGCGUCUGCAAAGAAUCAAAACAUUUUCAAUAAACUUCAAAUAGCUCUUUCAGACUAAUGUAAGUCUCAGUGUGUGUAGGUUUAUGGCUCCACCAGAACUUGGAAACUUUCUGGUAAAACCUUUCUGUGGGAUGGUUGGAAUCGAAAAAUACAUGUUCUUUAACAUUGUCACACAGUUCAUACUCUGUCACGCCUCGCUUCCCUCCACAACUAUUAAUUCCUCUGAAAGGACCAGAUCCGCAACAUGCUGUCUUCCCCUCCUUGAAACCUUUACCCAUAUAAUAGGAAAAAAUGGUCUUAGCUUAGAACACAAGAUAAAGAAAAAGAGAAACUGAAACUGUAAUUGUCAUGUUUACCGUAUUUAGAUGCAUUGUUAAUUAUUUCGUCUACAAGAGGGUAGAUAUCUGGAUAUGAAUAUUUGAAUCCUGGGAGAUGUCCUUUAAGGUUUAGGAGGACUUUAUCAAGUACACUGUUGUGUAAUCUCGCUACCGCGUUCAAUUCUUCCACACAUGUGCCUGUGUUUCCUGGUUUCAUUGCUCUCAUGCUUGGUGUACAACCCAGAGGAGCCACGCCUGAAAACCCAAAUUUCCUUCCUCCUUUCUUGUAUAUUUCCUGAUAAUUAAUUUGUAUACGAACCAUGAAGUAAGUGAAUGAUCAAAUUUUGUUAUAUCGGAUCAUGAUAUAUAACUGCAUAUAGUAGUACCUUGAUCACAUUUGUCAUGUUUCCUAUCACCAGGCCAAUAAAUUCUUCAGGUGAGGACGCCAACAAACUGGAAUUUGUAGCGAGUGCAUAAGAGUAGUCAUUGGAUCCAAUUGCAAUUAAGUAAACAGCUUCUGACAGCAAUGUGUAGGCUUCUGCAUGGCCCAGUUUGUGCCUCAACUGCUUCUCCACUUUCUUGAAAUUACCCAGUUGAGUUUUAAGGUCUAUAACCUGAAAAUAAGGAAUCGAUAACCCCAAUCAUGCAUAUAUAAGUAUAUUUCUCUUCUGCUUACAUUAUACAUGUAAUCUGGUUACAAACCUAAUGUUCAUAGACAUGCUGAGAUGCUGUUAUUGUAACCAGAAUAAUCAAGACAUAGAACAUGUACUCUUUUUUUUUGGUAAGAGAGAUUCUUAUAUAUACAAGAAGAUGACAUACAUAUCCUUGAUAAGAUUGAGCAAGAGCACCAGCCCCGGCAGAUGCGAAGUUGACCCCAUGAGCAUAGUAGUUGAACCCAGGUUGUAAAUAUGGUGGUACAAGUGGCACCUUUGCAUACUCAGCUGCAGAAAAUGGAAAUGUGACAACCAGUUCCCUAUUGUUAAACAGAAUCAUCAAAUAUUGCAUAGAGAAACUCAUACAAAAAAAAAAAAAACUUACCAAUGAUAUCAGGGAUUAGACGUCCAUCCGAAAAUCUUCCAGUGGGGCGCUUGAAGAAUGUUUCCCCAUAUGGCCAGAAAUUUGAUUGAAAUCCAGUGGAAGUGUUCAAGUAGUUAUUGUUUCCAACAUCAAAUAGCGAAUCACCAAAGACAAACAAGGCUUUGUGUUUCUUGUGAAGCCUGGAGUGGUCAUGGCAGCUGCUUGGAGGAAGAAGAGUUGCAGAAAAAGCACAGAUCAGAAAUAUUUGAUACACUAAAGUUGACAUUUUAGCUCUGGAUUACUCUGUAUUAUCUUCUCGAUCCCUUGUUCCAAAUCUAUAUAUAGGCCACUGUGAUUAACUUCUAUAGAAGAAAACUAAUAUAAACUGCAAUUCAAUCCUACGUUAGCUACCUAGUUGUAGAAUUGAAAUGGGUCUCCAGUCUAAUAAUGUGUCGAAAUAUCAAUCACACAUAAAAAAUAUGAGACAUUGUUUGUGGGUUUAUAAGAGUUUGGGUCACUCCACCCAUUGUCAGUUGGUUUUGGAUGUGACCCUCGUGCCAAGACUACUUUAUCAAUAUGGUAUAUUCUCUGUUCCAAAAUAUAAUUAUUCAAAACAAUAUAUAAUGAGGAACAACCAAAACCAAUCUACCUUUGGCUCCUUUUGAGUUGUGCUUCUAUUAAAAUUUAAAGAAUUUUCCAUUAAUUAUUGAUUGCCAACAUAAAUGAUGAACUUGAGGAAUAUAAAAGUUGAUGCCAAUGCUUCGACUUGAGCAUCUGCCACCGUAUAGAAAAUUUGGUAAGCUAUAUAGCUAUAUAUGGCUUAUGAUAAGAGAAUAUGCUAUAGAAUCUUUUGAUUCAACAUGCAGGUGUUUCCACCGUAUGGUAAAUGUGAUAAGGCAUAAUUGAAAUGGGUGGGUUUGCAACAGCUAGGUUUCUAUUUAGCAUCUAAUAUCAUUUUUUUCAAUUAUUCUCAACGGUUAGUUAACAUAAAUUUUUAGAAAUUUUAUAGAAACUCAAUCCCAUGAUCAUGUUCAUCACUUUAUUUUUCUUUUCUUUCGAAAAUAAUUUAGUCUAAACAUAUUUAAUAUUAGACUCAAAUGAAAGAUAUUGUUCGGUUCUUUGUAAUAGUAUGAUUUUUAUUACUUACAAAUUUAUAAACAUGAAGUUUAAGGAGAAAAAGAAAUUGUAACUAUACUUAGAGAAAGGAUACAAGUGGAAUAAUAAUAAGGUUACUUGAAAACAAAAGGGUAAAAUGGAACAAAAAAAGAAAAUAAUUAAAAAUAGAAGUGAUACACCAUACCAAAUGGAACGCUAUAUAUGCCUUGUUACUGUAGACGUAAGGCAAUUUUUUUUUUUAGGAAAUGUGAAAUACCUUACGAUGGGAGAAGGUGGUAAGGUAUAUAUGGGGUUUAACCUUACGGUGGCAGAUGGUCAGACAUAGAACCUUUUCUUCUUUAAGUAGCAAGACAUCGUGAAGGCUGCUUAUGAAGCUAGUCUAAAGUCAAUGCUCGGGGCCGCGGCUGCUGCCUCUCUUUCUGCUUCAUUUCUUUUUGUUGCCUGAAUAGAAUAUGUGUGGAACAUCGCAAACAUGUACCACGGGUUGAUUUAUUUAGGGCCUGCAGGCCUGCAAAUUAAAAUAGUACAGUUGUUCCCGGUCCUUCAGCAUUUCGGAAACUAAUCUGAAGGUGCCUAAUUCAGUUCAGAUAGUGCUUGAACAUGUGAAGGACAUGUGACGGUGGAUUUCUUAAUCCACUUUAGCUUGAAAAAUUGCUGCUUAGUUUUUUCAGUCGGAUGAGCAUAACUGAAAUUGAUUUAGUUCCUCAUAUAAAGUAUAAACCAUUACCUUCCUUAAAAACUCUCAAGAGUUCAAGUAACAGAAUGCAUAUUUUAGCCUAGACAGUAGCUAUUUUGUUCGCUGAUGCAGUCUUUUGCUCAUGGAAGUAUCUGAAUCGAUAUAUGAAGUUAUGAACAUUUGGAUCAUCAAUUCAUCAUAGCUUGAUCUGUAGUACAUCUAGGAUUUUCUUUUAGUCAUGCAUAUAUGAAAGACUUUAGAGUUUAGAUAUUACAUUAUACAGUGUCGACAUAGGGAUCAAGAACGUAAAUUUUUCUUGAUUUUGUUUUGUGUGUCAAGAAUUACAAUACAACAAACAACAAAUACAUGUUUAUAAAAUUAUUAAAGAAGAAUAUGAUCUAUCAAACAUUCCAGUUUAUUUGUAAAUGAUAGUGCAUCAGCAAAAUGCUGAUAUUGCUUAUUGAAUCUAACGAAUCCAUAUUCAGCUAAACUUCGAAAAGCUGUUACAGAUUAUUAGAGGACCCUGUGACAUUGGGAGUUUGGCUCCACCAUAACUCGGAGGCUUUCUCAUAAACCCUUUCAGUUGGAUGCACAGAGUCAAAAAAGACAUAGUCAGUAACAUUGUCACAUAAUUCGUAAUCUGUCACACCUCUCUUUCCUCCACAGCUCGAAAUUCCUCUGUAUGGACCAGAGCCACAACAUGCUGUCUUGCCCUCCUUGAAACCUAUACAAUAUGAUGAUAACAAAUAGGAAUAUUAGGAAACAGAUAUAGCAUUGCUUGUAACAAAGAAUACUCUACAUACCAUAAUCUGCAGGAUUGUUAAAUACUCCAUUUAGGUAAGUAUAGAAAUCUGGAUUUGAAUAUUUGAAUCCUUGGAGCUUUCCUUUCUUCUUUAAAAGCGCUUCAGAAAGUUCUGUGUUGUGUAGUACCGCUAGCGCAUUCAUUUCUUCCACGCAGGCGCCUGUGUUUCCCGAUGUAGUUGCCCUCACAGAUGGUACACAACCAAGAGGUGCAACACCUGUAAUCCCAAAUUUUCUUCCUCCAUGCUUGUAGAUUUUCUGACAAAAAAAUUAUGGUGGAGUUAAUAAUCCCAAAGUUCUUUCCAUGAUGGAGGAAAUUUGUGAACUAAACUGGAAAGAAAAUAGAAACAAGAAAAAUUGGUAUUUAGUCAAGCUUCUCAUGUUAUAAAGUUUCUGUUACUUUGAUCACUUUGGUCAGGUUGCCAAUGACCAUUCCAACAUAUUGUUCAGGUGAGUGAGACUCAAAGAUGCUAGAAUUUGUUUCGAAUGGGUAAAGGUAAUCAUUGCCUCCGAUGCUAAAUAAGUAAACAGCUUCAGACAGAAAUGUGUAGGCUUCCGCAUGACCUAGCUUGUGCCUCAACUGCUUCACCACCUUAUUGAAAUAACUGAGUUGAGUUUUCAGGUCUAUCACCUGAAUACAAAAAAUCAACCAGUUAUGAGUACUACUUUUAUGAGUUUGAUCCUUUAAAAAAAAAAGUUAAUAUAUCAAGGAUCACAUACAAAUCCUUGAUGAGUUUCAGCCAGAGCGCCAGCCCCAGCUGAUGCAAAGUUGACCCCAUAAGUAUAGUUGUCCAAACCAGGCUGUAAAUACGGUGGAAUGAGUGGCAAUCCUGCAUAUACGGCUGCAGAAAAUAAUUGAUAUUCAACUAGCUAGUUGUGGUAACAAUCUCUAGUAUUGAAUACAAUGGAAAUAAUAUUUACCAAUGAUAUCCGGGAUUAGACGUCCAUUUGAAAAUCUACCAGUGGAGUACCCGAAGAAGGUUUCCCCAUAUGGCGAGAAAUUUGCUUGAAAGUUAGUGGAAGUAUUUAUGUAGUCAUUAUUUCCAACAUCGAAAAGUGAAUCACCAAAGAUGAACAAAGCUGCAUGCUCUUUAGGAAGACCAGGAUGGCCAUAAGAGAUGGUUGGACUGAGAAGGCUUGCACAAAAAGCCAGGACAAGUAUGUGAAACUUUAAGACAAUUGCCAUUUUAGUUAUGGUUUACUCUGUAUAAUCUGCUCUUCUGUUUCAAAUUAUAUAGAGGUCUGUAAGUUGAACUUGUGGAAGAAGAAACCAAUACAAACUGCUCCUAGCAGAUCACAAUGUGCAUUUGACCUUUUAUUGGUCAACUUCAAAUUGUCAUCAAUCUGAUAUGUGGCAGCAUAUUCUUUCCAUCAUAUAUAGUUUCUGAUGUGUGCUGAUGACAUGCUUGAUAUAAUUGAAAACAAGCAAUCAAGAAAUAAUAUUUUCAUUAUUUUGCAAUAUUAGCAGAUAAGUUUAUAUCUUGCAAGAUCAGCGCAAAAUUAGAAAACGAAAAUACUCGUGGAUGUGGUGGAUAAUAUUCAAAGAACGAGUAUUUCCUGAUCAUCAGAUUACUUCAAGUAAAGUCAGUGAAGACCUUAUAGUGAAAAGCUCUUAUCUGUUGGCUCUUCUUCAGUUUUAUUGCUUUAUAUAUGCAUACAACAUUAAGCACGCAGAUGCUUAUUUGAAUUUAACAUAUUGUUGAAAGCUAAGGUAUAACAAACUUGUUUAUUCAGAAAACAUAAUUAUUGACUAGUCCAGUCCUAGAUGUUUUCUUCAGCUCAAGAACUUGGUGUCGACUAGAUUUAUUUUUCUUAAGAAGAUCCAAAUAGUUCUUGAAAAUUGCAAGGCCAUGUGACAUUGGAAUUUCCACUCCACAUUAGCUUGGAGAACUGCUGGUUAGUUCUUUCUGUUGGAUGACCGCCAUCAAAGAACACAUACUCUGAAGGAUUGUCACAUAGUUCAUACUCCGUCUCUGGCCCCUUUCCUCCACAAUUGUUAAUGGCUCUGUAUGGACCGCUUCCACAGCAUACCUUCUUCCCUUCCUUCAAACCUAGUUUUAGGUCACAAAAAGAACUUUAGCAUAUAAAACAGCUUAGUUUAGUCUGGAACAAAAAACUAGAUGAUCCACAAAUGUUGCUUAUACCGUAUUUUGUUGGGUUAUUCAAUCUUUCACUCAUGGAAGUAUAGAAGUCGAAGUACGAAUAUCUGAAUCCUUCUAGUUUGAUCUCUAGCGCAUGGAGGGCUUCUGAAAUUGCCUUAUUGUGUAUUUGUGCCAUUUCUGUGAGUUUUUCUCUGCAAGUUCCUAUCUUUCCUGCUGGCUGCUGAAAUACUAACAAAGCUGGAUGACAACCAAUUGGCCCCAAGCUUAGAAACCCAAAUUUCCUUCCUCCUUUCUUGUAUAUUUCCUGCCAAUUCAAAACACAUAAAGUGAUAACAUAACCAAACUGGGAAGUGAUUAAAACAAAAAAACAAGUAGAAUUACUUUGACUACAUGUACUAUAUUAUUUCAAGAACAGAAAAUUGGGUAAUGGAAAAUUACUUUGACCACAUGGGUUAUGUUGCCAAUCACCAUCCCUAUGAAUUCUUCUUGUGAGUAGGACUCAAAGAAUUCCUUGCUGAUGUUAUAUUGCAGAGGGGCUAUGUAAUCAUUGCUUCCAACGCUGAAAAGGUCGACAGCACUAGAAAGUAAUGUCUUGGCUUGUGCAUAGCCUAAUUUGUGCCUCAAUUGCUUUUCAACAAUUUUGAAAUAACUAAGCUGAGUUUGAAGGUCUAUCACCUGGGAUAAAAACAAAAGAGAAAAAUCAAUGUUGUAAAACAAAAAGAAUAGAUUGAGAAAAGAGAGAAACAACCAAGAGAAUGAGAGAAUAUGUAUAUUUUAUUGAGUAGGGAACCAUCUCUUAUAUAGAGAUGAGGCCAUGAUGUAAAUUACAAUAACAACCUUAGUCGGUUAAUUACAAGAAUGCCCACUAAGUAAUAACUAUUUACAACACUCCCCUUUGGGUAUUCUCUGUCAUUAGCUUUCCCUAAUAUGUGCUUCGGGGUUGCCUCGUCAAAACCUUGCCAGGUAAUAAAAACCCUAUGGGACAAAAACAAUCCUGGUCGAAGGAGAAAAGAGUACAACGCACAAGUAGCAGUGAUAGUCAGAACCCUUGAUUUCGGUGAAGCGGUUCAGUCUGGAUCAUAAGUUGUGAGUCUGUGGGAGAUAGAUGCAUAUUAGUUGCUACACCAAAACCUUGCCCGGUAAACCCAGUGAAACAAACCCGUGGUCGAAGGGAAAAGAUGAGCAAAUGCAUAUAUUUCAAAUAAAGGCAUCUUCAAGAUGCAGCAUGAGCAAGGUGACCAAUUACAUGUGUGCCUCAUUAAAACUUUGUCAGGUAACAAAACCCAGUGGGACAAAAUAACCCUGGACGAAGGAUAAAAAGAGUACACAAUGGUCAAGAGUAUGCUUCAGGAUACUCCCCCUAAUAUUGACUCCCCCUGAAAACUACACACUAGGUAAAACUACUACAUUGAUCAUGCUUCUUGAAUAACUUAAUAGUCAGCAUGAUUUAAAGAGGUUUUUGUUUCAUAUACCUCUAAGAUUAUUGUAUUCCCUAUAGUAAAGACAUAACCAGUUGGGAAUAAGCCUUGUAUGGGUUUACAUAACCCGUGUCAGCAUAUUUAACAAGGCAAACAUCAUUCCAAGAAUCAUAGGCGGUUGAUCCAUUCCAUGAUGCCUAGGGAUAGAACGAGCCAUUUUCCGUCAUACAUUUAAAGUAACGAAAAAUUGUCUUUUAUGCCAUUUACAGAGGCGGCGUGUUGGCGCAGAUCUAUAUCUAGCUAACAAAUUCACAUCGGGUGAGAUGUCCAGUCUAGGGCAUUUAGCCAAGUACAAUAAUGUGCCUAUUGUACUUAGAUAUGAGUCUUCUGGUCCCAAUAUCUCUUCAUUAUCAUCUACACGAUGAUACGAGUCUCACUAGACUUUAGACGAUUAUGAGUGAGCUUGAAGACUUUGAUUUAUCCUCAUUAAAGUAUCUUAACAUCUUCUAGAUGUAAUUUGAUUGAUGGACCAAAAUUCCAUUUGCACUUUACACGACUCCAGGUCGAGAAAAUGAUUUGGUCUCUGAAAGUCUUUUUAUCUCAAACUCCGACUUCAGAUGUUUUAUGGUUUUCUUGAUCUCUUCAAGAGUAUCAAUCAAAUUCAUGCCAUUGACGUAGAUCACCAAAAAUUGCAAACCCGAAGUUUGUUUUCUUAAUAAACACGCAUGGGCAUAGUCCAUUGUUCAUAUAUCCCAUCCCAAGCAAAUAUUCACUUAGACAGUUAGACGGUUAUACCAACUCCGUCUGGAUUGUUUGAACCCCUAAAGUGAACUACUCUAGCAAAUGGAGAGCAUGUUCUGUAGUCUAGAACUAUUUGCAUUGGGUAACAGAAGUCCUUCAGGAACCUUCAUGUAUAUCUCUAUAUUCAGAUCCUCAUAGAGAUAAGUUGUUACCACAUUCAUAGGCUGGUUAUUCAGUUAUUCGGAAACUACCAAACUGAUAAGGUAGUGGAACGUUUAUGACUUCCAUUACAGGAAAAUACUUCUCCUCAUAAUCAAUCACAGGGCGUUGAGAAAAUCCUUGCGCCAUUAGAAGAGUUUUGUAUAUCACAAUCUCAUUUUUCUCAUUACGUUUCCUUACAAGUACCCAUUAAACUCUAUAUGCAUGUUUAACAUGGGGAGGUGUGAGAACAACAGGCCCAUAACACCUUUCUCUAAGUUAAGGAAUCUAAUAUGACCCGGAUUGUUUCUUUCCUCUUUAGCCAGUCGUCUCUUCGUUGAGAUCUAUCAACGAAUCAAGGUUCGACAUCAUGGCUUAUUAUAAUUUCGGUGGCCACCGCAAAUACAAAUACAUCAUCGAUGAACUCUCAUUCCGAUUCAAUAUCUCACUAAAUUUACCGAGAUUUUCUAUUCUCGGGAGUGGGUUUAAAUGUUGGAGCGUCCCCCAACUUCGUCUCUUCUAAGACGAACCCAUAAUCUGGAUUAAUCUCGUGAGUUGAAUUGGUUUGAGAUUGCGAUGGCAAGAAGAUUCAUUUGUGCCAAGUUUACCCUCUUCUAGGGAUAAGAAUCAUUCGAACCUAAUGGUCUACCUCGCUUCAGGGCAGGGACUAUGACUAGUUAGCCGCCAUGGCCGUACUUUGUCCAACUAGGACGAUACGUCCUACGGGGAUAUUUAUCCUUGCAGGUUUGCAGCAGGUAUAUAUGAUCUCGUCACUUUAACUAGAUCUAAUAAAGUGUCUGGCAUAUUCUGGGAUACACUACAUAGAUCUAGAAUUCUUUACACUUCAACUAGAAGUAGAAUUCUUCGCACUUCAACUAGAAGUAGAAUUCUUCGCACUUCAACUAGAAGUAGAAUUCUUCGCAUUUCAAUAUAACAUGUGCGGUUUGGGGAUCAAGAUGAGACAUUCUACAUGUCGUUCAUCAGGAACGCUCACGUUCUUAUCUCCCCCUAACGGCGGGAAGACUGUCUUAUCAAAGUGACGACCGCAAAUCUAGCGGUAUAGAGAUCUCCUGUCAAGGGCUCUAAGGAGCACAUAUAUGGAUAGGGUUCAUAAUCGAUAUAUAUGCCCAUCAUUUGUUGAGGACCCGAUUGUGUACGUUGUGGCGGCACAAUUGGCAUGGAGACUGCAAACCCAAUACGUGUAAGUGCAAAAACAUCAGGUUCACACCCAGUCACCAACUGUAACACGAAAUAAGACGGGUAGCAGUGGGCCUCAACUGGACCGACAUAGCUGCAUGCAAGAUUGCAUAGCCCGACGCAAAUAGUAGAAGCUUGGUGCACAUUACCAAGGUUCUAUAUGCGAGACCAUCUUGGGUUUGAACAUAGAAAACUAUAUGUUUUACAAAACCCAAGGGAUAUGCAAUAAUCAUCGAAAACCUUCGAUGUAAACUCUCCGGCAUUAUCAAGUCUUAUAGACUUUAUGGUAUAAUCCGAGUGGUGUACCCUCUAUUUCAUAGGUGAGAGUUUAGCAAACGCAGCAUUUUCUUGUGGACAAUAGUGUGACAUCUGAUCACUUUUAUCGAUGCAUCAACCAAAACCAUUAAUAUUUAACUGGUCCGUAUGAUGGUUGGAUAGGUCCACGUAUUUUUUCUUGCAUUCUGUGCAUAAAAAGAUAAUGUACAUUCUAGUCUUUGCAUGUGAUGGUCUAGAAUUCAACAUUCUUAACGAGCAGCUUGAUAUAAUGUGUCAUUAAAGACAAGACCCUUAUUCUAAGGGGGAUGCUCGUGUGAUAAUUGAGUUGAGGAUACGGUGCAUCAUAUGUUUUUCCCGGGUGCAUCAAACACCAAUACUAUAGUUAGUAUUUGCUCGAAUCAUUUAGCUUCUAGCUAAUAAAUCUGAAUGUAUUCAAUGUACGCUUCUAGCCGCACAUUCAAAGGUUAUGCAAAGAUAUUACACCAUUUUUCUAGUGGUUUCAAUGUUUUAAGCAUUGGUUCAAAUGAACUUACCUUUUGAUAACGUUCUUCUAAAACGUAGAGGUAUUUUGCCUCGUCAGUUAGAUGAGAAUGCUCAGUUCCUUAAUAUUGAUAACACGUAUCAAUUUUGAUUUAGAUUCUAGGGCAUCAAGCCUUUUCAUUUCAAUAUUCUCUAAUUAUGAUUUGCUUCAAGCAAGGAAGAUGUCUACUUCAAAUAAUUUCUUCUGGAGACUACCAAUUAACAUGAUAAAAGCUACCGAUUUUAUCAUGUCUGGUGAAUUUUGGAAUGAAACUUCAAGUUUCUUAAUGGAGGGAUUAUCGAAACUACAAGUUUGAUUUAUACAUGAACUACUGGUACAUUUCUGAACUACCGGUUCAUUUCUGAACUACCGGUUCAUUAGGUAUAUGUAUUUUCAAAUUAUAAACAUGUAACAAUUGAUGAAAUCAAUUCCACGCUACUAAUUUAGCAUAGUGAAUAUGUCAUGUAAUUAUGUGUAAUUGCUUCUAGUAAUUAAAUACACAUUAAAUAUGGUGAAUAUAUUAACAACAGUCAUUAUGAGAAAGUAUUUGGAGUGUCUUAUAGACAUACAUAAUGACUAGGUACGAAAAACCAGUGUCAUUAGAUUAUUUUCCUUUUGUUUGAUUCUGCUGGACCAAAGGAAUUGACUGUAAUUAAAGUGAAAUAAAUAAACCUAGCCUCUACAUACUUUACAAGCCUACGGGGCACAAUCUGAGAGGUAUGUUGGCCGGGCUCUUAGGCCCCGUAGAGGGAGAGUGGCCUACUGGGCUCAGAAUGGUCUGCCAAGAAAUGCAAUGUUAUUAAUCAACCCUUUCGGUAACUCCAAUUGAAUUGUAUACGACCAGGUAAGCCAUGAUGAGGUGGUGGAGCGAGGCUCACUUAAGUACACAUCCUCAAAAGUACUUGCCUAGACAUCGCAUCCAACUAGGUGAGCCUAGUUUGAGAAAAAUUAUAAUCAUUGUCAUGGACUCAAGGCGACACAUGAUGAGCUUAUGUUCUAGCUUUGCAGCUUACGUCGAGCUUCUGGCUCAAUUUCAUUUAUAUUCAUGUUUGAUUUAAGCUUCUGACUUAAUAUCAUUAAUAUUCACCAAUGUAACAUAAACCAGUGCAAUAUAUGUUAUUAAAUCAUAACAGACAAACUUAAUGUGAAAGUAAUUAUAUGAAACCGAAAUAAAUUAAAUUAUAACGGAAACAAUUUAAUUCUCAUUGACAUAAUGUAUAUGCAAUAAAAUUGGUAUUUACUGAACCAAUAAAUGUCAACACCGUAGCGGUUACGUGCAAAAUAAAUUCAUUUGCAUCAUUAAUUGCUUCCGGCAAAAUGCGUCAUUACAUCCCCAUAACAAUUCAUAUAAAUAAUAAUAUAAUAGAGAAUUGAUUAAAUAAAACUGACGCAAUUUGAAUUUGGUAAUUAACCGACAUUUAAUAUAUGGCAUAAAUUACUAAAUAAAUAUCAUUUAUGCAGCGGUUAAAUAUGUACCAAAGACAAUGAGUACAAAUCUCAUUAAUGCUUCUAGCAUUACACAUAGGUAUUAAAUUGGAUAAAUGCUUCUGGCAUAACGUUUAUGUAAUAAUCGCAUAAUUAAAAAUCAAAACUCAUGCUUCUAGCAUAAUGGAUUAUAAUGACAUAAUUUAAAUUGGUAUAACCGAAAAUUAAACUCAUAUCGUCUAUCGUAAUUUGCACAAUGAUUUGACCCAUAAUGCUUGUACUAUAACAUAUGGGUUAUAACUUGGUAAAUGCUUCCGGCAUUACAUGCCCUUAAAUGCUUCCAGUUAUAACGUCUUUAUACAUGCCCUUAAAUGCUUCCGGCAUUAUAUGCCCUUAAAUGACAUUGAAUUUGACACAAUUCAAAUCUGUAACUGACAAAACGUAUAUAUUAAGUCACAAUUAAGUAAAAUCAGUGCUACGCGUCAUUAUACAAAUAACGUUACAUUUCUAAAUGGAUUUUAUUCAAACCUCAUUAUUAGCAAUGUUAAUUUGUAUCACUAAAUGCUUCAGGCAUAAAUAUUCCAUAUAUGUAACCGUUGAUAUAAAUGACAAAAUUAAUGGUCCUACAUUACCGAUUACAUGCAUUACUUCCAGAAUGCAUUCACGCUCUUGUGUUCGAAUGUCAGAGAAUGAUAGUGGAUCUGAAGUUCGUUCAUCCAUGCGCCUUUUGGUAUGCACUACUAGGCAUGCGAUUGGGCUUAUUUCGGUGGCUACUGGCCUCCCUGAAGAUUUUUAUGUCUUUUAUGUCAAUCACAAAACAUGAACAAAUUUAUAUACCACAUACGUAUUUAUCAUCUGAAUAAAUUAAGAAUAUAAAUUUAGGUCUUCAUGUAUCGUAUAUAGAUUUCAAAAUGCAACCAAAGACAAUGGGUUCAUGCUUCAUGGUGAUUUGUUCAUCAUAUAAUCAAGGCUAGCAAAUAUGAAUUGGAAUUAAGAUAAGAAAACGUUACUCAUUGCAGAACGGAUAAUCUCCAUCUUUUAUGUGUAGAACGGAGAAUGCCAUUUGUGUAGCUACUCAGCCAAUCCAAGAGCUUGGUUAGAUAAUGAUCCUCAUAUGGUUGAUCAUCGAUUUCAGAGCUUUCCAUGUCAAUGUAGAGCGAAUUCGAUGAAUCAAAUUGAAAAAUCAUCCUUUGCUUUUAGAGCUUCACAUGCAAUAGAAAACAAGAUAAUAUUAGAACUAUUCGUACUGAUAACGUGUUGUAAAACAAAAAGAAUAGAUUGAGAAAGGAGAGAAACAACCAAGAGAAUGAGAAAAUAUGUAUAUUUUAUUGAGUAGGGAACCAUCUCUUAUAUAGAGAUGAGGCCAUGAUGUAAAUUAUAAUAACAACCCUAGUCGGCUAAUUACAAGAAUGCCCACUAAGUAAUAACUAUUUACAACAAUAUGACCCUUUUUCACUUGGGGAUAAGUAACUAAAGAUAUUGGAUAAAAACGAAGGGUAAAUUUAAAUACAGUAUGCCAUAUGAGUAAAGUAAAGCAAUGCAACUUGAUGAAGCAGCAAUACAAAUAAGUGAAUGACUUGCUACUAAAUGUUUAGGAUCGCAUACCACACCUUGAUGAGUUUCAUUCAGAGCACCAGAUCCCCCAGAUGCAAAGUUCACUCCAUAAACAUAGUUAUAUAAACCGGGUUGUAGAUAUGGUGGAAUCAAUGGCAAAUUCGAAUACUGAGCUGCAGUAAUAAUUUGAUCAACCAGCUGUUAACUUACAAUACUAGAUGGUAAGGAAAUUAAAACAGCACACUUCAGUUGCAGCUUAUGUUACCAAUGAAGUCUGGAAUUUGACGCCCAUCAGUGUAUCUCCCGGUGGCGUACCCGAAAUAGGUUUCUCCAUAUGGCUAGAAGUUGGCCUGUGCAGUCUUGGGAGUGUUAAUGUAGUUAUUGUUUCCAGCAUCAAAUAGUGAAUCCCCAAACACAAACAAAGGCUUGUGUCCCUUUUGAACAGAGAAGUGACCAAGGCAACUGCCCGGAAUAACAAGCCUAGCACAGAAGGCCAACACAGAAAUAUAACAAAACCUUAAAGUUGCCAUGUAUGGUGAUCAAAUUACUUUGUGCCUGCUUAUCUUAUAUCUCCUUGGUUUGCUAACUAUUACCUAUUUAUAGAUCUUCUGCUGUAUACCGGUGAGAGAUUAAGGAAUCUAAUAAACAUUGGAUAGUGGACUAGAAAGUUUAUAUUACAUAUUUUUACGAAGACAAUAGUACAAUACAAUUCAAACAAGCAAAAUCAUGAACAUUGUUCAACUUUUGUGGAGAAAAAUAUUUUGAUUAAACUCCUGGUCAUAGAGGAGAAACUAAACCGAAAGUUCUGAAGACAUCCAACUGUUGAUCUAUAUACCAUAGGUUUGGAUUAAAGAAUAUAUAUGCACUCAACAAACUGCAUAUAUACUGUUCUAGAUUAACUAGCUGGAGAAAUUUUUUGCAGCUUUACAAUAUAUUCAACAUCUUUGGAGUAGUAUAUGAAAUUAAAGUUGAAGAAAACUAUUGAAGAAAAAUUCAGAAGAAUUAGCCUAUUCCAUAUUUACAUAUGACUUGUCGUGCAUCUAGAUUAGUUGAAGUUGAUGGCUUCCACCUUUGUUAUCUUGGUUGGGUGAAGAUUAAUUCUGAUGGCUCAUGGAAACAUGAAGAGGGAGUUUAAGGGAGUGUAAGGUUAUUGGUGCAAUUUUUGGGGAUUAUAACUUAUAAGGGUCACUUUCUUGGUGCUUUUGCAAUUCCUAGUUCGAUUGCUGCGGGGAUAAUGGCUGUUAUUAAGCUAGGCUUGAGCUUGCUUGGGUUUGUGAUGGGAAACAUAUUUGGCUGGAGAUAAUAUUGUGCUUGAUCGUAUACGUAGACUUUCUCUUGUCCCUUGGCCACUUUUGAGUUCGAGUAGUACUAGAAAGGCUGAUAACUUCACCGUAUACUAUUACUCUGAUCAUAAACUCUCUACACUGAAGUGACUUUCUUAAUUUCCAAUAAUGUCCCGUAGUAUUUUGCAGUUGGAAUCACCAAACUGCAAGUUAACUGUCAAUUUGAUCAAUGUAAUCAGUAGUUUCAAAUAGUGCUUUAAGAUUGUAGGGGCUCAACAUAACUGGGCGGAUAGUUUGGCCAGCUGUUAGUUGAUAUAUAGACCCUUUCAGUUGGAUGAGAAGCGUCGAAGAACACAUAUUCACUCACGUCGCAGAACACAUCAUUCAUACUCUGUCUUUUACACCAUCCUUCCCCGAUCAACAGUUUGGAAUUCCUCCAUAUGGACCAUUUUCCACAGCAUUGCCACCUUUUCUUUCACGAAACCUUUCGAAUCAACAAUAAUAGUCUAAAAUGUGAGAAUGCAUGUGAAGAGUUGUACGUACCCCCAUUUGAGAAGGUAGUCAUUUACCUCGAUUCCUCAAGGGGGUGAAGGGGCAAAAUGCAUGGAUUGUCAAAAUUACAAAGAAACUGAAAUUAACAACAACAAAAACAUAUAUAAUCGGACUGCAUCCAUGCACAAUUGAUGNNNNNNNNNNNNNNNNNNNNUAUAUAUAUAUAUAUGAUUUUUUUCAGUUGCGGACGUCCGCACCAAUGAUUUUGGUNCGGAUUUCCAUUUUUGCACCACUUUUUGAUCGAAUUUCCUCAUCUCCACCGUCUAGUAUCUAGAUAAUAUUGUGUAGAUCAUCUCUACAAAAUUUCAGCCAAUUUGGUAAUCGUUAAGGCCCUCAAACUCGAAAAACAAAUGGACGGACUGAAUUCUGUCCGGUUCAUGUUUAUACUAGAAAAACACAAUUUUGAGGGCCUUAACGAUCACCAAAUUGGCUGAAAUUUUACAGAGAUAAUCUACAUAAUAUUAUCUAGAUACUAGACGGUGGAGAUGAGGAAAUUCGAUCAAAAAGUGGUGCAAAAAUGGAAAUCCGCACCAAAACCAUUGGUGCGGACGUCCGCACCCAAGAAGGGCUAUAUAUACACACACACACUGAGUCAUGGAAAGUUUAAAUUGCCAAUACAACAUACACUCUGUUAGCGACAAUCUCUCAUAACCACUCUUCUCCUCAAAUCAAGAGUGAUUCUGAUUCUCUUUCCUAAUUAUAUGCUUGAUUUCAUUCUGUGUGAUUGAUACAUUUUACACACUCGACCAUAUCGAUAAUCUCUAUCUUGUAUACAUAAGCAAGAUAAGGUACUUGGUCAAUUUCAAUUUUCGAAUAGUGCUUUGAGAUUGUAAGGAGCAGUGGAGUUGGGAGUUCCACUCCAGAAUAGCAUAGCAAAUUGCUGAUUGACCCUUUCUGUUGGAUGACCAGAGUCGAAGAAGACAUGGUCACUUGUAUUCGGGCAUAAAUCAUACUCUUUGGUUCCUCUCUGGCCUCCGCAGCUGAAAGUUCCUCUAAACGGACCACUUCCGCAACAUGCCACCUUCCCCUCCUUAAAACCUAAAGAUACCACCAGGACAAAAUUAAAAUGAGUUUAUAACCUCCAUACACAAGAGCUAUAAUAUGAUGGCAACUAGAUAGUAGCGGAAGUGGUGUAAACCCAAAUAAACUAGAUAGUAGCACUAAACCCAAAUUACUGUAAUAUGCAUAUCAAAAAGUUAUAUAAACACACACACAACCAAGAAAUGAAAAUGUACCAUAUUUAGAAGGGUUAUUUAUCCUGUCACUCAGAAACUCAUUAUAGUUGGAAAGCGAGUAUCUGAAUCCCUUGAGUUCAGUCUCCAGCUUCUGAAGGAGUUUGGGAAGUUCUUCAUUAUGGAGUUGUACAUAUGGUGUAAUCGCUUCAAAGCAUCCACCUUCUUUCCCCAAUGGUCUUGAGAAUGGUAUACAACCAAGCGGAUCAAGGGUAAGAAACCCAAACUUUCUUCCUCCUUUGUUGUAUAUUUCCUGUUACAAUCGGUCACUCUAUUAAUAAUUUAUUACCAAUUAUCAUUAGCAACUACCAUAUGUAUGAAAAUGAGAAAUUGAGUUAUCUAAUUUAUUUUGGAGUACAUAGGCUUACUUUGAUCGCUGUUGUUAUGUUGCCUAGAACCAUUCCUACAAAUUCUCUGUGAGAGUGGGUUCGAAGGAUGCUGGAGUUUGUCCCGAAUAUGUACGAGUAAUCGUUGCUUCCGGCACUAAACAAGUAAACAGCUCUUGAUAUCAGAGUCUUGGCUUCUUCAUCCCCCAAGUUCUUCGUCAAUGACUCACGAACUCGCUCAAAAUGUGAGAGUUGAGAAUGAAGGUCUAUCACCUGAAACAAGGUUCAGAGAACAAAUACACAUCUUGUUAAAGCUUAGUCAAGCAUAUAGACAAGUCUUAACUUUCAUGAUUAAGACCCAGUUAACUAAUUCUAUAAUCAUGUAAAUGAUCUUAAUUGUUAACAAAACUUCAGACGCGAUUAGGGUCAUUUACAUGAUUAUAGAACUAGUUAACUGGGAACUACAUAGUACAUAUGGUGCAAAAUCACACGUCACAUACCAAACCGUGGAAAGUUUCAACCAGAGCACCAGCUCCUGCAGAUGCAAAAUUUGAGCCAUUUGUAAAUUGCUGGUUGCCGGGUUGUAGAUACGGUGGAAUUAUUGGUAGGUUUGCGUACUCAGCUGUAUCAGUAAAAAUAUUAGGGCAAAGCUAUUUUUACUCUUAAUAUUUAUGUACUAGUCUUAUUCGUGAUAGUAAAGUAUCUGUAAGAAAGUUACCUAUGAAAUCCGAAAUUAGACGACCAUCCGAAAAUCUUCCCGUUGGGUUCUUAAAAAAGGUUUCACCAUAUGGCUGAAAAUUUGCCCGAUAACUAGUGUUGGUGUAGUUAUUGUUUCCGGCAUCAAAAAUUGAAUCCCCAAAGAUGAAAAGGGAUGCAUGUACCUUCGACGACAACCCACUCACGCUGUGGCUUAGGGUCGUGAGGAUGAGAAGGCUUGUACAGAAACCAAAGAUAAAAUCAUGGAAGCUGGUGUCUGCCAUUUUAGACGCAGUGAUCUUCACCAAUUGUAGUUUCACUUGCUAUUUAUAAAGGCAUGCAUGCAUUUGGGGGAAGGUGCAACAGAAACAGAUCAGAUAUCAAGCAUAUGAGGUUUUGGAAAGUUAGACAACCAUUAACAUGCAAGCUGGUGUUUGCCAUUUUAGAUGCAAUGUUGUAUCUUCACCGAUUUUAGUUUCAGUUGCUAUUUGUAAGGGCGUGCAUUUGUUGUCAGGUGCAACAGAAACAGAUCGACCAUAUAAGCUUUUGGAAAGUUAAACAACUAUUAUCAAUAAAAAUCCCAAACCAAAACAAUUGAACGGAAGUCAUCCUCUUUCAUAUUAAUAUAUUACAUCGUUUUUAUUAACUUGUUAAUGCAUGGUGGCCAACGUGUUCUUAAUGCAUGCUUUGCUCCAAAGUGUUCUCAUAUCGAGUAAUUUAGAAAUUUUAUGACAAUUUUGGGUCGUCGCCGAUAUCAUUGUUUCUUGUAGUGAACAGAGAGUUAACAUUGUCAAAUGUGAAUACAGUGCUAAAAAUCAAGGUCCUGAUGAUAAAAACUUCAAGGUAUAGCAAGUAAGCAACAAUGACGAAAAUUGGAAAACAUAACGAGACAAAGAACAAAGAGAAAGGUGAAUUGGUAUUAGAAUGUUGGUAAUUAUACAAAAUGGUUGCAAUCUGUAAUGAAAGAAGAACGAAGAACCAUUAUCCCAACCUAUUUCAUUAACGAAGAACUUCUGCAUAUAUGAGAGGGUGAUGCUGAUUAUAUAACCUAUUCUCCAAGCUGAUAAGAAUAUUGUCGGACUAUAUAUGGUUUGGGCCUGCUAGGAUAUGGACUGGGCCUGCUACACUAUUGCCUCUAUAUUCUUAACAUACAGAUCCAAUCGAUAACUCAAUCUAGUAUCUACAUAUGAAGAAUUUAAUUAAGACAUAUAUAGUUUGUAAUUUUCAUUCGAAUAGUGCUUUGAGAUUGUAAGGAGAAGUGGAAAUAGGAGUUCCACUCCAGAAUAGCCUAGCAAAUUGCUCAUUGACCCUUUCUGUUGGAUGUGCAGAGUCAAAGAAGACAUAUUCACUUGCAUUAGGGCAUAACUUAUACUCUCUGAUACCUCUCUGGCCUCCGCAGCUGAAAAUUCCUCUAUAUGCACCGCUUCCACAACAUGCCGCCUUCCCCUCCUCAAAACCUUAAUUUGCCAAAAAUGAAGUACAAUGAGUACUUGAAUAACCUUAAAACUUAACAUACAUAUACAGUAUAUAUGUAUACGUAAAUAUGUAGCCAAGAAAAUGAAAAUGUACCAUAUUUAGAAGGGUGAUUUAUUCUCUCUCUCAGAAACUCAUUAUAGUCAGAAAGGGAGUAUCUGAAUCCCUUGAGUUUCGUCUCCAGCUUCUGAAGGAGUUUUGGAAGUGCUUUAUUGUGGAGUUUUACGUACGGUGAAAUUUCUUUAAAGCAUCCUCGACCGUUUUGUUCCUGCUCAACUACUCUUGCGAAAGGUAAACAACCAAGAGGAUCAAGGCUAAGAAACCCAAAAUUUCUUCCUCCUUUCUUGUAUAUUUCCUGGUACAAUGAAAAUCACUUUCUUAUUACUAUUUAUUUUCCCCUUCAUCAUUUAGCGAGUACCAUAUGUAUAAAAGGGCCGGAGAAACAACUUGGUUAUUAUUUUGGAGUACUGAAAGCUUACAUUGAUCGCUGCAGUUAUGUUGCCUAGAACCGUUCCUACAAAUUCUCUGUGAGAUUGAGUUCGAAGGAUGCUGGAGUUUGUCCCGAAUAUGUACGAGUAAUCGUUGCCUCCGACACUGAACAAGUAAACAGCUCUUGAUAUCAGAGUAUUGGCUUCUUCCUCCCCCAAGUUCUUCGUCAAUGACUCACGAACUCGCUCAAAAUAUGAAAGUUGAGAAUGAAGGUCUAUCACCUGAAACAAGGUUAAGACAACAUCACACCAAAUAAACAUUUUGUUAACAAUUAAGCAGAGACAAGUCUUACAAAAUUUUUAUAUACACGCAUGGCUUUCUUAACGGCAAUUAAUUAAUCAAUUAAUUAAUUAAGGUCAAUUACAUGAUUAUAGAACUAGUAAAUUGGUGAACGAUAUAAUUGAACAUAUAGGUGCAAAAUCACACGUCACAUACCAAACCUUGGCUAGUUUCAACCAAAGCACCAGCUCCUGCAGAUGCAAAGUUUGCACCAUAUGUAAAUUGAUGAUUGCCUGGCUGCAGAUAUGGUGGAAUGAAAGGCAGGUUUGCGUACUCAGCUGGAACAACAAAAUAUUUAAGUACGUACGUAUGUAAAGUUAUUUUCACUAAUCAAUAGUAUUCUUAGAACUCCUCGAUAUAAAUUGUAUGGUAUAUUUAUUUUACCUAUAAAAUCAGAAAUUAGACGACCAUCGGAAAAUCUUCCCGUUGGGUGCUUGAAAAAGGAUUCACCGUAUGGCCGAAAAUUUGCUCGCAGACUAGUGUUGAUGUAGUUAUUGUUUCCAGCAUCAAAAAUCGAGUCGCCGAAGAUGAAAAGGGAUACAUGUUCCUCCGACGGCAACCCGAUCUCGCCGUGGCUUAGGGUAGUGAUGAUGAGAAGGCUUGUACAGAAACCAAAGAUAAACUUAUGGAAGCUGCUGUGUGCCAUUUUAGACGCAGUGAUCUUCACCGAUUGUUGUUUCAGCUAGCUGCUAUUUAUAAAGCCAUUUGGGGGCAGGUUCAACAGAAACAGAUCAAGCACAUGAGGUUUUGGAAAGUCAAACAACCAGAACAAUUGAACGUCAUCAUCUUUUAUAUUACACUCUUCAUCGACUUGUUCAUAGAAAUAUAAGUUUCCAUACAUCUGCUCUUGAAAAUUUUGACUUUUAAUAUUAGGAAGAUAAUUAUAUGUGAGUAGAAUCUGGAUUGCUUGUAUCAUUCUGUGUUCGAGAAUAAACUUUCCCCAGCAGACACUCGCAUUUUGAUUGCAUAUAAUGGAACUAGUACCUCUUCCAGAAGCAAAGACGUAUUCUUUUUCGCCAAGAGAUAACUAGUAGUGGCAUAUGGAUGCAUAAGAAUGAAAACUUCAGUAUGUGUUCAAUCCUAAAUUCCAAAUCGAUCUAUAUUCUCCUACUUGAUACCAUAUAUUAUAUCUCUAUAUGUGCACUGGACCAAAUUGUUAAUUACUUUGAUGAUAUGAAAGGGUCAUUUAUAAAAGGAUGUGCUAGCUAGCUAGAGCAUCUUCCUCUUUUAUUUAAAGGUUAAAAUUUAGCUUUAGUAGAUGGCGAAGCUUCUCUAUACGUUGAGGUAGGCAACUUACUCAAGCCUCGACGGCACACGCACAAGUAGUACACCCAUUCAACAACUUGAAACUUAUUUUGCAUAUAUUUAUAUAUAGAUGGAUCCAUUGAAAAAUUCUGAAUGUGAUUGAAACAAUUUGUGUUAUUAAUCCCUCUACAAGAUAGGGUUUUAUUUGUGGGGUUGUGCUGAUGAUAUUCUUCCUCCUGCUAUCUUAACUUAGUACUUGCUUUGGAAUAGUUCUUUCAAACUGUAAAGUCCGGUGGAAUUGGCAGGUACUCCGCUCCAGAAUUGUUUAACAAAUUGCUGAUAGAGCCUUUCAGUUCCAUGACCCGAGUCAAAGAAGACAUGCUCGCUAACAUUCUCACAUAACUCAUACUCAGUCACACCUCUCUUUCCUCCACAGCUCAGAAUUCCAUUAUACGGACCGCUUCCACAGCAUGCCACUUUUCCUUCCUCAAAACCUUUUGAUAAAAAAACAAUGUAUCAACAAAGAAGUGUAAAGUUAUUUCACGUAUGACAUAUAUAUCAUGAAGAAUGAAAGAGAUGACUGCACAAGUAUGUACGCACCAUAUUUUGAAGGGUAGUCCAUUCUUUCUUUAAGAAAAUCAUGAAAUUCUGAAAAUGAGUAUUUGAAUCCCUCGAGCUCUUUCUCUAGAUUUUCCAGGACUUUUGGAAAUUCUCUGUUGUGCAGUGUGAUAUAUGGUGUAAUUUCAUCCAAGCAUGCACCACUUUGUCUCACUUCAAGUAUUCUGGCGAAGGGUACACAAGCGAGGGGCCAAAUGCUGAAAAACCCAAAAUGUCUUCCUCCUUUCUUAUAUACUUCCUAUCAUAUCAAAAUUUACAAGUAUGAUUUGUUAUCCAUGGUGACCAACAAUAUAUUUGGCUUAGUGUUAUCAAAAUGGAUAAUAUGACAAGUGAACACACUUGUUUUAAUUUUGUUGAGUCUGAUCAUAACAUAACAUGCAUGUUUGAUAUCUAACAAUAGAGAUUGUUAUUUAUAAUCAAGUACUAAUGAAAAACUUACCCUAGCCUGACCAGUCCAGUUAUGUUGAGUAUAACCACCCCUACAUAUUCCUCAGGAGAGUAAGAUCGAAGCGUGCUGGAGUUUGUCUCAAAUGGAAAAACGUAAUCGUUGCUCCCAAUGCUAAAUAAGUAUACAGCUCUUGACAGUAAAGCCUUCACUUCUUCACUCCCUAAUUUCUGCCUCAACGUUUUCCUGGCACUCUCAAAAUAUAUGUUGAGUAUGAAGGUCUAUCACCUGAAAAAAUGCUCGAUCGACUAAUUACAAGAAUAAAUUAGUUGCACAUUAUUAUGGAAUGAAGUAAUCUACUGAUAUGCAUUCAAGUAGAUUGGAGAUAUAAUGGAGUAAAUGGUGGAUCGGGAUUCUGACAUAUCCUUUCUAUGAAUGUUUAUAGGAUCUUAAUAUAUGUAAUCAUGCCUUUCCUAGAAUAGUUAUCAUGGUAGAUGUAUAUAGACCAAUUCAUUGUACUGUUAUCAUAUCUAUAUAGAACAUAUUUCAUUCACAAUUUCUUUAUGGUAUCAGAGCACUGAUCUUGGUGACUCUAGAGACUCAUCCAUCUUCCGCAAACAUAUCAAACACAGUCAAACUAGACACUAUCAAAUCGACGUUAUGGCCAACACAGAAGAACACACUGUCCAAAGCCUCACCAGAUAUGACAUACCUGCAUAUCCUACACCACAACGCAUAGUCACACCCAACUGCAAUAUCACACAUACUGAUCCUCAUUAUACAUUAUAUUGGAUCGUAGACAGUGGAGCAACGGAUCAUGUUUCUUAUUUAUCACCUACUCACAACAAAAUUACAACAUCUCAUAAUUUUGUUGGUCUACCUAAUGGUGGGAAAGCCACCAUUGAGAGCAUUGGAACAAUUAAGUUGUCAACAGAUUUGAUCUUGAUGGUGUUCUUCAUGUACCUAAAUUCCGAGUAAAUUUGAUAUAUGUGAGUAAAUUGACUCGAGCUUUGAAAUGCAUUGUGAUUUUUUACCCGGAUUUUUGUGUUGUGCAGGACGUGGAUACGAAGAGGACGAUUGGCCUGGGCAAGCAUUUUAACGGACUCUACUACCUCAACCCAAGCCAAAACCCUCACCUAGCAAAUCAUGUCACACGUACCUCAGACCUUUGGCAUCAAUGGCUUGGACACCUGUCAUCUUCACCUAUUCACUGGUUAUCUCAAACCAUUCCUAAAAUAGUUUUUGAUCCACAACAUGUGUGUGAUAUUUGUCCUUUAGCCAAACAAACUCGUUUAUCUUUUCCUUCAGGUUCAAUAAAAUCCACUACACCUUUUGACUUGAUUCAUUGUGAUAUUUGGGGCCCUCACAAAACUCACACUCAUUCUGAAGCACGUUAUUUUCUCACCAUUGUUGAUGAUUUUACUCGCUUCACUUGGGUUCAUCUCAUGAAAUUAAAAUCCAACACACAACCCUUGAUCCGAAAUUUCUUCUCUUGGGUUAAAACACAAUUCCAACGUGAUAUCAAAAUCUUGCGUGCCGAUAAUGGGGGUGAAUUUACAUCAAUGCGUUCUUUUUUUGAUUCCCAUGGUACCAUUUUCCAACACACUUGCACUUACACUCCACAACAAAAUGGAGUCGUUGAGCGCAAACAUCGUCAUCUUCUAAAUGUGGCUCGUGCUCUUCGUUUUCAAGCCAAUUUACCUUUAAAGUUUUGGGGAGAAAGUGUUACUACUACUUGUUAUCUUAUAAAUCGACUCCCCACACCACUUCUUUCCCACAAAUCCCCUUAUGAGUUGUUACAUGGCAUUCCACCCACUUAUACUCACCUUCAGGUUUUCGGUUGCUUAUGUUUUACCACCAAUCUUACCCCAAAACACAAAUUCGACAAACGUGCAAAUCCUUGUAUCUUUCUUGGGUACCCUCUUGGACAAAAAGGUCAUCGAGUUUAUGAUCUUGAGAAUCAAAAUUUUUUUACCUCUCGAGAUGUUGUUUUUCGUGAACAUAUUUUUCCAUGUUCUGCACUUCCUAAAGAGGACCAAGAGGAUUUUCUAGUCCUUCCCAUCUCUGACACAAACCCAACCUAUUCUUUCAGCCCACUAUCCAAUCAGCCCAAUCCAAUUUCAGUUGAUAAUUCUCAUUCCACAACCAGAUCGGCCUCCACUUCUUCUCCAGACCCCAAUCCUUCUCCUCCUGACCUCACCUCGCCGUCACAGCCACCGGCGCCGGUCAACUCCGACCCCAUAUCGGCACCCCCCAACUCCGACCCUAAUCCGGUCGUUCCGGAUCCCAUGCCGACGCCGCUCCACUCACCUCUAAAGAUGUAUUCCCGUUGUCCUACAGCCUCCGACGCCACCACCUCGUCGGCGCCCCCUCCAGCGUUGCCAUCGUCAGCGGACCUUCCUCUUUCUUCUUCUCCAUCUCUUCUGCCGCCAUGCCCAAGCCAGCUGCUUCCCUUCCCGGCAGGAACCACACCACCAUCCCAGCCUCCGCCACCACCGGUGCAGCCUUCUCCACCACCACACUUACCACCACCGGCUUCCACUCCACCACCAUCACCUGAACCAGAAUCAACUCCAUUCCCGGAACCAGCCUUGACUCCGUCCUCACCUCCACCUGCAGUCACACGCCGAUCCCAUCGUACCCGCCAACCACCUCCCUACCUCAGUUAUUACCAAACUCACCACUCUGUUUUGCUUGGCCCAGACAACGGUCUCUCCUCCACGUCCGGCACUCGUUAUCCACUUCAGAGGUACGUCUCUUAUUCUGGCUUGUCAUCCGGUUAUCGCUCUUUUAUACACAAUGUUUCUUAGUUGGUUGAACCAGCAAGCUAUGAGCAGGCUCGUCAUGAUCCUAAUUGGGUUGCGGCAAUGCAUUCUGAGAUUCAGGCUCUUGAAGAUAACCGCACAUGGUCUAUGGUUCCUCUGCCUUCUGGUCAUCAUCCCAUUGGCUGUAAAUGGGUUUUCAAAAUUAAAUAUCAUGCUGACUGCACAAUUGAGCGCUAUAAAGCCCAGCUUGUAGCCAAGGGAUUCACACAACGCGAAGGUAUUGAUUAUAAAGAUACUUUUGCACCUGUUGCGAAAUUGAUCACUGUGCGUUGUCUGUUAGCAGUUGUUGCAGCAAGGCAUUGGCCUUUGCACCAAAUGGAUGUCCAGAACGCCUUCCUCCAUGGUCAACUCACUGAGGAGGUGUAUAUGCUGCCACCUCCUGGUUAUAGUCGACAGGGGGAGAACAUGGUUUGUCGACUUCACAAAUCCCUCUAUGGUCUUAAGCAAGCAUCUCGCAGUUGAUUUCAGCGUUUUCAUUCUGCCAUCCAAGAAAUUGGUUUUCAGCAAUCUCAUGCCGAUUAUUCUCUGUUUACACAAGUUCAUGGGAAUUCUAUUAUUGUGAUAUUGUUGUAUGUUGAUAACAUGGUUAUAACAGGGAACAAUGAGAAGGCAAUUGAAGAUCUCAAGAAGUUCCUCAACAGUUGUUUUAAGAUUAAAGAUCUUGGACCCCUCAAGUAUUUUCUUGGCAUAGAAGUUGCACGAUCCAAAGCUGGAAUUUCAAUUUGUCAACGUAAGUAUACGUUGGAUAUAUUGGAGGAGGCAGGACUUCUUGGUGUGAAACCUACCAAGGUACCUAUGGAGCCUGACUUGGUGUUAACUGAGAAAGGGAGUGAUGCUCUCAAGGAUCCCUCUCGGUAUAGGAGAUUGGUUGGGAAGCUAAUUUAUCUUACAAUCACUAGACCAGACAUUACAUAUGCUGUGAACACACUCAGUCAAUUUAUGCAGGAACCUAAGGUGCAUCAUCUCAAAACAGCAAACCGACUUCUUCAAUACCUUAAGGCAGUUCCUGGACAAGGCUUAUUAUUCCCUUCAGAUAGUUCACCCUUGUUGGUCGCCUAUUGCGAUGCAGACUGGGCAAGAUGUCCCAUCACCAGAAGAUCAGUAACAGGGUAUUGUAUUUUUCUUGGUAAGUCACUUGUGUCAUGGAAUUGUGUCAUGGAAAAGCAAGAAGCAAGCCACAGUUUCAAGAUCAUCUGCCGAAGCUGAAUAUCGUUCUAUGGCUGCAACCACGUGUGAACUCAGUUGGUUGAGAUACUUAUUGAAAGACUUGCAGGUGCAACAUCCUGAGGCAGCAAGGUUAUUCUGUGAUAAUCAGGCAGCCUUACACAUUGCAGUAAAUCCAGUAUACCAUGAGCGAACGAAGCACAUUGAGUUAGAUUGCCAUACGGUUCGAGAGAGAAUUCAAAAGGGUGAAGUCAAGACUGCUUAUGUGCAAACUGGAAAACAGAUUGCAGACUUGUUUACCAAGCCUCUGCAUGCGCCAAUAUUCCACACACACCUUAGCAAGUUGGGUGUGAUAAACAUUCACUCUGCAACUUGAGGGGGAGUAUUAUGGAAUGAAUUGUAAUCUACUGAUAUGCAUUCAAGUAGAUUGGAGAUAUAAUGGAGUAAAUGGUGGAUCGGGAUUUUGACAUAUCCUUUCUAUGAAUGUUUAUAGGAUCUUGAUAUAUGUAAUCAUGCCUUUCCUAGAAUAGUUAUCAUGGUAGAUGUAUAUAGACCAAUUCAUUGUACUGUUAUCAUAUCUAUACAGAACAUAUUUCAUUCACAAUUUCUUUACACAUAUCUACUGAUUUAUUAGACGCAUGCAUUUAGUUUUCAUUCAGUUUUCAUAGCUAGAGUUUACAUAUGGACUAUAUGCUGAAAAAUAAGUAACAAGCUUUCACAUAGGUUCCACUUUUAUUUCACAUACGUACAGAGCCUGCGCGAGUUUCAACUAGAGCACCAGCUCCUGCAGAAGCAAAGUUUACACCAUAUGUAAACUCAUGAUUACCGGGCUUCAGAUAUGGUUGGAUAAGUGGCAACUUCGCAUAAUCCGCUGCAAACAAUAAACUUAACAUGUCAAUGCUUAGGUUUAAUACACAACUUAACAAUAUUUCAACUUUCGAAAACUGUAUUACAUAUCAUACCAAUGAAAUCUGGGAUUAUGCGACCAUCGGAAAAUCUACCGGUCGGGGACUUGAAGAAGGUUUCACCGUACGGCCAAUAAUUUGCCUUUCCAAUUGUGUUGAUGUAGUUAUUAUUGCCAGCAUCAUAUAUUGAAUCGCCGAAUAUGAAGAGAGGUACAUGUUUUUUUGACUACCCGACAUGGCCGUGGCUUUGGGUUGUAACGAUGAGAAGGUUUGUACAGAGUGCAAAAACAAGCAUUUGAAACUUCACCAUAUUAUUAACUGAUCUGUCUCUACUACUAGAUACGUAAUAUAUAUCUUCACCUUGUUUAACUUAGAGCCUCCCAGUUAUGUAGUACUUCCAUUACUAUUUAUAGGAAAAUCCGGAGGGCCAAAAUUCUACAUAAUAACUAAACGUGCAUAUGAAGAAAAUAUAAUAGUAUGAUUCUAUUGAACAUGAGUUAGUUUAGAUUAUCUCCGGCAAAAAUGUCAAAAGUGAUCGCCAUGCCAAAUUUGAACACAUGCAUGUUUGUAAUUUGUAAAUGAUUCUUUUGUCUAUGUUUUGGCCACACCAGUAAGUCUGGGUAUGCAAAGUCUCUUUUAGUCGUUGCGGGCGUGUCACCGCGCGGACGCGGAAUGUAGUUGUUGUAGUAGCCGGGUGCGCUUAGUCUUCUGCUUCUAAUCAAGCGACUGAGGAUGGAGAGAACACCAACUCCACUACAGGGUUCUUCAGAUUCGCCUUGCGUACUGAGCAAGGACUUACAGUAGUCCGUCUGAGCGUCACAAUAUCGAUACUCGACGUAGGGUCGAGCAGAGCUUCAAUUGGAAAGGAGAGGAAAAAAAAACAAAGCUCCGGAGAGCGUACAAGGAAACUAAAGCAAAGCUCCAGGGAGCGUCUGGAGGUUCGACUAGGUCGAGAAUUGUAUUGUACUUUGUAAUUGUUGAGUUGUUGAGUGUUGUCUAGAGAGUGAGCCUCGAACUCUUUCAUAUAGAGUUAUUUAGGGCCACAUGUAUUGACCCAAAGCAUAUCAAAGACUUAUAGAAGUCUUCAACGAUAAAUGUGACGUAGGUGAUGUUAAUCGUUUGUUUAACACGAUUAUCCUUUCACUACAAAAAAAGUGAUCUAAGGCCACUUUAAUCGUGAGAUGAUUAUAUGGCACGAAAUGGCUAUUGUGGUACAUUACCUCACAUACAAUGGUAAACGUGAGUAUCCCAUUUUUGUAUAAUUUUUCCUUGCUUGCUUGUGUCAGAAAACUGACACUGCCACUAUUUUUUACCCUUAUUUAAUACUUUCUGAGCAAAAGAUGAGAAGACCCGAUUAUUAUUUUCUUUUUCCUUUUUUUCUCUUUAUUUUCAGCCAUACACUGGAUAAGCCUUAAGUUAUCUCAACACUUCAACUUUUUCAUCCCCUCUCUCUCUCUCUUGAUGAAACUCUCUCCCUGCUCUUGUUUCUUCGCGUCUCCGCAAUUAUUCUUUCAAUCUCAGAGGCUUCAUCACUACAGUCGAGCUAACAGCGACCCCAAACUGGUUAUGUCCCUCUCUCUCCUCCCCCUCUCUCUAUUUUCAGUCAGUUUCUCUCUGAAUUCAAUAGUGGUUUUGGUAUUAAUUUGGGUCUAAUAAUCUAGGAUAGGUUGUUCGAGGUUAUGCUCUCCAUGAAUGUUGGUGAUCUCUCUUGUAUGAUCAGCUCAAAGCACCGAUCGUUUUAAAAUUUAGGUAGUUUUCCUUUUGAUCUAGGUUAGGGAUCGAUAAUUUUAUCACAAUGUUAAUAAAUUUGAAGCUUAAUUAAUUGUUGUUUUCUGAUUACCGUGGGCACUCUACUCUGCUCAGGGAUUUCCACAGUCUGGUGUUGGAUUUGCAACAUCGAUCGAUUAUGCGAAGCUUGUAACUAAACUGUCAUUUGGCUAUAUGAGGUUAGUAAGACCUGAUUCUUGGUUACUAUGUAAGUUAUUUGACACACUACUUUCUGUAAUUUGCUAAAGUGCAGUUGUCACUGUGUUUUGUUUUAGAUGACAAUCAUGGCAAAGAGAAGUGUCAUGUACCCUUCUGUGGUUUACUAUACUUCUAGUCUCCUUGAGCAAUUGUAAGUGAUAGUUCUCAGAAAUUUUAGACUUCAUUGGUUUCAGUAGUUUUGUUGUAUUAACACCUUGUCAAUGUGAACCACAGUAUAACUACAUGUUAGGCACAUUCGUUGUAUUAUGGAUGUUAUGUGGGUUUUGUCAUGUACAUUAAUUUCUUUAUAUCCUUUGCAACAAUUGGUUAUGUUUUAUAUUACCAGCUUUUUAUUAUACAUUGGUAUCAAUAUUUACUUAUGCAAAUCUAUUGUGACCAUUAGCUUUAUAGUUCUUACGUGAAACAGCAUAGUCAUACUACUCUUCAAAUUCUUUUACGUGGAAGUUAUUUAAAAAGUAAGUUGUUGUAUGUGCAGGCCAAUAUUGAAGAUAUUAAUGUUUCUAAUAAUAAGAUAAAGGUUGCAAAACUAGCAAGGUAACUUCUACAAACUGAUGCUUACAGAAAAAGUAGCUAAGAGAGGUUGAUUAAUAAGCAUGUUGUUGUACUUGUGUUGAUUUCUCAGACUCCUGGUUUAAGUAUGAAAUUUUGAAUUCACAAUGUCCAAUUUGAUUGCCUGUAACAUGAAGUAUUUUGCAAUAUGCAGACAUAGAAUUAUGUUAGUGCAGAGUUUUAUAUAUAUAUGUUGUACCAUUAAAUCUUGAUCUUUAUAACCAUAUGAUGCUCACAUGGCUUGCAAUUCCAUUGCAAUUGAGCGUCGCAGCAAGUCCAUUGAAAUAUAUGUGAGUUACAAAUUAUUAUUAGCACUUUCAAGUACAUGUAUAGUUUCAACAUAUCAUUGCUCAAAGGAUAAUGCUCUUCAUAUUAUUCCUUCUGCUUUGCUGAGAUGCGAUUCAUUUGUAAUAAAAUUCUAAGUCAAUGAUUUUUGGACACCUAACAACUCCCUUUUCAUGAGUAUGGUGUUUUGCCUUUUUGAUAUAGUCUGUGUGAACCGGAAAAUUGAAGAAAUCUCUUCUCCAGUGUUGAUUUGCAAUGGGGGAAGGGCCCAUGUUUUGGGUACUCAAGUCUGCAGUUAGAGUCUAGUGCAAUGCUUGUAACUUCGCUGACAUUCCUCAUCUUCAUCCUACUUUUAGCUGUGAGUUCAUGAUCCUGUUCCAUUAUCAUUAUCACACACUACAAAAAAUAUAAGCAAAAACCAAUUUUUUUUCCCACCACAAAGCUAUUAUGAUUAUUAUUGUCACACGCUGGAAAGCUAUUAUGAUUUGAAUGACAAUGUCCAAUAUGAUGCAAUGCACCCUGAUAUUCUGAUCCUUUUGCAAUAUGUAGUUAGAGAAUAUGUUAGUGUAGGCUUGAAUUAUAUACUUCUGUGUUCACAAUAUGUAGUCUUUUGCAACUGGGCAACUGGGUGUGUUAUCAGAUUCUGUGUUCAAUUUAAGCAUAUGUCAUAAGAGAGAUGAUGUUUGCUUUGUGUUUGAGGUAGUAUGUAUGACUCAUAAAUUUCUUUAACCCUGCAAGGUGUGGACAGCAGGAAACCUGCAGUUGGGGUUGAGACAGAUGAGUCUGGAGGCACAGUGAUCGUGGCAAAGGUGCAUGAAGAGGCUUCCAGUAAUUGAAAUUAUAAUUCAAUUGGUAACAGAAAAAUUCUCAGUUAAUAUGAAGCUGUCUGAUGAGGUUAUUAGUGAGCAGUUAGGUUAUAACAUUUAGUGUGUAGAUAUAGUGUUUUUCAAUUCAUGUUUGUAAUUACUGACCUCUAUUGCGUUUUCUCAUGUGGAACUGAGAGAUUUAAUACAAUGGUUGUUAUCAAAGAAACAAUUUUACACUAAUUGUAUUUGUAUUAAAUAUUGAAUUGAUUUUUUUUUUUAAAUUAAUUUUGUAGAGUCACGAAAGCAGUACUAUAUAUAAUAAUAUAAUAGGCACAAUGUUGAGGCCUCUGAUAGGUUCUGGUGGUAGGUCCCAAGCGAGACCCAUGUGAAGCAGAUCCACGAAUGUUGUACAAUUGUGGGCAACAAGACAAUAGCCACCACACAGCAAAGGCCACAUUACCUGUAAGUGUUGCUGCAGCGUGGGGGAAGCUUAUCCCCACAUUUAAUCGUGGGUAUAGGGGUCAAAGCCCACGAAUAAAAAAAGUGGGUAUUGAUUGGUUUUUUGGUAGUGUUUGGUGAAGUAACUAACUGCCUCUAUGUAGAAGAGUAGAACUCUCGUGAAGAUGUGGACGUGCACUGUUGAUCAUCCAUGCAAACACAAUUAAGGAGUAGAGUCCUUAAUUCUCACAUACAUCUUCACGUGCAUGGGAAACCCUAAACUCCUCAAUUAUCCCUGACAUGCAUGGUCUUUCAAUCAAUCAAGGACACUUGCUCCCUUAAUCAUUCAGUCAACAUAUGUGGCUAAUGCCUUAGUCCUCUCCCAUGCGGACUCUUCUUCUCUGUUUCUUCUUGCUUCAUGGCGAAGUCUCCCGCUCGAAGGCAUCUCGCCUCGCUCAAUCUUCUACGCAAAGUCAGUCCACUUUGCAUGCAUCUCGCCUCCAUAUUUAAAACUCCAUUUCUAUGUGAAGUCUAUAACUCUUUGCAGGCAAGCAUCUUUCUCCGCCUGUAAACUUAUCCCGCUUGCAUGCUCACCGCUUCAUAUUGAAUCAAGUCCACUCACGUCUCUUAGUCCCUCUAUACCACGCGAAGUCUUUUUGUCCAUGCAAACUUGUCUAGCUCGCAUGACUUUGCUAACGGGCCAUCACUUGUAAACCCAAUAUUUCGGGCUCACCGAUGUGGACCAUGAAUUUAACUAAUAUUCAUAUAGACAAUUAUUGUCCAGUAAAAUAUUAAUUUGGGUGUAAACAGCCUAGUUUCAACUCCAUCCGAUAUAUCAAAGUUCAAGUUGCAUGAAAUCAGUCGCCCCAUACAUGCAUUUAAUUCCGGUGCAUGUGUUAUGUUUAGCCACCAGGGAUUCAGUCUUGAUCAUGAUGAUUACAAGAAAUGAUCCCAUCCAUGUUUGCUAGCAUGUUCCUAUUCAGGGUCCGACUUGAGAUUUGGAAACCCGAGACGAGUUUCAAAAAUGGUGUCCUUUAAUGAUUAUACGAGAAGAAAAAAAAACAACGAUGACUAUACAACAUUGUGUCACACGACUAUCUAAUAGUAACUCUACGAGUAUCACAUAUUAGAUAAACAACAAUUCUUCAAUUCUAAGCUCUUUAAUCGUUUACAAGUCAUCAGAUAAAGGUAUAUCAAGUACUGUUUAUAUCUCUAUAAAUCUCUGAAGAGAUCCUUGAGAUUGUACAGACCCAAAGGCUUAUAGUCACCUUCCCCACUCCACAUUUCAUGAGCCAAUUGGCUAUAAACCUUGUCAGUCAAGUGGAAAGAGUCCCAAAACACGUAUUCAUUAGGGUUUUGGCACAACUCAAACUCCUUGACGAUUCUCUUGCCUCCACAGCUAAACACCCCUCGAAACUGACCUGUUCCGCAGCAUGCUGAUUUUCCUUCUUUAAAACCUUCGUCACACAUACACACUAUUAGUUCAAAACCUUAGUGGCUGGAAUCGGCUAUAUACCAAUUGACAAUUGUUAUUUGAUAAUUAAUUGAUGAUUAUUGUAGAUCGGGUAUGUAUGUACCAUAUUUCGAAGGAUGUCUGGUUCUCUGUCUAAGGCUGUGGUUCAAGUCGUAGAGUGAAUACUUAAAACCCUUCAACUGGCUUCCUAGCUUCCUGAGAACUUUGAAGAGAGCUUGGUUAUGUAAUCUGGCAAGUGAUGAAACUUCUUCUAAGCAGCUACCGUUAUUUUCUGGUUUGAUUAUUCUCAAACCCGGGAGACAACCUAAUCUCGGCAAAUUGAUGAAACCAAAUUUUCGACCCCCUCCUGCAUAAAUCUCCUGCCAAAUUAGCUUUACAGUCAGUCGAGAUCGAUAACAUUCGAAAUUUCAGAAAUAUUAUCUUACCAACAAUGACAAUGUUUUAAUUUUCUCACACUAUUAGUACGUAAUAAAGAAAAGGAGUAAAAUAGUGAUGCAUACUUGGAUGAUAGUCGUCAAAUUGCCGAUGACCAUUCCUACGUACUCGGAAUGAGAGUGGGACUUGAAAAUAGGGGAGUCGAUCAGGAAAGGGCUCAUGUAAUCGUUGGUUCCGAUGUUAAACAAGUAGACGGCUCUUGACAGUGUCAUCUUGGCUUCAGCAUCGCCCAAUUUGUGUCUGAACCAGGUCUCUACCUUCUUGUAAUUUCUUAGUUGUGUUUUUAGAUCAAUCACCUGCAAAAUGGAUAAUAUGAAUGUGGUCCAUGCACUUUUCUAAUUUAGUUAAAUAGAUGUGAAAUUCUCUAGACACCAAGAGUUUGCCAAUUUCUUUUUGGCUCCAUACACUUUCACUUUAUACAUUUCUUUAGAAACACAAAACCUGUGAACUAAAUCUAAAGUUUGAGUUAUUAACAAAAAAAAUGAUUUUUGGCCUUAAUAAGGCCUAAAAUUUGUGGUCUUAAUCUUAGGUGGCAUGCUAUGUCACCUAAACACAUCAUCGAUCAAUUAAANNNNNNNNNNNNNNNNNNNNNNNNNNNNNNNNNNNNNNNNNNNNNNNNNNNNNNNNNNNNNNNNNNNNNNNNNNNNNNNNNNNNNNNNNNNNNNNNNNNNNNNNNNNNNNNNNNNNNNNNNNNNNNNNNNNNNNNNNNNNNNNNNNNNNNNNNNNNNNNNNNNNNNNNNNNNNNNNNNNNNNNNNNNNNNNNNNNNNNNNNNNNNNNNNNNNNNNNNNNNNNNNNNNNNNNNNNNNNNNNNNNNNNNNNNNNNNNNNNNNNNNNNNNNNNNNNNNNNNNNNNNNNNNNNNNNNNNNNNNNNNNNNNNNNNNNNNNNNNNNNNNNNNNNNNNNNNNNNNNNNNNNNNNNNNNNNNNNNNNNNNNNNNNNNNNNNNNNNNNNNNNNNNNNNNNNNNNNNNNNNNNNNNNNNNNNNNNNNNNNNNNNNNNNNNNNNNNNNNNNNNNNNNNNNNNNNNNNNNNNNNNNNNNNNNNNNNNNNNNNNNNNNNNNNNNNNNNNNNNNNNNNNNNNNNNNNNNNNNNNNNNNNNNNNNNNNNNNNNNNNNNNNNNNNNNNNNNNNNNNNNNNNNNNNNNNNNNNNNNNNNNNNNNNNNNNNNNNNNNNNNNNNNNNNNNNNNNNNNNNNNNNNNNNNNNNNNNNNNNNNNNNNNNNNNNNNNNNNNNNNNNNNNNNNNNNNNNNNNNNNNNNNNNNNNNNNNNNNNNNNNNNNNNNNNNNNNNNNNNNNNNNNNNNNNNNNNNNNNNNNNNNNNNNNNNNNNNNNNNNNNNNNNNNNNNNNNNNNNNNNNNNNNNNNNNNNNNNNNNNNNNNNNNNNNNNNNNNNNNNNNNNNNNNNNNNNNNNNNNNNNNNNNNNNNNNNNNNNNNNNNNNNNNNNNNNNNNNNNNNNNNNNNNNNNNNNNNNNNNNNNNNNNNNNNNNNNNNNNNNNNNNNNNNNNNNNNNNNNNNNNNNNNNNNNNNNNNNNNNNNNNNNNNNNNNNNNNNNNNNNNNNNNNNNNNNNNNNNNNNNNNNNNNNNNNNNNNNNNNNNNNNNNNNNNNNNNNNNNNNNNNNNNNNNNNNNNNNNNNNNNNNNNNNNNNNNNNNNNNNNNNNNNNNNNNNNNNNNNNNNNNNNNNNNNNNNNNNNNNNNNNNNNNNNNNNNNNNNNNNNNNNNNNNNNNNNNNNNNNNNNNNNNNNNNNNNNNNNNNNNNNNNNNNNNNNNNNNNNNNNNNNNNNNNNNNNNNNNNNNNNNNNNNNNNNNNNNNNNNNNNNNNNNNNNNNNNNNNNNNNNNNNNNNNNNNNNNNNNNNNNNNNNNNNNNNNNNNNNNNNNNNNNNNNNNNNNNNNNNNNNNNNNNNNNNNNNNNNNNNNNNNNNNNNNNNNNNNNNNNNNNNNNNNNNNNNNNNNNNNNNNNNNNNNNNNNNNNNNNNNNNNNNNNNNNNNNNNNNNNNNNNNNNNNNNNNNNNNNNNNNNNNNNNNNNNNNNNNNNNNNNNNNNNNNNNNNNNNNNNNNNNNNNNNNNNNNNNNNNNNNNNNNNNNNNNNNNNNNNNNNNNNNNNNNNNNNNNNNNNNNNNNNNNNNNNNNNNNNNNNNNNNNNNNNNNNNNNNNNNNNNNNNNNNNNNNNNNNNNNNNNNNNNNNNNNNNNNNNNNNNNNNNNNNNNNNNNNNNNNNNNNNNNNNNNNNNNNNNNNNNNNNNNNNNNNNNNNNNNNNNNNNNNNNNNNNNNNNNNNNNNNNNNNNNNNNNNNNNNNNNNNNNNNNNNNNNNNNNNNNNNNNNNNNNNNNNNNNNNNNNNNNNNNNNNNNNNNNNNNNNNNNNNNNNNNNNNNNNNNNNNNNNNNNNNNNNNNNNNNNNNNNNNNNNNNNNNNNNNNNNNNNNNNNNNNNNNNNNNNNNNNNNNNNNNNNNNNNNNNNNNNNNNNNNNNNNNNNNNNNNNNNNNNNNNNNNNNNNNNNNNNNNNNNNNNNNNNNNNNNNNNNNNNNNNNNNNNNNNNNNNNNNNNNNNNNNNNNNNNNNNNNNNNNNNNNNNNNNNNNNNNNNNNNNNNNNNNNNNNNNNNNNNNNNNNNNNNNNNNNNNNNNNNNNNNNNNNNNNNNNNNNNNNNNNNNNNNNNNNNNNNNNNNNNNNNNNNNNNNNNNNNNNNNNNNNNNNNNNNNNNNNNNNNNNNNNNNNNNNNNNNNNNNNNNNNNNNNNNNNNNNNNNNNNNNNNNNNNNNNNNNNNNNNNNNNNNNNNNNNNNNNNNNNNNNNNNNNNNNNNNNNNNNNNNNNNNNNNNNNNNNNNNNNNNNNNNNNNNNNNNNNNNNNNNNNNNNNNNNNNNNNNNNNNNNNNNNNNNNNNNNNNNNNNNNNNNNNNNNNNNNNNNNNNNNNNNNNNNNNNNNNNNNNNNNNNNNNNNNNNNNNNNNNNNNNNNNNNNNNNNNNNNNNNNNNNNNNNNNNNNNNNNNNNNNNNNNNNNNNNNNNNNNNNNNNNNNNNNNNNNNNNNNNNNNNNNNNNNNNNNNNNNNNNNNNNNNNNNNNNNNNNNNNNNNNNNNNNNNNNNNNNNNNNNNNNNNNNNNNNNNNNNNNNNNNNNNNNNNNNNNNNNNNNNNNNNNNNNNNNNNNNNNNNNNNNNNNNNNNNNNNNNNNNNNNNNNNNNNNNNNNNNNNNNNNNNNNNNNNNNNNNNNNNNNNNNNNNNNNNNNNNNNNNNNNNNNNNNNNNNNNNNNNNNNNNNNNNNNNNNNNNNNNNNNNNNNNNNNNNNNNNNNNNNNNNNNNNNNNNNNNNNNNNNNNNNNNNNNNNNNNNNNNNNNNNNNNNNNNNNNNNNNNNNNNNNNNNNNNNNNNNNNNNNNNNNNNNNNNNNNNNNNNNNNNNNNNNNNNNNNNNNNNNNNNNNNNNNNNNNNNNNNNNNNNNNNNNNNNNNNNNNNNNNNNNNNNNNNNNNNNNNNNNNNNNNNNNNNNNNNNNNNNNNNNNNNNNNNNNNNNNNNNNNNNNNNNNNNNNNNNNNNNNNNNNNNNNNNNNNNNNNNNNNNNNNNNNNNNNNNNNNNNNNNNNNNNNNNNNNNNNNNNNNNNNNNNNNNNNNNNNNNNNNNNNNNNNNNNNNNNNNNNNNNNNNNNNNNNNNNNNNNNNNNNNNNNNNNNNNNNNNNNNNNNNNNNNNNNNNNNNNNNNNNNNNNNNNNNNNNNNNNNNNNNNNNNNNNNNNNNNNNNNNNNNNNNNNNNNNNNNNNNNNNNNNNNNNNNNNNNNNNNNNNNNNNNNNNNNNNNNNNNNNNNNNNNNNNNNNNNNNNNNNNNNNNNNNNNNNNNNNNNNNNNNNNNNNNNNNNNNNNNNNNNNNNNNNNNNNNNNNNNNNNNNNNNNNNNNNNNNNNNNNNNNNNNNNNNNNNNNNNNNNNNNNNNNNNNNNNNNNNNNNNNNNNNNNNNNNNNNNNNNNNNNNNNNNNNNNNNNNNNNNNNNNNNNNNNNNNNNNNNNNNNNNNNNNNNNNNNNNNNNNNNNNNNNNNNNNNNNNNNNNNNNNNNNNNNNNNNNNNNNNNNNNNNNNNNNNNNNNNNNNNNNNNNNNNNNNNNNNNNNNNNNNNNNNNNNNNNNNNNNNNNNNNNNNNNNNNNNNNNNNNNNNNNNNNNNNNNNNNNNNNNNNNNNNNNNNNNNNNNNNNNNNNNNNNNNNNNNNNNNNNNNNNNNNNNNNNNNNNNNNNNNNNNNNNNNNNNNNNNNNNNNNNNNNNNNNNNNNNNNNNNNNNNNNNNNNNNNNNNNNNNNNNNNNNNNNNNNNNNNNNNNNNNNNNNNNNNNNNNNNNNNNNNNNNNNNNNNNNNNNNNNNNNNNNNNNNNNNNNNNNNNNNNNNNNNNNNNNNNNNNNNNNNNNNNNNNNNNNNNNNNNNNNNNNNNNNNNNNNNNNNNNNNNNNNNNNNNNNNNNNNNNNNNNNNNNNNNNNNNNNNNNNNNNNNNNNNNNNNNNNNNNNNNNNNNNNNNNNNNNNNNNNNNNNNNNNNNNNNNNNNNNNNNNNNNNNNNNNNNNNNNNNNNNNNNNNNNNNNNNNNNNNNNNNNNNNNNNNNNNNNNNNNNNNNNNNNNNNNNNNNNNNNNNNNNNNNNNNNNNNNNNNNNNNNNNNNNNNNNNAAAAAAAAAGCUAGCUACAUUAACUAUAUAUAGGCAUGCAUAUUCCAAUCACAUUACAGAUCCAAUGUAAUUUUAUAGAUUCUCAUCGAAUGCGAAAACAUUUGCGUACCGAGCCUUGAAACGUCUCAACCAGAGCACCGGCUCCUGAAGAUGCAAAGUUGGCUCCGCCGGGAUACUGGUGAAACCCCGGUUGCAGAAACGGCGGAAUCAAUGGCCGGUGAGCAUACUCGGCUGCGCAGUUCAUAGUGAUAAUGUUGUAUAUAAGAUUAUAAUAUGUUGAAUGAGAUAACAUGAUUAGCUAGCUAGUCACAGAACUCACAAUCAAGCAGACAGACAAUAUAUAAGUUAGCUAACCAAAGUGAUUUGUACAACCAAGGACAACAUUAACAAAGAUUUGCAAAUCUCUCACCAAUAAAGUCCGACAUCAAGCGCCCGUCGGAGAAUCUUCCAGUUGGGAACUUGAAGUAUGUCUCUCCAUAAGGCCUGAAAUUGGCCUGGUCGAGAGUUGAAGUGUUGAUGUAGUUGUUGUUGCCUGCAUCCAAGUAAGAGUCUCCGAAGAUGAAGAAAGCAACUCCAUGGCGAUGAUGAGGCUUCUCUGAAUGUGGCUGGGAUUUGCUUAAUCCAAAACAACAAGUUCUAGUGAAUACUAGCAGUGCAUGAAUGAAGAAAAGGAGGGAGACAAAGCUCGGCCUUGCCAUAUGUGUUGUCGAAUUUAUAUCUGACCCACGUACUAGAGAGGCACAGAAACUUUGUUUCUAUUUACUUGGAAUGGAAUGAACAAAACAAUAGCCGAAUAUUAACAUCUAGUAUUUUCGAAAAUGAUCGAUAGCAAAAGGGGUGUGGGACAAGUUCAUUAGUCUGGUCUAAAGGGUUUGUUAAUUCUCAAUCGAAUAAGAAAGACUUUGCCGACCACACGAGGGACUUCGCAAGUCAAAUUAAUUCGAGAAAUAGAAAAAUGCCCAUUUGGCUGAAACUAAUAUUUGGUGUUGAACUUUGAACCAGCUAUUGCCCAGAAGGAACUUUAAUCGUGUGUAGUUUGCCCCAAGUUCAACACUUUUGUUGGUUUUGAGCAAGCAAAUGCCGAAAGAAAAUACAAGGAAUAUCGGCGGGUUGCUGGGGGUGUGAACGUGUUGAGUUGUAAUGCUGCUCCCUAUAGAUUAAGAGAAGUCAAUUUCUAUCAAUCGUUGAUCCUAAGCAAUAGCUACAGUUGACCCUAUUAACUCCCAUCUCAUAUGACUUUCAUCAUGGUUCACGAGAAUUAAUUAGGCUAUUUCACAUUUCCACUGACUAAUAUAGGUGUUAGCCAAACAUUACGUAAUAAACUAUGAUAUACAUAAAUCAUCGAAGAUGAUAUAGUUGAAACAAUAUUGGUACGUACGUGUUGUGUGAUAUCACCGGUAGAGCUUGAUGUAUGGUGAUAUAAUAAAUUAAUAAUCUCGAUCCUUAAGGUUUUAGCAAACUGAGAAGUGUCAAAAAAGACCUUAUCACACAACAAAAGGAAAAAAAAACAAAGAGAAGCAGAGUGUGGCAGACCCCUCGCCUUCAGGCUAAAGGGUGAGAUGUGCUCACUACAUCGUCUGCUUCUGAGGAACUAAUAUCACCUAAUCAUUUAUUUUAUUUAAGGAAAAAAAAAAACCUUAUCACCUUUUAGAUGUGUAAUGAGAGUCUUGUGUCAAUUUGCUUUGUUAAAUUAAUUGUGUGAAUUUUUUAUUUUUUUCGCUUAUGCUCAAAGUCUCACUUCCCUCCCCAUUUUUCUCUCCCACCUCCCACAUUUAAGCAUCUUUCUUUCUAUUUUUUUUUUCUUGUUUCCAAUAUUGACAAUUACUAAUUUGUCUUUCAUCUAUUAGAAGACAUAUUUUGAAUUUUUAAUCAAUCAAGAAUAUUAUAGGUAGUUCAAGGAUACAUUUUCUUUUCUUUAUUGGUAUUUUACAAGAAUAACCCUCUUUGAUGUAUCUUUUUAUUUAGUGCACUUUCUACCACUAAGGAUGAUUUGGGGAAUUCAUAAAAUUGGUGAAGGUCUGGUUUUUUAAUAUAGUAGAGAUUUGAACAAAUGAAAGUCAUAGGGUAGUAAAAAAAAACAUAGGGUAGUUAAUCUCCAACCCAUUAUCUAAGUUGAGUUAAAAUAGGAUUUACUUAAAAUGUGUCAUAUUUUGACUCAACUAAAUAUGGCCAAAACCUAUAAUUAAUGAGUGAGUGGGUGUGGGCGUGGGCGUGGGCGUGGGAUAGUGUCAUAGUUUAUUAAUAUAAAAUAAUUAAUGAUUAAAAUAUGUUUGGGUUUUUACUCUAUUUAUGAUUAAACAAUGAUAUAAAAAUUAAAAUAUGUUUGGGUCUUAACUCCAUGAGUUAGAGAUGUAAAACUCAUAUGAAUAUUUAUAGGUUUAGUUGGCUUAAAAUUUGAAUUUAGAUUUGGGUUAUAGACCAAUAGUUAGAGAUGCCUUAAUGUUGUGAAAGGCGGAAAAAAGUCAUGAACUCGUACCAAAAGAAGAAGGGAAAAACAACUUUCGAAGUAUAAUUAUGAGAUGACAAUCAUGGCAUAUUUCCCCAUUUGUGAUAAUUAAACAAUUUUGUAAGAGUAAUAUAAUAGCAAUCGUGAUUUGCGUUUUGAUAAUUGAGACACAUGGAGAUUUGAUUUACUGUUAAAAGAUCAAUAACAGAACAAGUGAAAGAAAUUAUAUAAAAGAUGCUCACAUGACUCUAAUCUAAAUAGACUAUGUUUACUUAAAACUCAGUUUCAUAUAACAAUGAUCGAGUCGUGACUUUGAUCUAGAUUUCCAAUCGAUCUGUUCUAUAAAACUAGUUGGCCGGUUAAGCUAGCCAUCAACUAUCAUUUCAAUUUAUAUAAAGAUGUGAUGUAUCAUGCCUACAUUUAAAUGAAAAUGGUUCCGCCUAUAAAUAAUGAGAGUUACUUUCAAGACCUUAUACUUCUUCAUCCUAUAGAUAUUGAAAGCCUCAAUCUAGUUUAUGUAGACGACAACAAUAGUAUGGUUACCAGGCUCAUAGACCAACUGAGUGCUCGUCCCAGUAGCCAUGAGUACAUAUGAGCAAAGUGGGUCGAGGAUGAGCUCAGAGGCCGAGCUAUGCACAAAACUUCUUUCCUGAGUUUCCUCUAUAUGUAUUUUAUCAUUUGAAAUUGGUCAAUUGCCUUCAUCUUGUGAUCAUUGUACACAAUGGUCCCCCUUAAUCCUAAAGUUUGGCUUCACCACUAGAUGAGCUAGACCAAGGUACUAAAUGUUAGAUCUAUAUGGAUACCAAAACAGUUAAUUUGUCCCACAUACAUUGAUUCGCAAGUGAAAAGCAAGACGAUACAGGGUUAUAAUUUAUAAAUGAAGCCCAAUAGUUAAUCUUUCAGGAACAUUAAUUACGACGUCAGUAAUUACACUUACCUACCACUUUACCAUCGGAGAGGGAAAGAUCAAACAAGUCUCGGUCGUUCCCUUACCCGCAAGUUGACGAUGCUAAGAGGAAGGGACCACUACAGACACUUGCCGAGCUUCUGUUGACCCUACGGUAUUACGCAUAAAUAUUUGGCGACGUCUAUAGUAAUUUAUCUUUACUAAAAGUCUACGUGUCUCAAUGGCUGAGCAAGAUGAGCAAAGGGCAGGUGAUGAGUUAGAAUUAAGGGACUUACAACACACUGUAUUCGGGACAAACCCACUGGGUACCGCGGGAAGUUCAAGAAUCACAGGGGAUCAGCAGCGGGAACAGACUCCUGAUGGAGAUAUAGGAUAUCCAAACUCGAAGGAAGUGGCGUAGAUAGUGGAAGCAAUAAAAGCGCAUAUCUCCUAGUUAGAAAGGGACUAGAGGAAGGAUCAUGAAGAGGCUAUGGCAAGGCAAAAGCAAUUGGAGAUUAACAACGCGACCCUCAUGAGUGCAUUGUCCCGAAGGAUAGAACAUGGGGAAACUAAGGAUAGGGCAACAACAAUCACAUCCUAGCAAGAUCAAAGGAUAGCAUGCCAUAACACCCCGAGAGUGCAACCAGCGGAUAGAAGAAUUGAUGCAUGCCCUUAGUAGGAUCAGGACUAGAAGUAACUAGGGAUAGCUAAAAGGGUUGAACGUACACUGAACCCUUAGAGCGGAAAAGACUAGGUUUUUGAUAAACUGAUGUUUUUGAAUUUUCAGAACUGAGAAUUACAUUAGCUACAACUCCUUUAAAUAACCCAAACCAACUAUCUACUCAACUACCCAUAAUACAUGCACUAAGACUCCAGAACCCUCUAGCUAAAGACUACAGAAAACACAAGAAUGAUGACAAAUAAAAAGAUAAAGACAAUAAAACAACACUUAAUGAAACAUUGGGCUCUAGGAGAAUUCUUAAGUUUCUCCAUAGUAAUUACUUACUAUUUCAUUCUCCCCGAGUUGUAGAAAACUCGUCCUCGAGUUUGUAAGGAUUGAGGUGCUUGACAUUGAAGACAUUUGCUCUCUUUACAUGGCUAAGAAGUUGUAGUUGAUAAGCAUUAUCGUUUAUCUUCUUGAGAAUUUUGCAAAGACCAACUUUAUGGUCUUUGAGUUUAAUGUAAGCUUCGGUAGGAAACCUGUUCUUUGCCAAAACUGACCACACCACAUCCUUUUCUUCAAACUCUACCCUUCUUUGGUGUUGACCAGCUGCAGCCUUAUACAUUAGAUUGUUCUCUUCAAUCCUCUUCCUCACUUCUUCAUGGAUGAACUUGAUGUAGUCAGCCAUUUCAUCUGCUCUCUAGCUCAGUUUGUUUAGAUUUGGAAGAGAGGUCAAGUCUAGAACACCAUUUGGAUUCAUUCUAUAGGCUGCUUUAUGUGGAAGGCUAACACCGGGAAUAAGAUCAAUCUGGUGUUGAAUGUCUCUCAAUGACGGCAACCCUGGUGGAAGAUCUUCUGGUAAGACAUAUGUGAUCUCUUCGAUUAGAGGCUCUACUUCUUCCAGAAUAGAUGAGAUAUGGCUGCCUUCUUUUGCAAUUAAAGCGAAGCAUACUCCAACUUCUUACAGGAAGUUGGUGACUGAAAGAAAAUUGUCUCCCUUUGCCGUUGUCCUUUGUUUUGGAAAACCAUCAUCCUUCAUUUGUGCUAAUACUAUUUUCACUUUAUCUUUCCAAAAAGUAUAGGUAUUCUUUCUGUCAUCAUGGAUAUCACCUCUAUCAUACUGCCACAGUCUUCCCAGAAGGAUGUGACAAGCAUCCAUUGUAACUACAUCACACCAAACAUCAUCCAAAUACUUAUUUCCAAUAGAGAAUGAUACAAGGCAGAGUAUCAACGAUUACCUCGUUACCCUUCUUGAACCAUGAGAGCUUGUAAGGUUUUGGAUGCUUCACUUGCUUUAACUAGAGCUUCUUUACUGCUUCAGUUGAAACAACAUUCUCGCAGCUACCUCCAUCAAUUAUCAAUUUACAGACCUUGCCUCCAAUGGUGCAUGUGGUAUGAAAUAUAUUUCGCUGCAACAAAUCUUCCUCAAUUUCUUCUUUAGGCAUUAGUAUUCUCUUACAAAUAACUAAAGCCUCACUGAUGUCUCCAUACACCAGGUCUUCGCUGUAUUCCUCCAUUUCUUCAUCAAAGAUGGGAUCUCCGAUGUCAUCAUGGAUUUCCUCUCCUUCAAUCAUGAGUUGCUUGUUUUUAUCCAAACGGCUACUCGACGCUCCUCUGCAGUAAGAGGACUUGUGAUUUGGUUCUCCACACUUGAAACAACGAAGUUGGGAUGCAUUUUCUUGACCUUGCUUUACUAGUCCUGAAGUAUUCGAGCGGUUUCCAGCUGCUGCAGAUGAACUUUGAGUCCCUAAUUGACCACCCUUUGCUAAUUCUUGACCAUUGAAUGGUGCUUGAUAGUUUACUGCGUUGGUACCAGCUCUGGUAUGUGGCCGAGCACUAGACUUGCUCAGUCGUUUCUCAAUGAUUACAGCUCGCUGAUGUGCUUCAAAUACAAACCAAAAAGUGUGAAGAUUAAGAGCAUCCUGCAAACUUUCUCUCAGACCUCCAAUAUACCUCGCAACCAGUUGUUCUUCAUGCUCAUUUAGGUUAUUUCUAGCCACCAACAUAUAGAACUCCUCAAUGUAUUCAUCCAUAGUUCGCUCUCCUUGCCUUAGAUUUUGUAAACGCUGGUAGAGAGUACAAACAUAAUUGAAUGGAAGGAAAUUCUCCCUGAGCUAUUUCUUCAUCUUCUCCCAGCUUCGGAUCUUCUCCUUUCCUCGUCUUUCAUGUUUCAUCUUCAGUUGCUCCCACCAAGCAGGGCAAUCACGCAGGCUAUACGGACCAACGCAAUGAAGCUAUUGAACCUGAGUUACAACACGGAGGGAGACCCGUACUAAUUUAUGGAUAAUUCAAGUCACAUACGAACACAAAAGGGUAUGUUGUUGCGAUAUACUACAACAUUUUCCAAGAAACACUUACCGAGGAAGCUCUCAGCUAGAUCCCAACAAGGCAAAAGUGGAAACAUUGGAAAAACCAAGUAUCAGUAGGAUGAUCACGGAGAUCUUUGCCAUCGAGACUGACCCGGGAGCUCCAACUUGAAUGGAUCAUAUCAUCGAGGUCAUGAGCGGGGAGCAUUACUGAAGAACAGAAGAGAGGCUCGAAAGUUGCAAUCUUGAUGCGUCAGAUAAUGUAUUAUGGAGGGAAAAUUAUACCGGAGAGGAUAUUGUUUCUCAAAUCUCAAAUGUGUGACAAUGGAACAAGGCGAAACCAACCUCCUAGGAGAUGUGCUAUAGAGCAUCUGAGAGAAGAAAGCCGAGUGUUCUAACUAGAACCUCUAUAAGGUAAUUGGAUACAAGAUAAGUUGGACAAGUUAUGCCUUGCUUUGGCUAACAAUACCAGAUAAGAUGAUCUUGCAUAAUCAAUACACGAGGGAGUCUGCGGGAACCAUGCACGGGCAAGAUCGUUGGUCCAUAAGGCUUUAAGAACGGGCUACUUCUGACCCAAUAUGGGGGCAAUGGCAGACAGAGGGUCAGCGGAAUGUCACAAGUGUCACUUGUAUGCAAAUCAGGCUACUCCCUGCCCAUCGCGAUGUCAAUCCUCCACAUGGCUCCAUAGACAUUUGCACAGUGGGGGCUGGAGGCUCGUUGAAAAGCUACCAACUACCGGCUACCGCUCUCGAGCAACUCAAAUAUGUCAUUGUGGCAGUGGACUAUUACAUCAAGUGGAUUGAAACAGGGCCAUCGGGCAAGAUCACCACAUAAAAUGUCAAGAUCACCACAAUGAUGACAUGGCACAUACGGCCACCAUGGUGGGUGGCGGCCAUAGUCCCCUUUGUUGUGUCUAGUUUAGUUAACUAGGGUUUGUUUCAUUUGGGCCUAUUUUUUUGGGUUUUUUCAGUCAUUUGGUUGUUGGGCCUUCUAGUUAUGAAGUUGGUUAGUUGUUGAGUUGGCGCGCUGUCUUUUUAUGUGUGUCAGGCUGGGUCUUUUAGAGUUCGUUGGUGUGUCAUUUUUGUGAUGUGUGCAUGGUAACGAGUUCUUAAGGGUUCAUAUAGAUUUUCCGAUUUGCACAGUUCGGCUUUCUCGAUAUGCCUUUACUCUAUCGGUCGCAUGCGUGUUAUUGUUCCUUAUAACUCAUCAACAAGCUUGGCUUUUACUUUUCUCUCUACUCUAGGUUCCAAACCCAACCUAAUCUUCGUUUUGUAAUGAAGUUAUCUUGAUUAAAAAAGAAAAAUCUUAAUGACGUCACAAUCUAUCUCAAUCGUAUUUUAGGUAUAAGUUUGGUUUACAGUUUAGAUUGAAUUUCUUCUCAAAAGCAGUGAAGAUUUUCUCCGGUUUCAUUGUUUGGUUCAAGUUUAUUCUGCAAGCCCUGAACCUAAUUUGUAAGAAUUUAUUUUAUUCAGAAUUUUUGUUCUUAGUGUUAUCAAUUUAUUGUAUACAUCAACCCAUGGGGUUUGGUCCAGUGGAAAGCAUGCUGGGUCUGCUUGUUGGGCGAAUGUUAUAGUGACACUCCUGGUAAUAGGAGGUCACUGAUUUGAUCCUCCGCAAGUGAAAAACACCUCAUAAGGAGAGGCCAUACCCAUGUUGCUCCUGGCCUCGGAGUGAUAGUCCCACCCGACCACAUUUUUACCACCACCAAUUUAUUGUAUACAUCAUGAGCGUCUAAUUAAGCCUUGUGUGUUGGCAAAGCUACUGAUAUGAGACAUGCAUGAUUAAUUAGUUGAACAUUACUUUCACAGACCAAACAACAAAAAGUUGAUCAUAUCUUAAAUAUCAGAAAGUGAAGUGAUGCAAUAGAAUGGACAAAGCAACCAGUAUAAAAUUUUUGUUCACUUAAUUUGAUCGAUGUGAUCGAGUGAUGUCGUUUCAUACCAGAAAAGCGGCGCACAAAAUUACGAGUAUUUGCCAAAUUGGUAAACCAAUCCCAUCAAACAACAUGAAUCUUGGACUUGAUUGGUUUCAAGAGUUCAUAGUUGUUGAUUAGGUGUUAUCUACAUUUGAACAACUCUAUACUGUUAUUCAACUACACGUACAAUUAGCCAGUCACUAGAAAACUCAUGUUAUCUACAUAGUUGUUACUUCACCUCUAUAUGUUCAAAGCCAAUGUGCAAUUCAUGAACAUGGACUGGGAAUUGGUAGGAAAAGAUCCAAUGGUGUUGUGAACUUCAUUUCUGUUGGUCAGCUCCUUGUAAUCAAUAUUCAUGUCACACUCCAGACCAACCUACAAGAAUAUGAAUUAUGAUUAAACAAUCAAAUGGAAAGAAUGCUGGAUAUAGACUCGAAAAUCAGGAAUUCAAAACCUUGCAUAGAAAUAUAUAAUACAGUACGUGGUUGGGGGUCACAGUAGGAGUGCAUCAAUAUGGAACUAACCUUGAUCUUCAAAAGAAUAAUGUGAAAUACCAGCAGGUGAGCUCCAACAUCACCCAAUAUUUUCAUCUGAAACAUUGUUUUCCUGGAAUCCUCUUGCAAUGAAGCCUCUGUCACAAUCUGGCUGGCAUUCACACAUGGAAACAAAAGCCUCGUCUGCAUAGUCACAUUACUACUAUGAGCAGGUUGAAGAAACCCGGGAAUCCGAAUUGUUCCUAUAGGCACUCCAUCAUAGAGAGCUUCUAGGUGGGAAGGGGUAUACCAGAUGCCGACUUUGUUAUGAUUUUGAGCAUUCAGGGUCAAUGUGAUUACUGAUGAAACAAACAGGGUUGAACCCGAAUAGGCAUUGAGCUUAUAUGAAUCCACGUUUACGUCUUGAAGCGAAAAAACUGGCUUUUGGGGCUUCAUGACGAAGAUUAUGAUCAAUGUAGCUACACCCAGAAAAACAACUGGUAAAAGAAGAAAGAGGAGGAGAAAUAAACAGGACCUUUUGAAAGAAUAUGCAUGGCAGAGCUUUUGGAAACACGAGUGUUCUGAAUUUUGUAAUGAACUGAUGACAUCCAUGGCAGAACAACAUCUUAGGCAUAUGUUUGGGGGAGUUUAUCAUACAAUUAUAAGCUAUCAUCAGUUCAUCAUUGUUAAAUUAAAUGGUACUACUUGUACAAGAAGCGAGAAUUUGAUGUCUUUCUUUAGACUGUAGCUUUGUGUUUUGCUUUAUUCCUUUCUAGAGUUAUACCAGGGCCUUCACAACAGCAGCUUUGUAGAGAAAGCUAGAGCUUGUUAGAGGCUUUCUGUGACUUGGUUUACCCGAGAAGACAGGCAGGACUCGGUAGACUAUCCUUCCCUUUCCCCUCUACUUUCCCUAGCAAGCAACACAAAUUCACUUUUGAGUCGACCCUCCACCACUUUCGACUCUACCGAAUAAUUCUAGGCGGAUGAGAGAAAUACCCCAUCUGCGACUCUAAAGGCUGAACUGAACAAAUGUUCAUCUGCUAGACGAAGUUAUUCUGUAGGAGAAGUUUUGCGAUACAUCUAAUAUAUAUACAUCGAUAUUUCAAGUAGACUAGUUCGAUAUAGUCUCGACUUAUCUUAUGAAUGCAUGGAGAAGUCUAGUCUCAAAUUAACUAGUUGCUCAAUGUGGGUGCACUAAUGUACCUUAGACCAACUCAUUCUCCGUUUUAGUACUUGAAGUUGUACAUAAAAGGGUCACAAAUGGGAGACCUUCAUCUCUUAGUUGGAAUCAGAGGUACCCGUACCACAGCAUAUCCCAGCAUCCUCACUAUCAUUUGGCACGAGGAUGAUCCCACUUUAAUCUCUCGGGGUCUCUAAAGAACAAGCUUUUUAGGCCAAUUAUUUUGUAUGCUUGGUUGACAGGAGGUUACGACUGUUCUACAGCACACUCAUUUUGGGCAGGCGAAGACCGUGAAAUCACUAAAAUGCACCAAAACCUGGUCUGUUAGGUACACCUUCCCCUUCCCUUUCCCUAGUAUUAGUUAAAGGUCAAAAACCAAGGCCACCCCAAAUUCAAAAACCACAUUCUUAAUAUGCUCAAAGCCUCGGAUCACAUCCAGCACCCAUGAAAUGCAACAAUGGUCCCCUCAUACCUAAUUGGUCCUCCAAAUUCUCCUCAUCCUGAGCUUUCUGCGCAGAAACAUGUGACUAUAGAAAGCUCACUCAGGUCUUGUGGUCGCUAUUCUCAUCUUCUCUGCAAAAAGCUUAUGUUGCCACCAAGCUUAUGUUGACUAUUCUGAGCUGCCGGUGCAUAUAUGAGGUGAAGGGUCCAACUACCAAGGCAUUGCGAUCCAGUACUGUUGACCCCAUUGACACCUCAAGUAUGGAGCUAUGGCUCCAGAUGACAUCAGAGCUCCACACCCGCCACCAGAACCAUUAGCCGCAUGGCAGUCGUACACCUCACUCAAAACCAUAUUCAGAAGCAACAAGUGGCAAACAUGCACGAAACUCUUCACAUGGCUGAGGUAUACCGCGGUUACCAGUCGCUGAUGUGAUGCCAAGAAUCAAGUAAAACAAGAGUAAGUAAAGCAGCCUCUUGAAGCCAUGGACAAAUCAAGCAAGAGGCAAUGGACACCAAACUACGCAAGAAAAAAAAUAGCAAUAUUAUGUGCAAAAUUUGAGGGCCUCUUGUUAUAAGAAAAGACCAUAAAUUAAACAGAUCAAAGUUCACAAUCAUCAGGUUUCAGUAUCGCCACAGCACACAUUCCCAUCACAUCAGUACAAACAUCAAGUUUAGCAAGAAACAAGUCUUUAAAGGUAGAAGUAAACCUAAUACCUAUAUACUCCCCAAAACACCAGCAGCUACAGCUUAACAGACUCCUCACACAAGCCUUAUGCAUGUUCAACUGCUUGCACUGCAGCGAAACCCUUCCUGCAAGCACCAAAGUAUAAGAAACCAGGACCAGGUUCUCACGCCAAAGUAUAAGAAACCAGGACCAGGUUCUCACGUCGAAUAGUUUGAGACCAAAUAUGAAACGAAAUGCGAAACACUACUGAGGCUAAUAGAGAAUGAAACUCACUAACAUGUAGCUUUAUUUACAUAAACUUGAAAAGCUGGUGCGCUUAGAAAACUCCCCCAGCCAUUGAAGGAAGGUCAUCAAAGCUCCAAAGAUCCACUGGGUUACAACCAUCCUGGGUCAUAUCACCAUUGAGAAAGGUAUCAAUGGAAGUAUCCCAGCUCCCCUCAAGAUAUGGUGUCUGACAAUACUUCAUCUCAAAAGCUGACAGCUCCUCAGAGAGUGUCUUUGGGGCAACAUUAUUCUCAGCAGGCACAAGACCCUCAGGGUUAGCCUUCAGUUUCUUGGUUGGGUUAGCAUCCUCCAGAAACAAUGAGUUCUCACUUUCUUCCAGAACAGAAGAAAGAACAGAUGAGAUUUCAGGAGUCCUUGAGCCUUGUUCUCCCCAGCCAAAGUCAGAACAAUCAAAGGAAUUGCUUCCCU
rnacentral:lncRNA from 1 species